rnacentral:lncRNA from 1 species
UUUUUUUUUUUUUUUUUUACAUACGUAUGUCAAUUACAUGUCACUUAAUACUACACUAUAGUGGUAUUCUUUUCACUUAAUAUGACUCGGCCCAUUAAAAAGUUUAGCCCACUCCAUCACCCUUAGUGCAGCAAAUAAGCUUCUUCUUCUUAAAAAAAAAAGCUAAUUGUAUAUUUAUUUUAUGUUUUAAAUUACUAUGUGAAGAAUAAUAAUAGAGUUUAAAUAAUCUUUUUUGUUCAAUAAUAUUACUCUCUUAUUGAUUUUAAGUAAUUCCUAAAUUUUAAAAUAUUAUUUACUCUUAUUUGAAUUUGUUUAAGGGAAUUUUAACGAAAAGCUUUUGGUACUGUUCAUUUUAACGAAAAACCACAUUUUAACGCUAAAAUGUCAAUCCUAUUACUAUUCAUCUUACCCUUUAUUUUGUUAUUUUCGUUAAAACUCAAAGUUUUCAAGUUAUUUUCAUUAGUUUUCCUUUUGUUUAAAUGUAUAAUUUAUAGCAUGUAGAAAGAGUUAUCUUAAAUAAUGACAAGAAUUUCGAUCAAAAUAUUAAACAAAUAUGAUUUCAAUUCAACGAUUAAGUUGAGCAUGUACUGGAACUAAAAUCACCAUUAAUUCUAAGGAAAACUAAUGAAAAUGGCUUGAAAACUUUGAGUUUUAAUGAUAAGGACAAAAUAAAAGGUAAAGUGAAUAGUACUACGUUUAACUUUUUAUUGUAAACAUGUGAUUUUUCAUUAAAAUGAAUUUAAACUUUUCAUGCCGUUUUGUCUUUUGCGUGUACGCAGGCAUCUAGGAAUUUACCGUGUACUUUGUUGUGGUGAGGUUUCUCACUUCAUUUCUGUCUUUUUAUUUGCUUUGAAAGAGAUUCUUUCCUUAAAAUAUACAAAAGAAAAGGACUGAAAUAGAAUAGAAAACGGAUCCAAAUGGUACCUCUAAGUAUAUUCAUAUGAAAUUAUGAAUUAUAACGUACUUAGCACAAAUUAUAUAUAUAUAUAUAUAUAUAUAUAUAUAUAUAUAUAUAUAUAUAUUAUUAGAGAAAACGAGAGUUCGAAACUAUUAUAAUAAAUUUGGAGAGGAAGAAGUUUCGAACUGGAAAGUAAGCCAACACUUCUAUCUAUUAGGAUAUUGGACCACAUAUGUAGUGACACACCCCGAUCCUAGAAUCAAGGCGUGCUGGCCGUCACGUGAGCGUGACGUAACCAAAAGUGCGACGCGGAAGCAAUAGAUAAGAACAUACGAAUAAUAAAAAAAAACCAGAUACUAGCAGAAUAACCAAGUAACGUGCUAGAAUAAGUUUAAGUGUGCAACACACAUAUUCAGAGCCUAAGAACUAGAUGCAGUCAAGUAGGACCAUAACUAGAUUACAACACCCGUAGGUGAGUCCUACAUUUAUGUAGUCUGUCAGUACGCCGUGAGGAUCCUCGUGGGCCACCAACGCUGCUAACUAGAACCUGGAGGGGUGCAAAACAAAAUUGAGUGGGUCAGUAAAACCAAAGUUUUCCAAAACAUUUCAUUUAAAACAUUUCUAACCCCUCACUGUAAAACUUGUAUACUUUCCCAGAAAAUAACAUAAUAGUAUAUAAAUCCUCAUAUAUCUCAAAUCAUCAAUCUAUCACAAAUCCAGAAAUAUGCCAUGUCAUAAAUGUCAAUAACGAAACAUGGAUGCAUCAAAAUAACAGGUGACAUAAUGAAUCAACCGGAGACCCUGCAGUUGGUCCUGUACGGUUAAUUCCAUAGCUCAAUAUCCAACCCAGCCGGAGUCACCACGGUGACCUGUACGGCACUACUCUGCACAUAAAUCGGAACUACCUAAAGUAAUCUGUACGAUAAGAAAGGUGUAAGAAUACGCUCUAGUGCUUCUCUCAUCAAUCAUCUGCAUGCAUAAUCUAAGGUCACCUACUAGUCGGAACAACCUCUAGUGGUCUGUACGACUAGCAUGUCGGAACCCUCUCAUGGUCUGUACGACAUGCACCUACUUGGAUCCAAGGUGAGCGUGCGGUGCGGUGAAUAAUAUAAGCACUAACACCAGGGGGUGUAGGUUAUGAGCUCUCAACAAUUCACAUCAUCAAUGAUUCACAUGAAUAACAUAAACUCACCUGAUACUCACCUGUGCGUCCACAGCACCAGUUCACAUAUAUAUAUGCAUCAAUAUCAAUUCAUACAAUUCACAAUAUGCAUGCAUGGCAUUUGAAAACAUAUUUUCAUAUAAAUUCAAUUUAUAGGAAAAUCAAUAGUAUAUAGGUAUAUACGGAAAACAAAACUGCCCACUCAUUGGUAAGUCGAUGGGUCGUAACCCCCGUGACGUCCCUGGAUGCGCUCGUCCUCGGGAUAGGUGUCACCUAUAUGCGAAACAACUAUAAAAACGUUAAUUUACGCACAUAACCGACAAUUCGUAAUAACUUCUCAUACGGUGCUCAAAUUGGGUAUAUGAAUAUACCACAUCGACCUACUCGACGUCACGGACGUCGAGAAAUUUUUAGAAAAAUUUUCUGAGGCUGCACGCGCCCCCACGCGCCUGGACAGGCACGGGUCCACGCGCCCCCCACGCGCGUCUCCUACCUCGGCUCGCCGGAUUGGUUUUUCCGGUGGCCGGAAAACUGGAGAUUUUUCAAUCUCCUUGUUCUCCGUCAUUUCUCAACCAUUUUCUUCGUAUUUUAUAUCAAAAUGAAGCCCUAAGCAUGUAGUUUCACGUUACACUACUUUAAGGCUCUAAAAACUACAAAAUCUCAUCGGAGAAAUUCCAAGAAAACCGGCCAAUUUCGAACCCAAUGAUCCCGACGUCCAAAACCUUCAAACGAAACACUCCGAGCUUCCUUGGGACCUCACUAAGCUCACUAUAAGCUUAGAAUUCCCUGAAAAUCAACAUAUCACGAUUGCAUGAACAGUGAUCUCAAAAUGGGUUUCGGGUUUCACGUGAUAUCGAGGGUUCUAAGUUCUAAAAAUUGCACCAAUGAACUCACAAGGUUGCAAGGAUUCACAAACUUACCUUUUUGACGUCGAUCCGUGAAAGUUGGAGGGUUUUGGUGCCUCGUCCGUACGAGUCGAGAGGGAGAGAGGAAGAACUGAGAAGGGGAGAGAGAUAGAGGGCACGGGGAAAGGGACAGGGUGUCCCGUGUGUGUGUGUGGUCCCUCAAAACAAUUCCACCCUUAUUUUCCUAACCACAUAAAUUACAAACCAAUUUUAAUCCAACUUAAAAUAUUUUCCAAAAGCUUGAAAUAUAUGAAUUUAGUCCAAAUAAUAUGUCACACACACACAUACCUUAAUACCCGUCAAGGGUAAUUCCGUCAUUUCGCAUCCCCGAUAUAUAGAAUCCCGGGACGGGCUGUGACAUGUAGUACAAAUUGGAAUCUAUAAAUAUAUUCAUUAUAACACGGUAUAACUAAUUCACAUGAUGCUCUUAUUUUGAGAACUUGUGAGAGUGAAAUGCAUAUUAGCCACAAGAUUAUAUUAGGUUAGAUCGAAAGGAUUAUAAUACUAAAAAUAAUAUUGGUAUAAAUUAAAAAAAAGGAUACAAAUUAUAAACAGAAAUAUAUGAAGAAAAAAAACUAAAAAUAUAUAUUUAAAAAAGAUUAAUAAGUUUUUUAUUUUUAAAAUUGCCAUAUAAUGACUUGUAAAUAAUCUAACAUUCCAAUCAUGACAUGGGGAAAAGUCAAGAAACUUUUAUCAAAAAUGAAAACAGAAUAAAGUUUUAAUUAAUGAGAAAGAAAAAUGAGAAAUAAGAACCUAGUUUAUCUUAUGAAAAUGGUAAUAAGAGAAACAUUUUUGGUAUAGUAAGAGAGUAAAUUAUUAAACUAGUAUUAAUACACUUAUGGAUGAAACAAAGGGAUUUGGAUCCUCUCCUGAGCUCAACUUGCUAAGUCUCUUAAGCAAAUCACACGGAUUGUUGGAUUUUGAUCCAAUGACUACAAAUAGGGGACAUCUCUAAAAGUUAUAAUAAUUAUAGUCGUUGGAUCAAAAUCUAACAGCCUGUGUGAUUUGCUCAUGAGGCUCAGUAGGUUGAGCUCAGGAAAGGAUCCAAAUUCGAAACAAAGACAGGUUGGGGUAAGUAAAUGGGUGGGACAGUCAAUCAACUGACAUUCUCAGUUACUUAGUUUUAUAUUGAAAUAUGAGGGUAAAAAUUGGAAAGGGAUCCUCUCCGGAUCCCUUCCUUCUAAUUUACCAAGUCUGGAAAUUCGGGUCAUUAAAAUUUGAUCAAACAACUAAAGUUAUUAUAAUUUUUAAAGUGGACAUUUGUUUGUAGCCGUUGGAUUAAAUUUCAAUGGUUCGGAUCUCCGAACUUGAUAGAUUAGGAGGAAGGGGUCCAGAGAGGAUCCCUUUCUGUAAAAAUUGCUUUUUGAUUAAGAUCAGACAACUAUUAAGGAUUGACUUGUUGUGCGCAAUAUAUAAUUUAAGAAUUUGGUGUUACAAUCAUCUUAAACAAAUCUUGCUUUAUGUCCCCCACUUACGCUUUUAUUCAAUCUGGAAAACCACGGUACAAUAUGCAAUUUCUCGUUUGUCAGCUCGGACUGUACUGAUUAUUUCAGUCGGAUAGGAUAAAUAGUCGUCGGAUAAUACUGACUAAAUUAGUUGGACGUUUGGUAAUUGAAUCGGAUUAAUUUCUACAUCGGAUAAUACGUCAGAUUAUAAUAAAUUUUUAAAAGUAUUUCACAGAAUAAUUGUUGUUAAAAUGAAAAAAAUGAGAAAAACAAAGAAAAACAGAGAAAAAAUGAAUUAAACACCAUUACAGAAAAAAUUAAAAAAAUAAAAAUAAAAAAGGGAUUAAACAUCACCAUCUUCCCCACGGAGGAAUAUGUUCUUUGAAACCCAGGCAACCACUACUCCAACAACAAAAAAAAAAAAAAACCAGCCAUUACACCAACAGAAAAAAAAAACCCAGCCAGCUUUCGAUCUCGUUGCCACCUUCAAUUUCUUUCAAAUUCAGAAACCAAUUAAAACCUCCAAAUUUGCAGAAGCAACCUCCAACAGAAUCGAUGGUCACUCGUGCACCCAGCAAACUGCAAUUUUGUGCUUUACAGGGAAAUUGGUGCCGCUGCUCUCUCUCACAGCUUCUAAUCCAUUGAAACUAAAAACCCAUAUGAGAUUUCUCCCAUUCUGGUUUGAUCUGCCACUAUAGGUGUAUGAACAAGAAUGGCGUGAAGUGGUUUCGAUUCGGCACCUCUGGUUUUGUGUUUGUAUCUACUUGAUGUUGAUUGGUAGUGAGGAGGGAGAAAGAGAGAGAGCAGUAAUUCCUUGAUUGAGGAGUUUGUGAUGCGCAAGAGCGAGCGGUAGCAUGAACCCGACUAAUUAUACAAACGAUUUGGGGAGGAUAAGGAGCCGUGUGUAGGGUGUAUUAAAUAAGCAGAGGCGGACUAAUUAUCCGGUGGCUAUUUAAUCCAAACGGACACCAAACACCGUACUCCGUAGUAUUAGUACUAUCCGAUGCCUUAUACGGUGUGCCAAACAGACCUUAGGGUCUAUGAAUAGAUUUCCUGUCUGUAGUGUUCCGUUUUUCCUUUCCUCAUUAUAUGAUCACCAUCGUAUUUCAGGCUCAUUAGUUCUUGAUGUAUUUUAGUCUUAAGAACCUUAAACAUCUAAUUAAAACAUAUCAUCAUUUUUUAAGGCAUGCUUUUCUUUCUUCUGGUUCUGAUACACACACACACACACACACACACACACACACACACACACACACACACAUAUAAUAUACACAUAUAUAUAUAUACAUAUAUUUUGCUUUUCUUUCCUCUGGUUCAUAUCAUCAUUUUUUAAGGCAUGCUUUUCUUUCUUCUGGUUCUGAUAUUUUUUGGUUCUGAUACACACACACACACACACACAUAUAAUAUACACAUAUAUAUAUACAUAUAUUUUGCUUUUCUUUCCUCUGGUUCUGAUACAUAUACAUAUAUUUUGUUGGUUUAGUUAUCAUUGGUACGAAUUUCUUAAACUGGACUUUUGGUUGGAAAUUUAUAUUUGAUCAUCAAUGGAUAUUGGACAUUCAAGUCAUAAUUUCACAUACAAUACAAUAGUACUAGUUGUAGUGAAAGCGUACCAUUAAAACAUAGAAGAAGCAAGAAAUUAAAAGGAAACGCUAAAGCUUCCCACUAUCACCCUGGCCAGCUUUUAUAUACGUACCAUACUAUAUGACUAUUUUUCUUCUUAUGCACACCUCCUCUUGAUUUUGGUCUUCGCUGUAUAUAUAUAUAUAUUUUUUUUUGUGAUUACUAAAAGAGUGUGCCAAAAAUAAAAAAUAAUGUGCAUAAAUCGUUUUCAAAUUAAUUUAUUUAUUAUUGAGAAGGUGGGCAUCAAUAUUGUUCGUCAGAAGGACCAAAAAGUCCAUGUACUUAUGAGGAACCGGAACACCCUCCGUCAGCUUCUCAUACUCGACGGUCCAUUUCACGGAUGAGCUGCUGCAUCCCCCACUAACCUUUGGUGUGACUUGAACCGUAGCCUUGAAACUCUUGUAGUAUUUCGCCAACUCUCCUCCUACUGUUCGGAAAGUCACUGAUUUGUUUUUCUCAUCUAUGGCUUCAACUGUCUCUCUUGAAACCUCAGAAACAUUGUCUAUCAUGCAGGUAUAUAAUUAAUUAAGAAAAUAUCAAAUCAUUGGGUCCAGGUUAGGUUAUAUAGUCGAUCGAGUCUAGUAUAUGUAUAAAAUAUUUUAAGUUGGCAUGCAUAAAUUUUUUUCCAUGAAUUGUUAUUGUUACCUGCAGCAAAGUAAGUCCAUUGCUUGACUGAGCCCACAGAGCCCCAAUCACCUUGGAUGACCUGAAGGUCCUUUAUGACGUUAGGGCACAUCUUGGGCAACAGGUACCCUUUGCUACGAAAGAUUUCGUAGAACUUGUCGGCACUGGCUUUAAUCUCAGCCUGGACCUCCAUCUUUGCUAUUUGAGCCAUAGCGUUCGAUCUUUUUGCCUUUGUAAUUUGUAUGAAAUUAGCUAGCUAGAGUCUGGUGAAAAAAUGACUCCCCCUUGUUCUUUAUAUAGAAGAAAUAAAAUAGCUAGAUAAAGUAUAAUAUGCCUUCACUUCGAGCCAAUUGCAAUUGCGGAUCGGAAUUGGGGUGGUUUUUCUGACAAAUUUAAUUUAGGUUUGGAGUUCUGUUUGGUCCCUCGCUAGCUAGGGCAACUGGGCAAGUAGAUUUCUGUUUUAGCACUGUCUUGUUAAUUUGAUGCUCAUGGCCACUAUGUUAUGGUGGAUCAGAUGCGGAUUCUAUUCCAUCUUUUUCAUAAAGAGAUUAUAUACUUUCCUAAAUUAUACUGUUCUUUUCCUUUUUGUUGUUCCUGUGUUUCCAUCAAAAAAGGAAAAUACCGAUAAGACACUUAUUAGUACUAUAGUUAAGUAAUAUUUCUCUUAAGUAUCAAUUUAUUAUUUUUAUCCCUUAGUGUAAAAUGUGUAAAUAUAUCGUUGUAUCAACAAAACAAAAAAAUUUAUUUGAAAAGGGCAAAAGCCGAAAGCAUUUUGCCUUUGUUUUUUCUCCCACUAGCCUUUAAUGCCGAAAAUUUGAGUUUGUUUCUAAUUUUAUAUAAAUCAAACUCUUACAGUGAGCUGUAGACUUUGUGUUCUUUGAGAGUGGAUCCAAUUCUUGAGAGUUUAAUAUAUGAAACUCAUGAGUUAGAAAAUUACAACAAAAAUUCUCCACCACAUCUGUCAUUUUUCAUGAAUGAACGGUUGAGAUGAUAUUUAGUUAAAUAUCAACCGUUCGCUUUUGACCUUUCAUGAGCAUUAGAUCAAAGUUUGUAUACAAUAGGUGACCACUCAUUUGGGAGUGAAAAAAGGGAAUAACCCACCAUAAAGUAGGAAAAAUAAAAAAUAGGUGAGUCCUUACAGCAGUAAACAGAUAGAACUCAAGAUAAACUCUGAAACUCACACAGUUGUAGUAAUGGUAUUCUAGGAAUCAAACUGAAGAUGUUUCUUAUAUAAGAAAUUAAACAGAUACAAAUACAAAUGUUGUUGCAUACCAAAUACAUAUUUGCACACGCUCUGUUAAUGUACAAGAUAAUGAUUAAGACGAAAUCAUCCCUUAUACAUGGAAGACACCCAACUGACUCAAGCUUUGUGUCUUUUUUUUUUUAUGUACGUAUAAAUACAACGUUACUCAAAUCCCACAAUUAAAAAAAAAAAAAAGGCCUUAGUUAUAAUUCGAACCAUUUAUUACUAAUAAUAGCUGUGUCUCAUUCAGUGAGAAGAUGAGCUUCAAGGUCUUUGGUGACCUUCACUGCAAAGUCCUGAUAUGAUUCUGGAUCUGGGAUUUCCUCCUUCACCUUCUCAUAGUCAAUUAUCCAUUUCACCAAACUGCCCCCUCCAGUAGUCUUUUCUGUUACUUUUAGUGUCACCCUAAAGCUCUUAUAAUGCUUCAAGAUUUCUCCAUCCAGAACGUUGAACUUCACUGUUUUGUUUUCCUCAUCUAUCGCUUCAACCGUCUCCUUUACACUUAACGAACUCCCAUCUGUACAUAUCCAUCGUCACUUUCACAUUAUAAAAGAGUAAUUAUAUAUGAGCAAUAAUUUCUUCACACUUAGAUCCAGUUUUCUUUUUGCAUACCCUUGUUAAUUUUUCUUCUUCAUAUUCUUUUAAUAUAUUUAACCUAAAGAUCAUAAAUAAACAUAGAUGCGGACAAAAAGUUGUAUGCAUAAAUCACUUCCUGAUUAUAUAUAUGUGCACAUAAAUAAAUUAUAAAUAAGGGAAUCACCCUAGCUAAUUAAUAGUUAGGGCUUCAACUAAGUCAGUUCUAUUGCCUCCGGUGUGACUUACCCAACGUAUAAUCCCAAUGCUUGACAGAACCCGCAGUCUCCCAAUCACCUUCGUGCAGCUCAACCCCUUGUAUUUUGUCAGAGCAGAUGUUAGGAAGCAGGUGCAUUUGGCCCGAGAAAAUUUUGUAGAACUUAUCAGCAGCUGUACUUAUCUCUACCUCCGUCUCAAGCUUACCAACUAAAGCCAUAUCUUAAUUAAUUAGAAGAUCGAUCGGUUAAGGAUAUAAACCAAGGAUAAUUUAUGAUCAACAAUUGAUGAACUAAUAACAAAACAGGUUAGAGGUAGAAUUGGGAGAUAACACUUAAUCCUAGGAUUGACUUAAAUAGGAGAAAUUAUCAUUCAUGAAAAGCUACAACUUGCCUAUAAUAAAUAUUAAAAGGGAACUUAUUGGUGGUCCUGAACGUUUAAAAUUGACACCAAAAUUUACUUCCAUCACCUUUGCUACUUUAAUCGUUUUUACCUAUAUUUUGUUCAAUUUUUUUUUACACCUAUAUAUACAUAUGGGAUGGAUCCGUGAUAUCACUUUUUUUUAUACAAUUUUUUACACAAGUUUUGUGGGACCCACUCAGUAAUGUAUUUCAACAAUCCAACUGUUUAUUUUUUAGAACAUCAUUAAUAAAUCAUCCUUACAAAAAAUUAGACAAAUUCAAAACCAUGACAUUCAUUUAUAGCGAAGAAAGUGGACAAAUAUGUUUCUAUAAAGAAACCCUACAUGAUUUAUGAUGAAAUAUCUAAAAAUAGAUUGUUUGGAUCGUUAAAAUACAUUACUUACAAGUUACAAGUGAGCCUACAAAAAUUUGUGUAAAAGGAGUAUAUAAGUACACCGAUGGUGAAUAUAUAAUAAUUUUUGUGUUUGGUAGAUUUGGAGUGGUUAAAGGAAUUGGAAAUAAUAGGCACAUUUCUUUCAGGUGGGACACGACUAGAUAGUCAUUCCUAAUUAGGAUUUACCAAAUCUUAGUGACGUUCUUGUUUAUUGUAAACAAAAGAUAAAAGAAUUCAAAUGAAUCAGACAGUUAUGUCAAUUGUUAAUCACCAGUCACCACAUCACAUUAACAUUAUUUCGAAUUCUAUAUCUAUAAUUGACGAGUUUACGACUUGGAGCGUCAAAAAAAUAUGGCAAAGCAUUCAAGAUACUUGGGAAAUAAAUUAGAAGUUUCAGUAGUCCACAUAACUGUAACAAACACACAAACAAAUGAUAGAUUCACUUUAUUUUUCAUUUUCCCCAAAAUUACAUCCAAUGAUUAUCCUAUAUACGAUUGCGUAAAGAAAUUAUUGGUCUUUUUGACAAGAGCUGCAAACUAAAGCUGAAGGUGUUAGUCUGGAUCACCGCCACAUAGCUUUUCCUUUUCCUGUUAAAGGACCGCAUCACCACGCUGCCCUCAUCAUAAUCUCAUAAUUUUGAAGAAACUUGAAGAAUAAUCUUGUAGCAUCUGCAGCGAUCUAGAGGGUUCCUUCAAGCACCCUUAAAGUACGGACUGAUUUUCAUCAUCUAUGGUUUCAGUUAACUCCUUACGAAAUGUAGGUUUCUCAUAUGUUCAACAUUCCACAAGCAAAAAUUAUAUCAUGUUCCGAUGUAUAAGAUACUCUGAGCAUGUUAACUGUUGAAUCUUGAUUUUUGUAUAUUUGACCAAAUUUAAAAAAAAAGUAUAAAAUAUCCGAUACUUGGGAGCACCAUAGAACUCUUCACUAGCUUACUUCAUCCAACAUACAUAUCAACAUUCAUGGUAAAAAGACACUUGGAGCCGAACUUACGUUCAAGAUUAUUCAACCCAAUUUACCACCUUCUACUAAUUUAUAACUCUGAACUUUGUUGGGGGCGAUGUUGUUAACUUUGUUGGGGGCGAUGUUGAUAUCUCGUACGGUAUUGUUCGUGUGACUGUUAGCAAGGAGGGGAAAUUUGUUUGAUUUCAGCGCUCGUCCUCGCCUUAUUGUUACAAUGAUCUCAAAUCACCAUAUUGGCUUCUGUCCACCACAUGCAUUAAGCGUCUAUGACUAGAUCUAGUCUUCCACAACAAGAAACCCUUUCAGCGACGAAUUCUUCCUCUGAAAGUAGGAAAGUUGUCCCAGAAACAGUUGGCGACUAUAAUGUUUUCCUUUUUAGAUCAUCCCAGUACGUAGGGCCUUUAGUGAACUUAUAUGGCGAGAAAUAUGCUUGAUCGUUGUUGAUAAAUUAGAAUCAUCAAAAUAUUUCCUCGCUGAAAGUUCGUCAUUUUGUCGGUAAAAGUUGUUCCUCGCUGUUAGACAGGGGAAAAUAGAAAAAAUUCUGAAAACAUUGCGAGAAAAUUAGGAUCUAUUUAUUGAUUUGCAAAAACUCCCUCCAAACUUGUAUAAAGCUAGCAAUUUUUUUCUUUAAAUUUAAUAUUAACCGAUUAACUCUCUGAAUUAUUAUAAAGGGUAAAAGACUGUUUACUACCCUCAUGUUUCAUGGUUUUCAACAUUUAGUAUAUCAAGUUUUUUUCGUCCCAGAGUCAUACCUAAAGUGUUAAUUUUGGGACAGUCUCAUACAUCCGUUAGUCAAACUGUUAAGUAUGCCGUUAACUGAUGAUGUGAUGCCUAUGUGGACAAUGACUGGGUGCCACGUGUCAUUAAGGGAUCCACGUGGAAAUUAAAAAUUAAUUAUUAAAAAAAUUCAAAAAAAAAAAAAAAAAAACAAAAAAACAAACAAAAUAAAACCCAGAAGCCCUUCGUCUUCCUCACCCCCACCCGACAUCCCUCAAUUCCCAGAACCCCAUUGUCUUCCCCACCCGACACCCUUUAUCCAUGCUUCCUCAAUUUCCUUGUUAUGGCUGUCGUCUGCAAAUCACCAUCUACAUCUUCCUCCAGCAGCUGAAGACCUCGCCUCCUUGUCGUUGCUCGAAGAGCAGGUGAAGCAGGAUGAGCUUGACCGUGACAUGGCACUGAAUGACGACGCAUCUUUAAUAGAAGGGACGCAUAAGGAGAGGAACGAGGCCAUUUUCGAUUACUACUUUGAUUUGCAGGAAUGCUACUCUGAGGUGGAAGAAUCUGAAACAAUGAAGCGGAGAAAAUCGAGAAGCGCCGCCUGUGUGGCGAUGUCGGCGGUAGCUGAUGGAGUCGAAAUAGGUAAGCCGGGAGUCGAAUCGGGUCACCAUCGGCGGCUAUGGGUCAAGGACAGGUCGAAAGCAUGGUGGGACGAGUGCAACCAGUCGGAUUUUUUGAAAUCAGAAUUCAAACCGUCUUACCAGAUCUAGUCGAUGACGCAUCCUGUCUGUCCGUCCCUCACUCCAUCAUUUCUUUUCCCUCCCUUCUCUCCUCUGCACGAACCAAACCGUCCUACCAGAUCCGGUCGAUGACGCAGUCUGUCUUGGGCUGCUGCUACGAGCUAUCUCGUCCUCUACGUCCAUAUCCUGGACCCACCGCCUAUUCUCUGCCUUUCCGUCUUUUCUUUUUCCCUUAUUCUUCCUUUUUCCUUUUGAUUUUCCUUUUCUAUUUCCGUUUUAUUUUCAUCUCGAAAGAGACCCCAAUUUUUCUGGGUUCACAAAAGAAACCCAAUAUUAGUUGAUCUGAAUAUUUUUUUUCUUUUAACUUUAUAGUUUUCUGGAAAAUUGGGAGGAUUUGAGUCUCCUCCACCCGUUUUGAUUUUGCAUUUUCUGGUCCAAUUCGAAAUGGCCUAGAGGAGGAAGAAUUUGAUUUAAUGGUUUAUGCCCCAGAUCUCGUCAAGAUUAUUGAAACUUCAAUCCACACUUUUCAGCUUUUCCUGAAGAUGGAAGUCACUUGUUUCUUAAUUUGCUUUAAUUAAACUUCUUGUUUCGUUAUUUAAGAAUUGUGAUAGAUGUAGAGAAAUUGAGUAGCGAGAGAGAGGUGGGUAAGACGGAUUGAAGAACGAUUCUAAUUUAACUUCUUCUCUUUUCGUGGAAUAGGGGUCACGAGAGAGGCUUUUUCUGGCUUUUUCUUCUGGGUUCACAAAGAGAAGAUCCAUACUUGAAAAUACCAAAUUCUUGUUGAAAUAGAAUUUCUUUGGGAGGGAUUUUGUUGGGUUGGGUGUGCGGAGAUGAUGGGUACGGGUUGUAGAGGAGAGAAGGGAGGGUGGUGCAGGUGCAGAAAAGAGAAUGGAGGGAAGGGGUACGGGUUGCAGAAGAGAGAAGGGAGGGAGAGGGUGCGAGGGAUGAGGGAGGAGACAAAUGUUUGUUCUUUUUUUUUUUUUUUGUAUUUUUAAUUUUUUAAUUUUUUUAAUAUUGAAGUGGGCCUAAAUUGACAUGUGGUGCCCAGUAAUUGUCCACGUGGGCGCCACGUCAUCAGUUAACAGAAGUUCUAACAGAAAACUUAACGGAUGUAUGAGACUCUCUCAAAAUUAAUACUUUAGGUAUGACUCUGGGAUGAAAAAAAAUUGAUGUACUAAAUGUUGAAAACCAUGAAACUUGAGGGUAGUAAACAGCCUUUUACCCUAUUAUAAAUAACCAAUUUCUCCACUGCGUUUAGAUUUUGAAUUUUUUUCAUUCAAGUUUUCAUCAUCGUGGUCAUGCGGACAUACAAGGCAAAUGUAUAAGGGCAAAAAAGUGAUUUUCGUUUUGGUAAAUUGGGCACAAAGCCACUAUUUUACAGCUGCUAAUUGGACUUUCAGGACUAAUUCAAACAAAAGUACGAAGUCAACUACACUACUACAAAUUUUUACAUACAUAAUGCAGUUUAUGGGUCAUGUUAAAAGUUUAAUGACGCAAGGGUUUAGCGUCAUCUUUGUGGUGUCAUUAAAUAUAUUUUUUAUGACGUUGAAAAAGUGUCAUGUAUUACUUUUAAAGACGCCUAACAAGUGUCAUUGAAUUAAGAACUUGUGUUAUCUACUACCAUUUAAGACGCGGAAUAAGUGUCAUAAACAGAGGAAUGAGUUUCAUGGUAUACUAAUUAUGACAUACGCACAGUGUCAUGUAUAGCUUUUAGAGACACUUAACAAGUGUCAUUGAAAUAAAAAAGCGUGUCAUCUAUUUCAGUUCGAGACGCGGAAUAUGUGUCAUAAACAGAGGAAUGAGCGUCAUGAUAUACUAAACAUGACAUCUGUAUAGCGUCAUGUCUAUAGCACUACAACGUCAUUGAAUAUUAGCAACGACACACAAAGCUUGUCAUAAACCAUUCAAUGCAUGUCCUGAAAUAUGUUUGAUGACAUAUGUAAUGUAUUUUUAAUUUGAAAACAAGACUUACAUAAUUCAUCCAAGAAGUAAGAUAUUUACCUCAAAUAAAAUAAUAUUGUUUCAUAAAUUUGUAAUUCACCCACCACCAAAGUAUUACAAAAGACAAUAUAAUGUGUAGAGCUUUCCUUCUAAAAUAAAACUAUACGUUCACUUAAUUUAAAAUUUCACAAACUAGCUAAUCUAGAGUUUCAUCUAUUGGGCUGUAUUCAUCAACAUACUCAGCCCACUUUAUUCUUAAUGCAUCAAUUUCCUGUUGAGUGUAUGUAGCUUUUAUCCUUCAAACUGCUCCUGCAAAAAAUAAAUAAAUUGAAUGAGAGGAUCCUUACCAUAAGACAACAGAAAAACAAAUAGGAAAACUCUUUGUUGAUCACCGUGGAUCUUCCCGUCUCCCUUGUCCUCGUUCUUCUUUAUUUGUGCACAACUAAAUAGCAACCGUAAAUUAGUGGUUCAAUUUGCAGUUUAAAUUAGAGGUUAAAUAAAAAUAGAAUAAACACAUAUUUAUCCAAGACUUGAAAGCAAAGCCUAAACCUGAUGCAAUUUUUAUGAGGUCUGGGUGGAGGGCAAGUCUGUAGCAUACUAGCUGAGAUCGAACUUGUGGUGCUACAACUUAUCAUCUCAAUAAUUGAACUAAAAAAAAAUAAACAUAAAAUUUAUAAGAUUAUAUACUGAAUGAGCAGGAUACGAAAUUAUUCCUAUGACCAAAAUGAAGAUGAGUGAUAGAAAAAAGCAACACGCAUGCAGAGAAAGGGAGGGAGAGUGUACCUUUGGAGUGAUGUUUGUCAUCAUCACUGAACAAAAUUUUGAUUCUGAAAGACCUGUCAUGAUUCAUAUAAAAAAAAUCCAAGAACAAUUUUCAAAAGCAUAUAAAAAUCCUUUAGACAAACCAACUCUCUUAAAUACCAAUCCAUAAGAUUGCCUCUGCUUGCUUUACGAAUCUUGCAAAUAUCAGUCUAUUAAAUAUGAAUGAUGAAGACAAACCUACUCUCUUAAGCAUAAACCAGAUGCGUCACCACCGCCUGUCCAGAACCCAAUUCUAGGAGCGGACACUCGAGAAUGAAGACAUCAGACCAUAAUUGAAACAACUACAAACUAAACUGACCAAACCACUUAAAACCACACAACUAAGAUAAGAGUUUGUAUCAUAAAAGCAUAAGUUUGAGUGAGUGAAAAUUUGAGUACUGACAAUGGUUCACUUUUUCUUAGCAGCAGACUUGGUGACCUUGGCAUCGAUGGGAUCCUUCUUCUCAACACUCUUGAUAACACCAAAAGCAACAAUCUGGCGCAUGCCACAAACAACAAAGCAACCUAAUGGAUGGUACUCAGAAAAUGUCACCACAACCAUGGGCUUGGUAGGAAGCAUCUUCACCAUAACUGCAUCUCCGUUCUUCAAGAACUUUGUCUCCAUCUCAAUCUCCUUGCCAGACCUCCUGUCAAUCUUGGUAAGGAUCUCACCGAACUUCCCAACCUUGCGCAGUUGAUAAACAACGUGCUUUUCAAGCGUAGUGGCGUUAAAAAGAAAUAAUCUAUAACUGCUUGAGAGAUUUAAGGGAUAAAUCUUCCACUUUUCCUUUUAAAAUCUUCCGCAUAUUUUAUUGAACAACACAUUUUUUUUAGUUGCAUCAUAAUAUUACUUUAAUAACAUUUUUAAUAAAAGAAUGUCAUUAAAAAUUUUACCAAGUGUCAUGAAAGCCCUAUUUUGUAGUAGUGCUAGCAAAAAAGAAGACGAGAAAAAACAAUCCGUUGUACACAUUAGGAAUAAAAAAAGGAGAGGUUUGGGUGGGUGGUUGGGUCUGUGAAUCUCUUUCUCACUAAUUUAUGGCUUGUUACAAGCGUUUAGAUGGUGGUUGGACCCAUUGAUAAAAUGUGGUUAGAAUAAGUCUGGAUGGCAAGGGCGGAGGCUUGAAACAUGCUCUCCAACCCAAAAACCCUCCUCCAGCAGGCUAAGAAGAAGAGGGCAGCCUGAGCAACUUAUGCUCAGCCCUUACGCUAGCGGGCAAGGCUUUUUUGUUUUUUUUUGUGUCUGGCGAUUGCAAUGAACGCAUGAACUCAGCAAGUGAGCUAACAACUUCCAACUUCGAUUGUCGUGGGGCCCACUGCAUAAUCUAACAGCCACCAUCAACAUCUCUAUGACGUGACAAUUUGUGAGUCGUUAAAUUUUCAAUGGCCUAAUGUUCUGGACUAUCGGAUUUCCAAUUCCAACAGUAAAAAAUUGAAAAACUUAUCAUUUUGACAUGUGUCACAUUCUAAUGCAUAUGAUUUUAGAUAUGUUUGGAAAUGAAUGGCCAUGAUUAAUCCAACAGUUAAAAAUUAUAAAAAAGGGGAUUUUUUAUUAUUUAUUAUUCUAUAAAUAUUGAAUCAUCUUCUGCAUUUCUCUCAACACAAUAUUUAUUUUUACUACAAUCUUCUAAAUUUGUUUUCAACUUUUCAAAUCCUUUUAUUACUAAAAAAAAUGAAUGAGAAGGUACUUUGGUCGGUCGAGGAAGAUGUUGCUUUGCUUUGUUUUUCACUUUCCAAAUCCUUCUAUCACAAAGAAUAAUAUUGUUUAAAUAUCGUAGUUGGUUAUCUUAGGCCUCAUUUGGCUGCUCGGACUGUACUGACUAUUUCAGUCGGAUAGGAUAAUCUGUCAUCGGACUGUACUGACUAAAUUAGUCAGGCGUCUGGUGCAGUAUCGUAUUAAUAACCGUAUUAUUUAUAAUGUGUUUGGUACUGUACUGGAUAAGAGAUCGGAUUAUAUUAUUUUUACUAAAAAAAUUUGAUGACUAAUGAAAAAAAAAAUCACAACAACCAAAUGCAUCAAAAUAAAAAAUAAAAUAAAAAUAAUAUUGUUUGUGAUUUUGAACUUUGAUAUUGUAUUUUCUAUUUGUCCUUUAUUUAAACCAAAUUAUAAAAAAUAAAAAUAAAAAAUCCUUUCUUCCCCAGAUCUUCUCCAUCGCAUAGCCCCCAGACACCCUCACUCCCUUCUCCAGUUUUCCUUACCAGUUCAAGAAAAUCUUCCCCCUCUAUACAGAAGAAGCGGAUUGUCGGUGUUGGCAUCAAUGGCUAGUGAGAACGGCAGUUACCCAUAUCAAACUGCAGAUUAUCAACAUUUCCCAAAUUUAACGUACUGGAGAUUCCCAGUGAGAACGACAUUUACUUGAAGUAAUGAUAUGAACUGGAGAUUCCCAGUGACUAUAUGAUACCUGAUUUCCUAAAUUUAAUCCAUAAUUUUAUUUUCAAUUUAUCGAGAGGUUGCAUUGGAUUGUCGAUAUCGUUGAACGGUGUUGCAGCGAUGUUGGGCAGUAGGUGAAUGCAGGCAAUUCUAGUGCUCCGACGACGUGGGUUUCGGUCAGAUCUAGUUCAAAUCCAGGGUCGAUGGCACGUGAACCCGUGCGGGUCCCGCAUAAGGAACUAAAGAGGAGAGAGAGAGGCAAAAAAGAAGAAAAGAGAAAGGGAAGAAGAAAGGAGGAGGAAGAAGAACCUGAGAUUGACGAUUGAGCGAUUUGGUGAAUGGGUUUGAGGAGAGAGAGAAGAAGAAAGGAGAAGGAGGAAGAAGAACGAUGGUAACAGAAGUGAGAAGAGAACGAUGCGCCACACCGAUGAAGCGAGGACACGAACCCAACUAAAUAAUACAGAGAUUUCUGGAAGGAUAAAUAAGCGGGCAGACACCGGAUAAAAGAUGUGGGCCCAGUUUAAGUAAUACGGGUACUAUUUAGUACGUAGUUGCACCAAACACCCGGAUCCAUAUUACUUAUCCUAUCCGAUUCCUUAUAUGGACUACCAAACGAGGCCUUAGUAUUGUAAUACCCUGAAAAUUUUAAAUAUAUGAAUAUGUGGAGAAAAUCGAAAAUAAAUCGAUUUAUGAUUAUGAAGAAUUAAAUCGAGCAUAUUACUGAGCUUUUAUAUGAUUUUUCAAGAAUUUAUAAUAAUUUGUGUAAGUUUAGUUUUAAAUUAAACUAGUUAUGAGAUUUAAAGUUUGGACCUUAAUUAUUUAAAAUACGUAGACCUUUCGAGGUCAAAAAUCAUAUUUUUGAAUAGAGCUCGACCUCAUGAAUGCGUAGGCGCAAACUGUUCGUGAAACAGAGUUAGAACGAAGAAUUUAUUAACGUUUAAAGUUAGGGGCAUUUUAGUAAAAUAGUUAAGUUCAAGAUAAUUCCAGAUUUUUGAGAAAAAUCUGGAAGGCCACGUGUGUGGCCGAGAUUUAAAGACAGAAAAUGGGCGGUGUAGAUGGAAAAUAAAGGAGAGAAAGGAGGGAGAGAGGAGCCAAUCAGAAAAAGAGGGAUGAAAGGUGACCAAUGAGAGAAGAGAGAAAUGGGGAGAAAGGAGAGAAGAGAGACACGGGGGAUCGGGACCCGGGUCUUGGUGACCCGACCCGAUCGGCAUCAUACACUUUUCCGGUGGAUUUUCACCCCUUUUUUCCGGUGAAAUGCAUCAAACCACCCCUUGGAAACCCCCUCCACGAUCUUCCCUCUUCCUAUUGCAUCCCAAAAAUCAUAAAAUUUGGUCUUGAAAUUUGGAGAAAGAACACUCGGUGCCGCGACUUUCCUUGCUUGAAAUCCAUCAAAAUCUGAAAUGUUUUGGUUCAAUUACAACCACCAUUAGACUCCCCUUAAGAGCUGGAAUAAAGCCCAUUCAUUGGUUGGGGUGUCGGAGUUGCUAUGGAGUCGAAUUGAGGACACCCAAAUCUUAGGGUUCCGACGGAUUUUGAUGAAAUUGGAGCCUUUUCCAGGCCAAAUUGGCCUUGGUUGCAGGUGUGAAAGUUUCUCUACUCAUUGAGAUCUUCAUUUCUGUAAUUUUUGAGAAUUUUUAAAAAUAAUUGAAUUUUUAAGCGAACCGGGACGGCCGACCGCCACCCGCGGUGGCGGGUGCAGUAGCGCACGGCCAGGGAGCCUACAAGUGUGUUUUAUGCGAAUUUCGUUAUUUUAAUUAUGUUUUUGAGAUUUAAUUGAUGUGGUUUGAAUAUUACUACGUUUUUGGUAUAUGUUGGAUUAAAAGAAUAUUUUCAGGUUUGGUUUAAAUUUUGAAGUUUUGAACUACGAAAGGCUUGAUCCCUGUUGAGGGUACGUAGGCAGUCUAACGAGACGUUAGAUGCAGCCAUAAAAUAAAUGUGUUUAAAUAUUCAAGAAUUAGUAUAUAGAUGGAAAUUGAUCCAAGAGAGAAAAUAAAUUAGCUAUGUUUUUAGGUUGGGCCUAACAUAAUUAUUUUCCCGAAAUAUACAAAUAUUUCGGGGCAGUGGCAUUACAAAUAUGCUAUACUUUUGCCUUGUAUUUGAAAUUAGAUAAUCGUUUUAUUUUAAAAAAACAAACUUACUAAGUUCACACUUAAACAUAUUUAAACAAACUUACAAAGGUCAACACACUUGCAGAUAACACAAUUAAAAUUAAACAUACCAACAAACAUGGAUCACACUUACAAGGCCAAACAAAGCAUAUAUAUAUAUAUAUAUGUAUGUAUGUAUGUAUGUAUAUGUAUAUUAUAUUGAUGAACAGUAUUGCCCUUGCUCUUGUCUUUGCCCAACUGGUAGUAGAGUUGCACAGAGACAAAGUAUUGUUCAUAGUAAAAAGUACGGGCAAGCCAACUGCCUUGUUCUUACACUUGCAUUCUCCAAACGGGUGAAACUGCUAUUAUGAUCGGUCUGAAGUAGACGCGCUUAUUCUUGGGUGAGGAAAUUGUCAGUCUCCUUAACAAGAACAACAGCUAACUGGAGCUGAAGUUGGGGAUCCGGAACCCCAUCAUGUAGCUUUUCAUAUUGUAAGACCAAAUUCACCACGCUGCCCUCAUCAUGAACGCCUAAUUUUGGAGUAACUUGUAAAGUGAUCUUAAAGCUCUUGUAUCGAUCUAGAGGGUUUCCUUCAAGCACUGUGAAAGUCACCGAAUGAUUUACAUCGUCUAUGGCUUCAGUUAACUCCUUGGAAAAAGUUGGUUUCCCAUCUGCUAACAUUUCAUCACAAAAUCAAUUACUUGCUUCAUCCACAAAAAAACAUGUAGACAUAUACAGUAAGAGAACAAUCUUUGAGCCACACUUACCUUCAAUAUAAUCCCACAAGAAGACACAACCCACUUUACCCCAUUCACCUUCAAGUAAUUUAUGACUCGGAACUUUGUCGGGGCUGAUGUUGCAUAUUUCGUAUGGUGUUCGUGCGAAGAAUUCAUGGAACCUGUUUGCUUCAGACUUGAUUUCAACACUCGUCUCCACCUUGCUAGAAUUUGACAUUUUCCACUAGUACCAGAGUUGAAGGAAAAACGACUUUGGCCCUUACACUUAUAUAGAAGAAAAGAGGGAAACAAAAACUUUACAAGAACCUAAUUUGCCCAUCAGACAUGGAUGUAUUUAUUCACUAAAAAAAAUGCGUUAGUUGUAUUAUUUUACUAGAACCGAACAAUUUGCCCAGUAGAGAUGGAUGGUGGAAUGUCUUGAUCAAUAUUAUUCCUCGUUUGCUCUCGUCGUUUCUAAGAAAACAAUGUUUUGUGGUUUUAUUAAAUAGCUGGAGACAAAAUGUUUCGAUCUUGUUCGUUUCUCUGUUUGUAUGCUUUUAUACAUGUUAUUUCUAAACAAUUUGUUUGUUUUAUGGUGGGCAUCUUUAAAAGUAAGAUACCCAUUUGUUUUUAGAGAAAUGUUAUUGUCACCUAAAAAUUUAAGUGUGUAUUUAUAAUUAUUUAUAUUUAAAAAGAAAAAUAUUCUUACAAUAAAUGUACAAUUAGAUUUUUGUAGUGUAAAUUUUCUGUCUUCAAUUUCGACUACUCGAAAUAUAUGAUCCGAUUGACCCCCAACCAUUGAGGUUUAAAUAUUUAUGGCUGGGGAAGACGAAUUCACCCAAACCUCGAACUCCUUUUCUUAGGAAAUAAAUUGAAAGUUAUAAUCUAAGGCCAAAUUCAAACCGAAACAACAACAUUCUAUUCUAUAAUUUCUCCUAGUCCUGAUCGGUUAGGGAUUCUAGUUAGUUCGUUUACAAACUACGUUGGCUAAUAUAUUUCAGUUACAGCUUCAUAUAUAAAUGCAUUCUUCGUCGAAUUAACAAAUAAUCAGUUUGUAUAAUUAAUUAAGAACAAGAGGACUCGAAACAGAAGCAGCAAAACAUGACCAUGACCAACAACGACAACGUUUUGGAGCCGCCCAUCAAUUUCUCGAUGGUGGAUGAGGGCGUAUUCCGAUCAGGCUUCCCGCAGCUGUCAAACUUCCCAUUCCUCCAAUCCCUUCAACUCCGUUCCAUUAUCUAUCUCUGCCCUGAGCCCUGUUAGGGCUUAAAAAGACUUUACUACUUUGGAGAUGUUUAUCUCACAAAGAAGAAUGUAAUGCAGCGGAAUUGAUAGGCAAGAGAAAGAAAGAACACUCAAAGUUUUUACACAAGAUUUUUUAUUCACUCACAAACUAGUACAAGAGGAAACACUUAAACACUCUUAGAAGCUUUGUUGCCUCUUACUUCUCACUACUUGCUCUCUUGGUUGUUUCAAAUGGUGUGGAUGCCUUCUCCUUUUAUAGGCAUGGAUGGAACCUUGGAGAAACAUGGAAACAUCAUGCUAGAUAUAUGACAAUUCCACUACCUUCCUAUGCUAGAAUUAUCUACACUAAUCUUGUAUGUUGGUGGAAUCCUCACCAUUCUUCUAGACUCUUCCACCAACUUGAACUUUGCUAGAAUUCUCUAGCAUGUGCAUGGAUCUUUCUUUGUGCAUGGGCUAGAUCCAUUAUCUUUGCGCCAAGACAAGAUUACAAUUCAACAUCCCCCCUUAAUCUUGUCUUGUGACGCCGAUUGUGUUCCUUAAUCUGACAAAGUCUUUUUGCCUGAGUGGUUUGGUGAAUAUGUCGGCGACUUGGUCUUGUGACUUCACGUAUUCCACUUGCACAUCCUUUCUUGCAAUACACUCUCUUAUGUAAUGAUAGCGGGUAUCUAUGUGUUUGCUCAUGUCAUGGAAUAUUGGAUUCUUUGCUAGAGCUAUUGCAGACUUGUUGUCGACAUAGAUCUCUAUUGGCUAUUCUUGUGGCAUGUUUAAUUCUUUUAGCAAGUUUCUCAGCCAGAUUGCAUGAUAGACACAUGAGGUAGCAGCUAUGUAUUCAGCUUCGCAGGUAGAGAGAGUGACAAUCGAUUGCUUCUUCGACAUCCAUGUGAAUGCAGUGUUUCCCAUAAAGAACACAAAUCCAGUAGUGCUUUUUCUAUCGUCGGAAUCUCCUGCCCAAUCACUGUCGCUAUAUCCAACAAGUUUGUAGUUAUCAGAACUUGAAUAGAACAAGCCAAAGUUAAUAGUACCUUUAAGGUAUUGAAGAAUUCUUUUGGCGGUCUUCAAGUGUGUAGUUGUGAGAUUCUCCAUGUAGCGACUGACUAAUCCGACGGCAUAGAGAAUGUCUGGUCUUGUGCAUGUCAAGUAGCGCAAGCUUCCAACUAAACUCUUGAAAAAUGUUGGAUUUACACUUUCUCAUUCGUCAUGCUUGGUUAGUUUGACUCCGCACCCCACUGUCGUGCUUAUGGGCUUGCAGUCUUUCAUUUUGAACUUUUUCAGUAUCUCAUAUGUGUAGCUUUCUUGGGAGAUGAAAAUGCUUUCUUCGUUCUGCUUGACUUCAAUGCCUAGGUAGUAUGCCAUCAGCCCGAUGUCGGUCAUCUCAAAUUCUUUGGUCAUCACUCUUUUGAACUCUUCAUACAUGCUUGGAUUACUUCCGGUGAAGAUUAUAUCAUCCACAUAUAAGCACACAAUCAGAAUAUCUUCAUCUUUGACUUUAACGUAGAGAGCAUGUUCAUGAUGGCACUUGAUGAAGUUGUUUUCUUGGAAGUACUUGUCGAUGCAACUAUUCCAUGCUUGUGGCGCUUGUUUUAACCCAUAAAGGGCUUUCUUCAGCUUCAGAACUUUGUCUUCAUGCCCUUUGAUUUCAUAGCCAAACGGUUGCUGAAUGUAGACUUCUUUUUCAAGGACUCCAUUUAAGAAAGCAGACUUCACAUCCAUUUGUUGAAUCUUCCAUUUGUUUUGAGCUGCCAAAGAAAUUAGUAAUCGUAUAGUUUCCAACCGAGCAACGGGUGCAAAUACCUCAUCAUAGUCGAUUCCGGCUCUUUGACUAUAGCCCUUUGCCAUUAAUCUCGCCUUGUAUCUUUCGACCUCUCCGUUGGCAUUCUUCUUUGUCUUAUACACCCAUUUGACUCCGAUGGCUUUGUGUCAUUUCGGAGAAUAGUGAGUUCCCAUGUAUUGUUCUUAUGGAUUGCUUCAAUUUCUUCAUCCAUUGCUUUCCUCCACUUAGUAUCUUGCAUUGCUUCUUGGAAGUCAACUGGUUCACAAUCAGCAAAGAGACAGAAAAGUGUAGGAUUAUCAAGUCUUUCAGCUACCUCAUAGAGAUCUCGUAGACUUCUUAUGUGUGGUACUUCUCUUUCAUUUAGACUCCCACUUGAUGAUGCUGAUGCUGGUGAAUUGCCAUGAUUGGUUGAUGUUUGUGAAGCAGGUGGAAUAGUGGAUUCUUGUUGAACCCCUCUUGCUUGCUCCAUCAUCCCUUGUUCAUUCUCUUCUUCAAACUAAGGAAAAAAGUGAAGAUCACCUGCAUGAGAGCCAAAAUCCCAUUCUCAUUCUUCAUCGAACGUCACAUCUCGACUGAUUACCAUCUUCCCAUUGUUUGGAUUAUACAGCUUAUAGCCUUUUGAAUUUGAGUUAUAGCCGAUGAAGAUGAACUUCUCACUUUUGUCGUCGAGUUUGGUUCUCCUCUCGUCUGGUACAUGUACAUGGGCUAUGCUUCCAAAAAUUCUUAGAUGGGAGAUACCUGGUUUUCUUCCACUCCACGCUUCUUGCGGAGUCUUUCCCCACACACUUCUUGUUGGAGACCGAUUGGAUUGGUAGACAACACAUGAUACAGCUUCUGCCUACAACUCCUUAGGCAAUCUCUUACUUUUGAGCAUGCUUCGAGCCAUGUCGAGGAUGGUUCGAUUUUUCUUUCCGCCACACCAUUUUGUUGAGGGGAUCUUGGAACUGUCAAAUGUCGACGAAUUCCAUUGGCUUCACAGAAUUCUUGAAAUUCCUUCGAAGUGAAUUCUGCUCUUCGAUCAGAUCUCAUGGCUUUAAUCUUGCAACCACUUUCUUUUUCUAUAGCAGCUUUGAACUUCUUGAAUGCUCCAAAUACCUAUGAUUUCUACUUUAAGAAAUACACUCAGGUUUUCCUUGAAAAAUCAUCAAUGAAGAGAAGGAAAUAAUUUAUUUUUACCCAAAGAGCUUGGUUUUAUUGGACCGCACACAUCGGUGUGAAUGAGUUCGAGUGGCUUCUGGGCUCUUGUGGUUGACUCUUUUGGAAAGCUUUUCCUGAACUGUUUCCCAAGUAAACAUCCUUCGCAAGCUUGAUCAGGACGACUGAUGCACGGUAAGCCUCUCACCAUCUCCUUCUUGGAUAAUAACUCCAGUCCCCCAAAGUUAAGAUGCCUAAAACGAAGAUGCCAAAGCCAUGAUGUGUCUUUGUAACAUAUCUUGAGACACUUUGCAACAUUGUUUUGAAUGUUCAUGGGAAACAUCCUAUUCUUUGACAUUUUCACCUUGGCAAUUAAUCUUCCUUUGUCAUCUAUAAGAAAAAGGCUAUAAUUUUUCAUGUGAAUAUCAUAACCUUUUUCUAAGAGUUGACCCAAGCUCAAAAUGUUGCUUUUCAUAUUAGGCACGUAGUAGACAUUUGAAAUUAAUUGGUGACCACCAUUUUUUAAGGGAAUAAGGAUGUUACCUUUUCCUUUGAUGGGUAUUUUGGAUUUGUUUCCAAAAGAAACGUUGCCACUCUCCGAUUCAUUGAGCUCUACGAACAUGCUUUUUCUUCCGCACAUGUGGUUGCUAGCGCCGGUGUCAAGAUACCAUGUAUAGUCUUGGUCUCCAUCAUUGUUCUUGCAUGCUAGUAGCACAAUGCCAUUAUCUUCUUUCUUUUCUUUCACAUAAUUGACCUUCUCAUCAGGCCUGUUGCUUGGAGCUUUACAUUCCCAAGCAUAAUGCCCAAACUUUUGACAAUUGUAGCAUUGAACUUGAGAUUUUUCAUACCUCAAGUUUGAGUGUCCUCUUCCAUGACCAUUUGUUGAGCUUCCUCCUUUUUCGUAGUUGUUAUGAUUGUUGAAGUUCCAACCACGUCCACGUCCAUGUCCGCGACCUCGACCGCGACUUCUUUCGUACUGGCUUCUCUCAUUAUCCAAUCUUUCUUCUUUCUUCUUUGGCUGGACAUGCGUCUUGAGGAGCUGCUCAUCAUUCCCUUGCCUCUUCUUAUGUUUCUCUUCAUAUGCUUGUAGUGAACCCAUUAAUUGCUCUAUACUAAUUUCUUCCAAGUUUUUUGUUUCUUCAAUCGUCACGACAAUGUGCUCGAACUUGGGGUCCAACGAGCGUAGUAUCUUCUCCAUAAUUCUAACAUUUUCUAACUUUUCUCCGUUUCUUUUUAAUUGAUUGGAAACGGCUAAGACUCUUGAAAAAUAAUCAGAGAUUGAUUCAGACCCUUUCAUUUGUAGAGAUUCGAACUCACCUCUUAGUACUUGAAGACGAACCUUUUUCACUUGUUUGACUCCUUUGUAAGAGGUUUGAAGCUUCUCCCAUGCUUGCUUGGCAGAGGUUGCACUCGAGACUUUCUCAAAGCCAUUGUCAUCUAAUGCUUGGUAGAUGAGGUAGAGCCUUCUUGUCUCUCUUUCUUGAAUCUUUCAAACUCUCAUUCUGGGGUUGGGACAGAGUAGCUUCAUCUUCUGGCUCAGUGUAGCCUUUCUCCACGACUUCCCAUACAUCAUGUGCUCCCAAAAGGGCCUUCAUUUUGAUACUCCAAUUAUUGAAGUUGUUGUUGUCGAGCACUGGAACUUGGAAGGCUGUCAUAGCGUUGCUAGCCAUAGCUCUGGUACCACUUUGUUAGGGCUUAAAAAGACUUCACUACUUUGGAGAUGUUUAUCUCACAAAGAAGAAUGUAAUGCAGCGGAAUUGAUAGGCAAGAGAAAGAAAGAACACUCAAAGUUUUUACACAAGAUUUUUUAUUCACUCACAAACUAGUACAAGAGGAAACACUCAAACACUCUUAGAAGCUUUGUUGCUUCUUCUCACUUCGCACUACUUGCUCUCUUGGUUGUUUCAAAUGGUGUGGAUGCCUUCUCCUUUUAUAGGCAUGGAUGGAACCUUGGAGAAACAUGGAAACAUCAUGCUAGAUAUAUCUAGACAAUUCCACUACCUUCCUAUGCUAGAAUUAUCUACACUAAUCUUGUAUGUUGGUGGAAUCCUCACCAUUCUUCUAGACUCUUCCACCAAUUUGAACUUUGCUAGAAUUUUCUAGCAUGUGCAUGGAUCUUUCUUUGUGCAUGGGCUAGAUCCAUUAUCUUUGGGCCAAGACAAGAUUACAAUUCAACAAGCCCUACCCGGAGGAGAGUUUGGAGUUUCUUCCGUCGCAAGGCAUUCGGCUCUUCCAGUUCGGAAUCGAGGGCAAGAAGGAGCGGUCUACGUCUCCGCUGAUUCCAGCAGAGACUAUCUCCGAGGCACUGAAAGUUUUGGUUGAAAUUGAGAAUCAUCCGGUGUUGAUCCACUGCAAAUGCGGCAAGCAUCGGACUGGUUGUCUGGUGGGUUGCCUGAGGAAAUUUCAGAAUUGGUGUUUGUCUUCGGCGUUAGAGGAGUACCAGCGGUUUGCCGGCGAAAAAUCUAGGGGGACGGAUUUGAGAUUUAUCGAGACGUUUGACGUAUUGGGCCCCAGGGGGGAUGCCUUCACGGCAUUGUCCGCCAUUAUUAUUAAGCUUAUGCUUCCGGAAAGAGGCGGUUGUUGUACAAACAAGAGUUGCAAACCCAUAAACCCUAGGUGAUGUUUUAGUUUUUACGUGUUGAAAUUUUAUGCCCUUUUAGUUGUACCAUAAUGAAAAUUCCUUCAUUCGCUUAGUGACGGGUCCCACGUAUGGGAGUGAUUUUUUUGUUGUUGUUGAUUUAGCAUAAUCACGAAAUUUAGACAUGCUUAUAAAUUUAGUCCUCAAUUUAGGAGUAGGAAAUUUUUAUGAAUAUAUGACGUGCAUGUUUACUUAAAAAAUUAGAAUGAAAAAUUAUGAAUCCAGAAAGUCAAAAAUACAAUGAAAGAAAUUUAGGAGUAGGAAAUCUUUUGACAUAUUUUUUUCUAUUUUUAUUUUAUUUUUUAGUUGUUGAAUUAUCAAUGUAAAGUAGAACUCAAAUACUUUUUGACUCCACAUAACCACAUAAAAAUCAAGAAUUGAAACAGAGUAAUUCUAAUACUAGUUCGUACUCUAACCUAGUGCAAAAAGUUAGAAUUGUAAAAAUUUAGAGCUGAUCUUGGUGAAAUAUAGAACGUCAUAGGACCAUGAUUCUGGAACUCCUUUCCCUCCUUCAACUGUGGUCGGCCUGGGUCAGAUUUCUCGUUCAGGGAUUUACCUCUUCUGAAUAGUCCGCCCUUGAUGGGUCAACUCUAGUUAGUUAAUCCAAGCAUAGGAAGAUGAGACAAAAUACACACAAAGUUGUUAGGAUAUCUUUUCUUUUUAUAUUUGAGCGAUAUUCUAAUCUAAUCCAAAUUCAUGGGAGGAUUCAAAUUUGGCUACACUCGGAUUCACAUAUUCGGAUUGAUUUUAAAUUAAAUCCAGGUUGAAACAGAAGAUAUUGAAGUUGGGAUUGAAAUAGAAGAUAAAGCGUAAUAUAAAGUUACAUUACAAUAACAUGUUCUAUUAAAUGAAAGUGACUAAAGAUUGAAAAAAAUGCUACACUGCGUGAUCAACUCCGGCAACGAGCAUUAGCACUGCAUCCACGGUUGUAGGGGUUACUCUGAUUCUGAGCACCCGGCUUGCAGUUGUUGGAGGAAGCACCUCUCUGAGAGCAAGGCACAGUGUUUCUCUGCAGAGCUUCAUAGCUUAUGUUUCGUGAGGUGGCUAAGAUGUGUUGAAUUAUAAGUCUCUAGCUGAUUAGAAAUAAGUUGUGAUGUUAAUAUGUGUAUGCACUUAUGUUAAAAUACUAAGUGAGAAGAUAUAUAGAUGUAAAGGCCAUGAGUGCCAUGUGUGAUGAUCUUAUAGAUUAGCUAAAUGUGUGGCUGAGAUCUGUUAUUUUGAAUGUCCAUGAUCCAGCUCAGGUUUUGUAAAGCUAUAUAUCCUCUCUUGCACGUUGAGUGCAAGCUAGAGAGACAUUUAAUGAAAACAUUAUUCUUCUGAGUAAUUGCAGAAGAAAGAACCACCACCUUCUCUCUCUGUUUUCUUUUUCUCUUUCGAAUUUGCUCUCUUUAAAAUACUAACAUGGCCUCAGAGCCUAUGUUCGAUUAGAUCUGGGCGUGUUCUGUGCACUCAAACAUCACCGGUUUUGGGUUCGGUGAAGUUUGCCGGAGUUUAUUUGUGAUCUAAGAACUACGUGUUCCUGGAUUCACACAAGCUCACGAUGGCUGAAUCUGGGAGUACUGAAGUAAGGACCCCGAUCUUCUCCGGUGAGAACUACGAGUUCUGGAGAAUCAAAAUGGUUACCAUUUUCAAGUCACAUGGACUAUGGAGUCUGGUGGAAAAAGGAAUUUCAACUCCCGAUUCGAAGAAGAAGAAAGCUAAGACUGAUGAAGAUACAGAUGUUGAUACUGACGAUGAUGAGAAAAUGGCUGCAAUCUUCAUGAAAGAUGCAAAAGCUCUCGGAAUCAUUCAAGGCGCAGUCUCCGAUCAGAUCUUCCCUCGAAUCGCAAACGCAGAUUCAGCAAAAAUGGCAUGGGAUCUGUUAUAUGGCGAAUAUCACGGUGGGGAUCAGGUAAGAUCGGUGAAACUUCAAAAUCUUAGACGAGAAUUUGAAUACACUAGAAUGCGUGAUGAUGAAUCUUUGACUGUGUAUCUUACUCGUUUAAAUGAUCUGAUUAAUCAAAUGAAGACGUUUGGUGAAACUCUGUCAAAUGAGAGAUUAGUUCAGAAGGUGUUAAUCAGUCUCACUAAGAUGUAUGAUCCUAUAUGCUUAGUGAUAGAAAAUACCAAAUGUCUAGAAUCUGUUGAACUGCAAGAGGUACUAGCUAUAUUGAAGAGUCAAGAGCAGAGGUUUGAUUUGCAUUCCACCGAUGUAACUGAGAGAGCAUUUUCUUCUCUUACUGUUAAUUCAAAAUGGCAGAAUCGAGGUUAUGCUCAGUCUAGUAUUUUUAAAUCACAGAAAAAUUGGAAUAAAAAGGGUAAGAAGUGGGAUUCAAAACCAAAGUUUCAGCAAAAAUCAUUCACAAAUGUUGCACAGAAUAGUACUUCUUCACAAGUUAUGGGUCAAGAGAGUGUAAAACCUCAAUGUAAAGUGUGUUCAAAGUUUCAUUAUGGUGAAUGUAGAUACAAUGGGAAAUCGAAGUGCCAUAAUUGUGAUAGAUUUGGACAUUGGGCCAAAGAGUGUACUGUUGGAAAGUCUGUUCAAAAGGCAAACUGUGCAAAUCAAAUGGAGGUGACAGGAAAUCUAUUUUAUGCAAAUUGUGCAGUUGCUGAGACUAAGGUCAAUGGAGAUUGGUACAUAGAUAGUGGUUGCAGUAACCACAUGACAGGAAAUGUGGAUUUGCUGGUUGAUGUGAGAACCAACAUAGCUGGCAAAGUUCAAAUGCCAACUGGAGAUCUUGUGAAUGUAGCUGGAAUGGGAUCACUGGUGAUAGACACAAAUAAGGGCAGAAAAUAUGUGAGAAAGGUAAUGUAUUUGCCUGGUUUAAAAAAGAAUCUGCUAAGUGUAGGUCAAAUGGAUGAGCACGGAUAUUUUCUUGUGUUUGGUGGUGGAGUGUGCAGUGUGUAUGAUGGUCCAUCACUGGAAUGUUUAAUCAUGAAAGUGAAGAAGAAAGUGAACAUGUGUUAUCCACUGGUUUUAUUAUCUGAGAAUCAAGUAGUCUUAAAGGCUAGUGUCACUCACUCCACUGAGAUUUGGCAUAAGAGAUUUGGACACCUGCAUCUUGAUGGUCUCAAACAGUUGAGAGACAAGGAUAUGGUACACGGCUUACCUCAGCUUGAAGACUACAAUGGAGUCUGUGCAGGUUGUCAAUUUGGAAAACAACACAGAGAAGAGUUUCCAAGAAGUCAAGUACAGAGAGCAACUUCUCCACUUGAACUUAUACAUGUUGAUCUGUGUGGACCCAUGAAAAAUGAGUCAAUUGCAGGAAAUAAAUAUUUCAUGCUUUUGGUAGAUGAUAUGACCAGGAUGAUAUGAAUCUAUUUUCUGCGAUACAAAUCUGAUGCAUUCAACUGUUUUAAAAAAUUCAAAGCCAUGGUAGAACUACAAAGUGGUUUCAAGAUCAAGUAUCUGAGAAGUGAUAGAGGAGGGGACUUCAAAUCAUUCGAAUUUGACUCGUUCUGUGAAAAAGCUGGAAUUCAAAGGCAGUUUACCCUUGCAUAUACUCUACAGCAAAAUGGAGUAGUAGAAAGGAAAAACAAGACUGUGGUUGAGAUGGCUAAAUCUAUGUUGCAUGAGAAGAGUUUACCAUAUUUUCUCUGGGCAGAGGCAGUUCACACAUCUGUGUAUGUUUUAAACAGAUGUCCCACAAGGGCUUUGAAAAACAUCACACCUUUUGAAGCCUACUCGGGAAGGAAACCAGGAAUAGCUCAUCUGAGAGUAUUUGGUUCAGCAUGUUAUGUUCAUGUUCCAAGUGAGCACAGACAUAAACUUGAGCCUAAAAGUUUCAAAGGGGUGUUUGUGGGAUAUGCAACUUGUGAAAAGGGAUAUAGGGUGUUUGAUCCCAUAUCAAAGAAGUUGAUAUUAUCAAGGGAUAUUGUUUUUGAUGAAGAAGCUGUAUGGAAUUGGGAAGUGAACUCUGAGCAGCCUAUCUCUACUACUGAAAACCUUGUUUAUGAUGAAUUAAGAACAGGAAGAAAUGAAGGAAUGAUGCAGACUCCUACCUCAUCAACAGCAUGCUCACCUAGGAAUGUUCUUAGUAUUGGAGAUUCUGUCCAAUCUAAGGGACUUACAUCAGGUGAAUCUGUAAACAACUCAAACUUGAGUGAAAAGGAUACUCAAGCAUUUGAUCAUACACCAUUGAAGUGGAGAAAACUGGAUGACGUCUUAGCACAAUGUAAUCUCUGUAUUAUGGAUCCAGAGAAAUAUGAAGAUGCCAAACAAGAUGUGUCUUGGUUAAAAGCCAUGGAGGAUGAGAUGUUCAUGAUUGAAAAGAAUGGCACCUGGAUGCUUGUUGAUAGACCAACUGAGAAACCUGUCAUUGGGGUUAAAUGGGUGUACAAAACCAAAUUAAACCUUGAUGGUUCAGUGUUGAAGAAUAAAGCAAGGUUAGUUGCAAAGGGCUAUGCUCAAAAGCCUGGCUUGGACUACAAUGAGACCUAUGCACCAGUUGCUAGGUUAGAUACUAUUAGAACUUUGAUUGCCUUAGCUGCACACAAGAGCUGGAAGUUGUAUCAGUUAGAUGUGAAAUCGGCUUUUUUGAAUGGAGUUUUACAAGAAGAGGUCUAUGUUGAACAGCCCGAAGGUUUUGUUGUUAAAGGCAAGGAAGAAAAAGUGUACAAACUUCCUAAGGCUCUCUAUGGUCUAAAACAAGCUCCACGAGCUUGGUAUGGUGAAAUUGAUAACUAUUUCACACAGUGUGAUUUUGAGAAGAGCCUAAGUGAACCAACUCUAUACAUAAAGGCAAGGGGAGAAGAUGUCUUGAUUGUUUCCAUCUAUGUAGAUGACAUAGUCUACACUGGAAACUGUAAAACAAUGCUAGAAAAAUUCAAGGAAGAUAUGAAGAUGAAAUAUGAGAUGACAGAUUUGGGAUUGUUACAUCACUUUCUUGGAAUGGGGGUGAUCCAAACCGACUCUAGCAUCUUCAUUCAUCAGAAGAAGUAUGCAAGUUCUUUACUAAGCAAGUUCGGUCUGAAUGAGUGCAAAUCUGUGAUCACACCACUUGUGGCAACUGAGAAAUUAACUAAAGAUGAUGGAAGUGGAGCAGUAAGUGAAGAGUUAUACAGAAGCAUUGUGGGAAGUCUUCUAUAUCUCACUGCUACUAGGCUAGACAUCAUGUAUGCAUCUAGUUUACUUGCUAGAUUUAUACACUGUCCUACUAGCAAGCAUUUUGGAACUGCCAAACGUGUGCUCAGGUACAUCAAAGGGACUAUAGACUAUGGUUUGGAGUAUACAAAGGGCAAGAAAGCAAUGUUGAUUGGCUAUUGCGACAGUGACUGGGGUGGAUCAUCAGAUGAUAGCAAAAGUACAUCUGGAUAUGCAUUUUCUUUUGGAAGUGGAGUUUUUUCUUGGGCUUCAGUUAAACAAAGUUAUGUGACAUUAUCCACUGCAGAAGCAGAGUACAUAAGUGCAUCAGAGGCUACUACUCAAGCUAUAUGGCUGAGAUUUGUCUUGGAAGAUUUCGGAGAACUACAGACUGAAGCCACUUCUCUUCACUGUGACAACACUUCUGCCAUUGCAAUCACUAGGAAUUCUGUCUUUCAUCAAAAGACCAAACACAUAGACAGAAGGUAUCACUUCAUUAAAGAUGCACUGCAAGAAGGAAUCAUUGAUUUGAUUUAUUGUCCCACUGAAGAGCAGAUAGCAGAUAUUUUCACAAAACCUUUAGCCAAUGAUCGGUUCAACUAUCUCAGAAAUUUGCUUGGAGUGAAAUCAGCUCAAGACUUAAAGGGGAGUGUUGAAUUAUAAGUCUCUAGCUGAUUAGAAAUAAGUUGUGAAGUUAAUAUGUGUAUGCACUUAUGUUAAAAUACUAAGUGAGAAGAUAUAUAGAUGUAAAGACCAUGAGUGCCAUGUGUGAUGAUCUUAUAGAUUAGCUAAAUGUGUGGCUGAGAUCUAUUAUUUUGAAUGUCCUUGAUCCAGCUCAGGUUUUGUAAAGCUAUAUAUCCUCUCUUGCACGUUGAGUGCAAGCUAGAGAGACAUUUAAUGAAAACAUUAUUCUUCUGAGUAAUUGCAGAAGAAAGAACCACCACAUUCUCUCUCUGUUUUCUUCUUCUCUUUCGAAUUUGCUCUCUCUAAAAUACUAACAUCGCCUGCUAAUCUCCGAGUCCAUGCCAAACUCAUCAUCACGAUCAUCCAUACACUCUGCUACAGAACCCUCGCAGCGAGGUCUCACUGGAACCCAGCUCACCCCAUGAUCGCCGCCUGCAUCAACGGAGAUGAUCAGAGCGGCCACGAAGGCCAAGGAAAAGAUAAUCGCUGAGGAAUUGGCCAUAGGUUUUGGUAUGGUCUGUGUUUUUAGCUGCCAACUUGUAUUUUGUUGUACGCCUGUUUAAUUACAGAGGGAGACAGAUGAGGCGGCAAGAGAGAGAAGAUAAAGUUGGUGAAUUCUUAUGUGUAUAUUAUUGCACUCCAUUGUGUUAUUUAUAGUAGUAAAAAGUAUAAAAAAGGGAAAGUCCUUGUUCUUUAAUUAAUCCAUAGUAGUAAGAAGGGAAAAUCCUUAUCUUUCAGGUAAUCCAUCUUAGAUAAGACACAAUCUACAAGAUAUUCUGCAGUCCCAUAAGGAUUUUUUACACACAUUCCUAGUAAGUUUGGACUUUGAUAUAUUUAAAUUUGAUUAAAUGAAAAAUUGGAUGCUGAUUUCUUCAAGGAGGUGAUUGUGGAUGCAAAUUUCUCCCUUAUUGAUCUUGGACAAAAUUGCACCUACAAAACAAUUAACACCUUAGGAUCAAGGCCAAGAGCCUCACGCGCCCACGAUGAACGCCGGGGGGGGGGGAGCUUUGGCCGAAGAACCUCUGAUGCCAAAGUUAGAAUUUAGAGAGAAAAGUGUUUAGAGAGUAUUGAGAAUUUUGCAAGUGUGUUGGACCUAGGUUUUGGUGAAAAUGGGAGUCAAUACAUAGGGCAUAGGGUGUAACUUAUGGUUUAAUGUGUGAUUUAAUGGAUUAAUUAGGCAAUUAAUCCAUUGAUUGGUUAAUCAACACAUUUUUGGAAUAAAUAUUUUGGGGGUUAUGUAAUUUAUACCUUGUGGAAAAUAUAGAAUGAGGAUGGAUGAAAUAACUUUGAAUUUGUUACUUAUUUUGGGCACGUUUGAUUUGGUUGAAGGAUAAUUAACCGCUGCUCGCACGUAGGAAUGCCGUUGUAACUCAAGAGUAUUUUGUCUUCUUUUGUCCAAAAAUCCAUGUGUUGCCUUGUGAUUAUUUUUGGCUCCAUAGUGAUUACUUAAAUGACUUGCACUAAUUAGCCUUAGGGCUAGUUUGGUAUUCCUGUGCUUUGAAAAAAAAACUGCUUCUGCUGUGAAAUAAAGCGGUAGAGUGUUUGGUAAACUUUUUUGUAAAAGUGCUUUUAGCAAAAAAAUCAGUGUUAAAGUGCUUGGUAAAUUUUUAUAUAAAACUGCUAUGAUUAUGUUAAAUGACUAAAAAUGAUAUAAUGUUAAAUUUAAUAUAUAAUUUUUUAUUUUUUAAUCUCUAUAAUUGUCGAGUCAUCCAAACUCUUCCAUUUUCCAAAUCCCAUUUAUAAUUCUAGAGUCAUCCUUUUCGCCUAAUUUUUUUUUUCAUUUGACUUUCAGAUCCGAUAUGUUAGCGUUCCGUUGGUCAUCAGACAGGAUCACACUAAGCGUAGGCUGUUUCCGGAUCAGAUCUAGCCGAAGAGCUCUCCCCCUAUAACUUGAAUAUGGCAGUUUCCCACUAGCCGCUUAAAGGAGUACUCAAGGAUUACCCUAUUACCAAUCUCGAAUUGGCCUCCUACUGUCCUCGCUAAGAAAGAGUCUGCCCGCUUAAUUCAAUGAAGGAGUUGAUAUUUAUCUAUUAAAGUAAUUUAUCAAUUACGGAAUUCAAGGUCGGAUGAUAUCAGUUCUCUGUACCCAAGAAGUUCGGGGAAAGGAAAUAGAAGCAAUGCAGACUGAAUUUGACGAACUCCCCACCCAUACUAAAAAGCAAAUAAAGACCCAUGUUUAGCGUCCUCCACUCUAAGGACCACAUUAUUGAAUAUGAUAGUAGACAGAUGGCAUUAUCCUGUAUUGACAAAUGUCAUAAUCGUGUGAGAUCAUUGUUGAGAUGUUAGCUUAGUCAAUAAGCUACUAUGUUUACUAUAAAUAGGAGAUUGCACCACCAUGUAACUAAGUCUUUUGUAAUUCAUUACAAUCAAUAUACAAAGAUAUUUUCUCUCUAUCUCUCUUUUUCUCUAUUUCUUUCUUCCUUGUCGAUGGGUUUCUUGAUUUCUACUUCCGCAACUCUGUUAUCAUGGUAUCCAAAGCCAAGUUCUCAAUUCGAUCUUCAGAAUUAAUGCUGGAAUUCAAAGCGGGGGAUGGUCUUGUGAAGGGAGUUAGAAUUUUUUUUGAGGUGGUGGAGAUUUCUGUUCGUCGGUGCCGUGUCGGUGUACUUCAAUCUCAUCUUCAUGCUGAUUUCUUUGAAGAUUUGAUGGUAUCUGUUCUUAUUCCUCUAUAAUUCAUACUUUGUUGAUUUCAAUUCAAGGCACGAAGCCAUUCUUGAGCACGAAGCUGAUUGUCUUUUCCGGUGAAAUUGAUCAUGCAAAAUUGGUGUUCUCUUGAGUGUAUAUUGGACAAUUGUUGAUUGUAUAAGCAAGAAAUGUUAGGGCACAAUGCCAUACUCUUGAAAAUUGUUUCCAAUUGUUGAUAUUUGUUGAGUUCUGAGAUAAUUGAAAAGUUAGGGCACGAAGCCAGAUUGUUGAGAAAACUUUGGGGCACGAAGCCAGGUUCAUUUUGUAAAUCUUGAAGGUUAUUGUUGAAUUGGUGUGUAUUGAUUCUGUGGUUCAUGAUGGCGUCUUCGUUUAAGAUUGAUGGUUUGUUAGGCAUGUUUACCAUUCGUUUGCAAGAAGACAAUUUUGCCAAAUGGUCAUUUCAAUUCUGUUUUGUGCUUGAAGGGUAUGAUCUGUUCGAUCAUUUUGAUGGUACUAAUGUUUGUCCGCCUAAGUAUCUGAUUUCUUUGGAUGGUGGUGUUACUAAAGAACUCACACAAGCUUAUAAGGAAUGGAUUAAAACUGAUAAAGCUUUGUUGAGUUUACUCAUCGCCAUACUUGGUGACGAGGCUAUUGAAUAUGUUGUUGGUAGUAAGACUACAUUUGAAGCCUGGACUAAUCUUACUGAUAGAUAUGCUACAGUUUCUAGGGCUCGCAUUAAUCAUCUCAAGACUGAAUUCUAUACAAUCAAGAAAGGGUCCGAUUAUAUUGAGAAAUAUUUGCUUCGGCUGAAGAAUUUGAAAGAUCAAUUGCUUUCUGCAGGGGAAGUGAUUUCUGAUAAUGAUUUGAUAGUGGUUGCUCUAGCUGGUUUACCUUCUGAGUAUAAUAUCAUUCGUACUGUAAUUGUUGCCAGAGAAACACCACUUACUCUUAAAGAAUUUCGAGCACAGUUGCUCAGUGCUGAGAGGACUGCUGAAGAUUUACCAAGUUCUCUUCAUUAUCCAAUAGCUGGAAUGUACUGUCAAGGAGAGUCUUCGAAUUCUGGUGGCUAUAAUGGUUUUCAUGAUCACAAUACAAGUAAUGGGAGGCAGUUUUAUCAUGGAGAGUCUUCGAACUCAGGUGGUCAAGUUAGUUCUCAUUCUACUGAAAACUAUGGUUUUGUGGGGCAAUACAACAUCUCUAAUCCAAGGGGUCAUUCGAGUGGGAGCUUCUCUCAAGCACAUAUUCCUCAGCAAUAUAAGUCUCAUAGACCUAAUAGUAAUAAUGGUGGUUCCAAUGGUUCUCGGUAUAAUUCCAGAUCAAGAUUCAAUGGGGGUUUUAAUACCAGACACAAUGGAAAUAAUGGUUUUUCUAGUAGCAGUGGUUCAAACAGUAAAUGGGGCUCUUCAUGGAACAAUUGGAAUGGCAAUACUGGACAGAAAUCUCAUGUGAUACCCGAAUGUCAAAUUUGCAGUAAGAGAGGGCACACUGCUCCCAACUGUUAUUAUAGAAAUGAACAGCAGCCUAUGGUUAAUCAAGGUAUUCCUGAGUGUCAAAUUUGUGGCAAGAGAGGUCAUGUUGCUCUUAAUUGUUUCCAUCGAAGCAACUAUGCAUAUCAAUGAGCAAAUCCACCUGCAACAUUGACUGCUAUGACUGCUCAAUCUUCCUCUGAUUUUAAUGCAAACCAAGCCUGGAUUAUGGAUACUGGUGCUACCCACCACAUGACUGAGGACCUUCAUGAUCUGAAUGUUGUCACACCAUUUGAAGGAGAUCAACAAAUCACAGUUGGAAGUGGAGAAUGUCUUCCAGUGAAACAUACUGGUUCCAAUUCUCUUCACACUUCUUCUAAAACUUUGAAUCUUCUUACUGUGUUACAUGUUCCUAAUCUUGCAGCUAGUUUAUUAUCCAUUUAUACCUUGUGUAAGGAUAACAAAUGCUAUGUAAUCAUGGAUGAAUUUGGUUUUUGGGUGCAGGACAAGGCAAUAAGGGCAAUUCUAAUGAGAGGAAUGAGUAGUGGCGGUCUGUAUUACAUACCAAAGAGUUUGUUCUUCAAGCACAAUCAAUUGCGACAGUCUGAAUCUUUUCCAAAAGCUUAUCUUGGGAAAUUGGUGCAAGCUUCCUUAUGGCAUCAUAGACUAGGUCAUCCUAGUAAUGCAGUGUUACAUAGUAUGCUUUCUCAUUCUCAGAUUGUGUAUAGGUCUGAUAAAAAUCAACAUGUAUACAGUGAUUGUUUGAGUGGCAAGAUGUCUAGACAAAGUUUUUCUUCUAGUUCUCAUAUCUCUGUAAGACUUUUUGAAAGGGUUUGUAGUGAUGUAUGGGGACCAUCUCCGGUUGUAUCAAUUGAAGGCUAUAAAUACUAUGUGAUUUUUGUUGAUGACUUUACUAAGUUUACUUGGUUCUUUCCUUUGACUUAUAAAUCUCAAGUUGCAUCAGUCUUUGAGCAGUUUUAUGCCUUUAUUCAGAACCAUUUUAAAACCUCAGUACAAUACUUUCAAUCUGAUGGAGGAAGUGAAUACAUGAGUUCAAAUUUUCAGAAGUUUUUGAAAGCUAGAGGUAUUAUACAUUUAGUUUCUUAUCCUUAUACCCCUCAACAAAAUAGGAUGGCUGAGAGGAAACAUAGGCACAUAAUUGAGACUGCAAUCACACUGUUGAAUUCAGCUAAGUUACCUCAUAAUUUCUGGACACAUGCAUGUAUUCAUGCUAUCUUUCUCAUAAAUCGAAUGUCAUGUUCUUCUCUGGACAUGAAUUCUCCUUAUUUUAAACUCUUUGGAAGUCAUCCUGUGUUACAUUCUGUUAAAGUGUUUGGGACUGCAGUUUAUCCUUAUCUUAGACCCUAUGUAAAGAAUAAAUUGGAACCAAGAACUGAACAGUGUGUUUUUCUGGGAUAUAUGUUGGGUUACAAAGGUGUGGUCUGCUAUCACAGGUCCAGAAAGAGGUUGUUUAUCUCUAGGCAUGUUUUUUCCUUUUCACAAACCAUGCAUAGUUCAAAGCAGACAUGAUGUUUCAUCUUCUUCUACGAUCCAUCCUAUCAUUGUUCCUUCUGUAUUUUCUGUUCAAUUUGCAAAUUCAGCUAGUAUGGUAGAAUUGGGUGAUCAUCACGAUUUUGGUCUACUUAGAUCUUCUGCAGUACAUACUUCUCAUUGUGCACAUAACAAUGGCUCCUCUUCCAGAGUAACAUCUGCUAGUUCAUUUUCUUUACAGGCUUCAUCAAAUUCCACUACUCCACUCUCUUCAUCAGCAUCUUCACAUGCCCUGUUGCCUGUCCCAAGUUUGCCUCACCCUGAGGUACAUUCCCAUCCUGUUACUUAUGCUAAUGUACCAGUUAAUGAUGACAAUAUUGUUGCUUCUCCUCUAUCCUUGUCAACUCAUCCAAUGCAAACAAGAUUGAAGACGGGAACCAUUUCUCGAAAAGAUUACACUGCAUGUUCAGCUAGUACAUCUCUUGAAUCUUCUGACAAUUCAUUUGGUUCGAGUGUUUUUCCUUGUCUUGGUUUCACUGAUGUCUUUGAUAUUAAGGAACCUACAGAACCAUCAUCAUAUAAACAGGCUGUUACUUGUGAACAAUGGAGAGAAGCUAUGAAAGAGGAAUUCAAUGCUCUUCAUAAACAAGGAACAUGGGAACUUGUUCCAAUGCCUACUAACAAGAAUGUCAUUGGCAGUAAAUGGGUAUAUAAGAUCAAACGAGAUCAGAAUGGCAAGAUAUCAAGGUAUAAGGCGAGAUUAGUAGCUCAAGGUUUCAGUCAAGAACAUAGUUUGGAUUAUGAAGAAACUUUUAGUCUAGUGGUCAGACACAGUACUGUUCGGAUUGUUCUUGCUUUAGCUGCUACAAAUAAAUGGCCUUUAAGGCAAUUUGAUGUUAAAAAUGCAUUUCUCCAUGAAGAUUUGCAGGAAGAGGUUUUCAUGAAGCAUCCUCAAGGUUUUACAGAUUCAUCUCAUCCUGAUUAUGUCUGUAAAUUGAUUAAGUCCCUUUAUGGCCUUAAACAGGCACCUCGGGCAUGGAAUUCUAAAUUUACAACAUACUUGCCUUUUCUUGGUUUUGUGGUUUCCGAAUCAGAUACAAGUUUAUUUGUCAAGACCCAAGGUGAUGCAGUUGUUAUUCUUCUUCUCUAUGUUGAUGAUAUAAUCAUCAUUGGAUCUGAUUCAGUAUUGGUUCAACAAGUUAUUUCCAAUCUUAGAGAGGUAUUUGAUAUGAAGGAUAUGGGGGCUCUCACAUUUUUUCUUGGAUUACAUAUUACUUACCAAGUGAAUGGCGAUUUGUUUCUUUCUCAAUCGAAAUAUGCCAAAGACUUGAUAAAAAAGGCGGGUAUGACUACUUGUAAGCUUUCUCCUACUCCUUGUAAACCUCAUACACAACUAUUGCGAAAUGAAGGAACUCCACUCAUUGAUCCUACUAUUUUUCGAAGUUUAGUGGGUGCACUGCAGUAUCUGACUUUUACCAGGCCUGAUAUUGCGUUUGCUGUCAAUUAUGCAUGUCAAUUCAUGUCCAAUCCUACUGAUGUACAUUUUGAGUUAGUCAAACGCAUUCUGAGGUAUUUACAAGGGACUGUUGAGUGUGGUGUUACUUAUUCAUCUGCUGAUACUAUGGAUCUCACUGCAUUUAGUGAUGCUGAUUGGGCAUCGGAUAUCAAUACCAGAAGGCCCACAACAGGAUAUAUGGUGUUCUUGGGACAAAAUCCAGUGUCUUGGCAGUCUAGAAAACAAGGUAGUGUUUCAAGAAGUUCGACAGAGGCCGAAUAUAAAGCUCUAGCCAAUGCUACUGCAGAAAUAGCUUGGAUUCGAUUGAUUCUUAAAGAUUUGAAAGUGUUUCUGCCUUCUCCCCCACUUUUGCAUUGUGAUAAUGUUUCCACUAUUGCUCUGUGCUCUAAUCCUGUUUUUCAUACCAAAAUUAAACAUCUCGAUACGGACUUUCAUUUUGUUCUUGAACGGGUUCAAAAAGGAGAUUUACAAGUGGAGUACAUUUCUUCUACAGAUCAGGUUGCUGAUAUUCUUACAAAAUGACUUCAUGGACCUGUUUUCUUACAUCAUUGUCUUAAUCUCAAACUGGGUUCCCCAGUUGCGAUUGAGGAUGGGGUAUUGAAUAUGAUAAUAGACAUAUGGCAUUAUCCUGUAUUGACAAAUGUCAUAAUCGUGUGAGAUCAUUGUUGAGAUGUUAGCUUAGUCAAUAAGCUACUAUGUUUACUAUAAAUAGGAGAUUGCACCACCAUGUAACUAAGUCUUCUGUAUUCAUUACAAUCAAUAUACAAAAAUAUUUUCUCUCUAUCUCUCUUUUUCUCUAUUUCUUUCUUCUUCCUUGUCGAUGGGUUUCUUGAUUUCUACUUCCGCAACUCUGUUAUCACACAUUAUCCAGAAGUUCAUUCUCAUUUACCUCAAGAUCAUCGACAAGAUCGAUCUUCCAAUUUCUGAGACUGAGAUUUCUACCUUUUUUCCCCCUAGUUAUAUAACUUCCACUACCACUAGUUUCCCAAUUUCAUCUCCCCUACCAUCCAUGGCGUCUGCAAGCUCUCACAAACACCCAUCUCCUCUGUCAUCCACUACUUUCCCCAUCACUUUCCCACCUUCCUCUUGGAGUUGUAGAAGGAGCUUGCUAUGAAGAUCUGUUGUGUGAAAUUGUGCAUCUUGGAUUGAAAACUUUUUUAACACUGGGUUUUGGAUUUGUUUCCUGGUCUGCAAUGCGACGACGAGUUGAAAAAUACUCUGAUCAGAUUUCGAUUUCGAAAAUUAAAAUCUGGUAAAACAAGAAUAUCAACGAUGAAGAUUCGAUCUCAACCCAAUGAGAAGGAGAAACGGAGGAGCGUAUUUUUGAGAUUGUGAAAGUUUCAUUAAAAUCUACUGUUCACCCGCCUUCUUGAAAAAAUAAAAGCUGGUUUUGAGAAGCAGCAAAAAUGCAACUUCUGAUUUUUGCCACUUUUCAGCUUAUAAUGACCUGUGAUUUUUAAAAUAAGCAGAGUUACCAAACACAAAUUGUACUCCAAUUUUUUUUCAUCCCAGCUUUUAAAAUAAUUUAAGCAGUACCAAACCUUACCUUAUUCUAAUUGCAACAAAGAAAGCUGAAACUGGAAUAAUUCGUGAUUUGUUCAAACCAAGAAUACGAAAUCAACAACCUACUAGAAAAUAUGCUCGUAGAGAUUUACGGGUUGUUUCAGCAAGUAAUUUUGCUAAAAGCGCUUUUAUUAAAACAACGUUGAUAAAUCACUUUUAUAAUGAUAUAAGCAUGCCAAAAGAUUAAACUAGUUUACAACAUCAAUAUUAUAAUGAUAGUACUCUCAGUUCAUUCUUGCUCAUAGAAUUAAAGAGAGAAACCGAACUAAACAACAAUGCGGACUAGCUUGGUCAACUCUCAGGCCUUUAUUCUUGAAGAUAGCAAAAUUACUCAAAGUUCCAUAUCAUAUGUAUGCAUAAAUCUUGUGCUUGGCACUUAUUCCUUGAGAAGAUGUGCAUCAAUAUCUUUAAUGACAUUGACCAUAAAGCUGAGGUACUUCUGUGGAGGCGGAUCGUUCUCGUUGAGUUUUUCAUAUUCUAAAGUAAUUUUCACAAAACCUCCUUCACUCUUUGGAGUGACCUGGAAAAUGAUCUUGUAGCUUUUGUAAUUGUCCAGCACAUGUGAUCCUUCCAGAGCUGUAAGACUCACCCACUUGUUUACUUCAUCUAUUUCCACCUUUUCCUUGAAUGUCUCGACAUUUCCAUCUACACGUCACAUGGAAAAUUACAAUGAUACAUCUAUUCAUGGAGAGAUUUUUCAAUGCUCAGAACACUAGGUGGUACGACACAUUAUUAUACAAACGAAUGAAAAUUAUUUUCAAGUGUCUUUUCACUUAUAUAAUGAAAUAUAAUUUAUGUAUCCAUGUUCCGAGCACACUAAAAAUUCUCUCAUGUCCAUGAUCCGAUUCUUUAUAUAUUCAUCGUCAGGUAAUGCAAACCUAAUGGCGCAUGGAUGGCCUGGUCAAUAUAUUUCAGUUUUAAUUCUAGAAGAAUCUUAUACGUACAUAUACAUAUCACGUUAGCAUGUUUAUUUCAUAGCAGGUUAGUUUGUGUUAUUAAAAAAAAAAAAAAAUAAUAAUAAUAGUAAUAAUGUUACAGUAUUAACUAUAAACGUAACAUUAUUAUUAUACAACUUUUUUUAACAAACAAUAUUAUCUACAUUAAGGGAAAGAGGUGAGCUUAGCCUCACAAUGUUUGAACGAUGGAAAUAAAUUUGGACUUUUGACAAAAUUUAGAAUUUAUAAAUUAACAUGCACCAAUUCUCUUGUCUAGAUUCAUAAACAUAGAAAUUUAGAAUUUCCGCGUGAAAAAAGGGAGAAUUUGAGACCUCCAAUUCCCAAGUUUAAAUUUCAUGUAAAUAAGUCACUCAGUAUUACAGUCUUAUAGUAUUUCUCUUCACUUGAAAGUGAGAGGUUAUAGGUUCGAAUCUUGUUAAUGACGAAUUUGAUACCAAAUUAGGCUACCCAUUGUGUGGCUUUGCCGAACUCCCCCUCCCCUUAGUGUAAAAAUAUCGAUGUACUAAAAAAAAUCAUGUAAAUAGGUGUUAUUCCAAAUUUUUAUGAGUGAGAGUUUAAAGAUAACAAAUUCUAUAUUGAAUUUAUAUUAUUCUUUUAAGUUAGUCAAACAAGAAAAUUUACAAAUUCUAGAAAUAAAAUUUCAUAGUAAUUUUAAAUUUUCUCAUUCAAACAUAAUGUUAGAGUCAUGAUGUAACACCCGUCGCUUUUUAUUUAACAAAAUUAAUUAUUAGUUUAACUAGGUUAGGAGGAGAGAGGAGGGUGAUUAAUUUCAUAUUACCUAGGGUGUAUUUCCAGAGCUUGACAGAGCCAGAAGUUUCCCAGUCACCUUCAUGUACUGCAACAUCGUGUAUUUUAUCAGAGGCUGCUUUGGGGACGUCGUGGUGCUGGUUGCUGAUGACUUUGUACAACUUAUCAGCGUUGGCUUUGAUCUCUACCUCAACCUCCACAGUCAGCUUGCAAGCACCAGCUCUGUUGAAUAUAUCAGUCCACCUCAUCAUUCCAGCUCAGCAAUAGUUAGUUAGGCUGUUAUCAAAUUAGUUAGUUAAAUAGCUUAGGCUGUAAACUAGUCAUGAUGGCUAUAUAAACUGUAUUCUCAUAGUUGUAAAGAUUAAUUCAGUAUCAAUGUAACCAAUUACUGUCUCUCUCUCUUAUUCCCUUUUCUCUCUUCUUCUUCGGUACAUGCUCUUUCUGCAACUCUUCAUUUCUGUUAACAUGGUAUCAUCGCCAUGGAUGAUCUUUUGACUUCCGUUGUAGUACCUCUGAUGGGUAGCUGAUCUCUGUGUAAGGUUGAUGACGUUUUGCUGUUCUUGGGAGGCUUCGAUACUUGUCUAUGGAGUUUUCGUUGGUGAUGAAGAUCUGUGCGCUCCAGGUGUUUGAUAAUUUGUGUCAGCCAAUUGUCGGAGUUUGCGAGGAUUCUGGUAUAGGUGUGUCAUCGCCGGAGGUCGGUUCUUGGUGAUUUGUUGCUCUUCCGCUGUGGGUGAACAAGCUUGGAUGUUCGAGUGCGUUUUCUGGGUUUCAAGAUUCAAGUUCUCAGGUUUUGUUUCUGAUUACUAGUUUUCUUUCCAGCAUAUCAACUAUUGUGACUCAGUGAGAAUUUUGUUGGGAAUUUCGGAAGUGUCAAGGCCAAUAGCCGUAUACUUCAGAUUUGUGAAGAGUUCAAGGUCGAAUGUCAUAUUUGAGAAUCUUUAAGGCAAAUUGCCAUUUCUCAGUUGCUAUAAAAUUGUUGAUUGUAUUUCCCUAAGGCCGAUUGCCGGGAUUUUAUGUUGUCUAAAAGAUUGUCUGUUAAUUGGGUUCUCUGUGAUUGUAUGCUGUACUCCCUUAAGGCCGAUUGCCGGAGUAUAAAGCUGUCUGAAAGUUGUUUUCUUGAUGCAAAGUGUUUGUUGGGAUAGAGAGGCCGAUAGCCAUUUCCCUUUUAUGUUUCACUUCAGAAAGGCCGAUAGCCAGAAGUGUGUGUAGAACAUUAACUGAUUUAGAAGAAUAUGAAGGCCGAUUGCCAUUUCUUCUAAGAGAAAGAUUGUUUAGUAGGAUUUGAAGGUCGAUUGCCAUUGUUGAAAGAUUGCUGAAAGAUUGAAUCUUUGAUUCAUUAUUGGGUAUUGUUUGAUUGUUUGUUGGGUAUUGUACACUCAAGAAGGCCGAUUGCCAAGAGUGUCUUAGUUCAAGAUUCUGCAAAGUUGUUCAUAUUCUAUCUGCAAAAGUGAUGUGUGAUGAUAAUGGGAUGAGCAACCUGUUUUAGUUUUGGCAAGUUUGAAAGGAUGAUAACUAUAUGUGGUUGUACCUUAUCGCAAAAGAAAAUAGUAGCUACAGAGGUGUAGAAAUCAGUUUGAGGGGCUGAAAUUCUUUGGGCAGUUGAUGGAUGAGUAUGAAAUUGCAUCGUUCUUAAGUAAUUUUCAAUGCUUGCAGCCAUGGAGGAUUAAUUGGUGAGGAGCAGCAGAGCUAGGAGUAUAUGGACAAGAAGGACUUCCUAAGUUCUACAUUUCUCAAAGCACUCAUUCAAUCUCCAACUAGGAAACUCAGUUGAGAUUGAGGGGGGAUGUUGAAUAUAUCAGUCCACCUCAUCAUUCCAGCUCAGCAAUAGUUAGUUAGGCUGUUAUCAAAUUAGUUAGUUAAAUAGCUUAGGCUGUAAACUAGUCAUGAUGGCUAUAUAAACUGUAUUCUCAUAGUUGUAAAGAUUAAUUCAGUAUCAAUGUAACCAAUUACUGUCUCUCUCUCUUAUUCCCUUUUCUCUCUUCUUCUUCGGUACAUGCUCUUUCUGCAACUCUUCAUUUCUGUUAACAAGCUCCACUCACUGCCAUUUUCUUUUAUUUGUUAUUAGUAAUAUGUGAUUAGUCUGGGGAAAUUGUAGGAGACGUAUACUAACCUACAGGUUUCAACUUCUUAUAUAGAGUCGCAAAGUUGUAAAUUAACAUGUUAUAAACUGAUAGUUAUGGAGGCAGCGUGUGGAUAUGAUCCGAUCACUUAAUUAAAUAGUUAUAUAAUAAUAUUGUGUCUGUGGAUCUUCCACGCAGAGUUUUAUUAUUACACCUACCAAACUUAAGAGCACCCGCAAACUUGAUGAGACAUAUAUCAACACGUGAGAACAAUGAUUGAUCAACAUUACCUCCAUAGUAUUAUUAGAGUGAAUGAUUGUAUGAUAUUAAUUAAGCAUUAAGAUCUUGGGAACUUUAAUGAAAAAUUUCUGGUAUUAUUCAUUUUAAUAAAAAAUUAUAUUUUUACAUUAAAAAGUCAAUCUUAAUACUAUUCACUUUAUUCUUUAUUUUGUCCUUAUUGUUAAAACUCAAAAUUUUCAAGCCAUUUUCAUUAAUUUUCUUUAAGAUCUUUUGAUUUGGCAUGCGGAAGUGUGUGUUUGUAUAUUAUAUAGGGAUAAUACUAAGUUAGGUUCAUAUUAUCUUAACUAGUGAUAAAUUAAGGGUUCUUUCGAGUUAUUCGAAACAGUGGUUUAUAUUAUCUUGACAUACGUGCAACCAAACACAAAAAAGAGAGGCUGUAUUGGCUUCCAAAAUAAAACUAGAUGCAAACAAUAAUGUGGAGUUCCGGUUACUCUUUUGGAAUCAACCAAAGCUGAAUCAUUGAUGCCUACUUUCAGAAAGUUUUCCUUUUCUGCAUGCAGAUCUUUUCAAUGGAUGUAGCUCGUUUUGGGAGGUAACCACUUACUUCUUCGAGUUCAUUAAUUUUAGUCAAUCUAAAGUAAUUUAAUUAAGUUUAUUAACCUUACAAUUUUGAGCGUUAAUACUCAAUUUUGGAGGAAUUGCAUCACGUUUACGUAAAGGCAAUCGAAAUAAUAGAGUGGAAUUAAAUUUCAAUUACGGAAUACUCCAGUAUUUACUAAAUAUUGGAGAAUAAAAAAUUUGAUAGCACCCACUCAAUUUUUUUAAUCCAAUACUAAUUCAUACUCAAAUUUUGGAAUAAAAAAUCUAAUACUAAUUCGUACUCAUCAAAUGAAAGUAAAAUCUAAUUCUUCAUUUUUUAAGUACUUAAUUAUUGUAAUGUGAGUAAACGCAUGAAAAUCAUGAUUUAGAAUAUUUUCUAAUGCAGACUCUAAGUCUGAAAUUGAAAUAUAAAGAUAGCCCUUGAAGGGUCGAUUCUGGUUAAUCUAGGCAUGAGAAUACGAAAAAAUACACACAAAGUUAUUAAGAUAGCUUUCCUUUUUUAUAUUUUAGCGAUAGUCUAGUCUAAUCCAACAUUAGACCACAUUCAGUAAUUCAAACUAAGAGAAGGGGGAUUCAAACUUGGCUACACUCGGAUUCUCAUAUUAGGAUUGAUUCUGAAGUAAAAGAAUAUAACCAAGUUGAUCAAGAAAUUUCAAAAUUUCUAAUGGAAACUUAUUAGAAUUUUUUUGUGAAUGUGUUGAAGUUGGGAUUUUUUUGUUUUCGUAUUGAAGUUGGGAUUGAAACAGAAGAUAAAGCAUAAUAUAAAGUUUCAUUACAAUUAACAACAUGUUCUAUUAAAUGAAAGUGACUAAAUAUUGAAAAACAUGCUACGCCGCGUUGAUCAACUCCGGCAACGAGCAUUAGCACUGCAUCCACGGUUGUAGGGGUUGCUCUGAUUCUGAGCACCCGGCUUGCAGUUGUUGGAGGAAGCACCUCUCUGAGAGCAAGGAACAGUGUUUCUCUGCAGCGCUUCAUAGCUUAUGUUUCGUGAGGUGGCCAAGAUGCGCCUGCUAAUCUCCGAGUCCAUGCCAAACUCAUCAUCACGAUCAUCCAUGCACUCUGCUACAGAACCCUCGCAGCGAGGUCUCACUGGAGCCCAGCUCACCCCAUGAUCGCCGCCUGCAUCAACGGAGAUGACCAGAGCGGCCGCGAAAAUCAACGAAAAGAUAAUCGCAGAGGAAUUAGCCAUAGGUUUUGGUACGGUCUGUGUUUUUAGCUGCCAACUUGUAUUUUGUUGUACGCCUGUUUAAUUACAGAGGUAGAGAGAGGGGGCGGCAAGAAAGAGAAGAGAUAAUCGGUGAAAUUUUGAUGUGUAUAUUCUUUCACCCUAUUGUGCUAAUUAUAGUAGUAAAAAGGGAAAAUUUUUGUCUUUCAAGUAAUUCAUAGGAGUUAGGGAAAAUCCUUGUCUCUCAAGUAAUCCAUCUAAAAUAGGACAUUAUGUAAAAGAUAUUAUACAAUUCCAUAAGGAUUUACACAAUCAUAUUCCUAAUUAAAUUAAGACUGUGACAUAUUUAAAUUUGGUUAAAUAAAAAUUGGAUGUUGAUUUCUUUAAGGAGGUAAUUACUUAAUUGACAUGCUUUAAUUCAACCUUAUUCCAAUUGCAACAAAGACAGCUGAAAUUGAAAUAAUUCGUGAUUUAUUCAAAACCUAACAAGAAAACAAAAUCAACAACUACUACAAAAUAUGCUCGUAGAGAUUUCCGGGAUGUUUCUGCUCUUAAGUGUUUUUGCUAAAAGCUCUUUUAUCAGUACAAGGUUGAGACUUUAGUUAAAAAACUAAGUUGUUCUCGAAAAAAUAUAAGCAUGCCAAUAGAUUGAACUUGUUUACAACAUCAGCAUUAUAAUAAUAUCACACUCAAUUCAUUCUUGCUCAUAGAAUUAAAGACAAACCAAAUCAGAAACCGAAAUAAGCAACAGUGCUAACUAGCUUGCUCAGCUCUCAGGUCUUUAUUCUUGAAGAUAGUAAUAUUACUCAAUGUUCCAUAUCGUAUGUAUGCAUAAAUCUUGUGCUUGGCGCUUAUUCCUUGAUAAGAUGUGCAUCAACAUCUUUAAUGACAUUGACCAGAAAGCUGAGGUACUUCUGUGGAGGCGGAUCGUUCUCGUUGAGUUUUUUAUAUUCUAAAGUAAUUUUCACAGAACCUCCUUCACUAUUUGGAGUGACCUGGAAAAUGAUCUUGUAGCUUUUGUAAUUGUCCAGCACAUGUGAUCCUUCCAACCCUGUAAGACUCACCCGCUUGUUUGCUUCAUCUAUUUCCACCUUUUCCUUGUAAGUCUCGACAUUUCCAUCUACACGUCACAUGGAAGAGUAUAAUUAUACAGCUAUCCAUGGUCCGAUCCUUUAAAUAUUCAUCGUGUGGUAAUGUAAACCCUAUGCAUGGAGGUCUUGUCAUUUUUAAUUCUAAAAGUACAUAUAUAUGAGGUAACGCAAACCCCUAGCUUGCUAGGUUUCAAGUUAGCAUGCCUAAUUAUUUUGCAGCAGGUUAGUCUGUGGUAUUAAAAAAAAAAUGUUAGUCAUAAGUAUAACCUUAACAAUGUUUGGUUGUAAUUUGCUUGCUCCUUCAUGCAAUCUCACAGUCUCACUACCACCUCCACAAGUUUGCGGAGUAAGCAUCUUCAUUCGCCCCAAAAGGGCUUCGUUUCACUAUCUUUUACACAGCGGAGGCUGUAUAAAGCUACGACAGAACAAAAUUCGGCACCCGGGAGAGGGACGAUCUCCAGAGAUUCUUUAACAUUUUUUGUAUUUCUUUUUUUGUUGAAUCAUUUCUUGUAAUUUAAACAUUUAGCGUCAUCUUGUAAUUUAAAUAUUACCUAUGGUGUAUUUCCAGAGUUUGACAGAGCCAGAAGUUUCCCAGUCACCUUCAUGUACCGCAACAUCGUGUAUUUUAUCAGAGGCUGCUUUGGGGAAGUCAUAGUGCUGGUUGCUGAUGAAUUUGUACAGCUUAUCAGCGUUGGCUUUGAUCUCUACCUCAGCCUCCAUAGUCUCCAGCUUGCAAGUACCAGCUCCACUCACAGCCAUUUUAUUUUAUUUGUUCUUUAUAAUAUGUGAAUAACGAUAGUGUAAGUCUGGGGAAUUGUAGGAGACGUAUACAAACCUAUAGGUUUCCACUUCUUAUAUAUAAAGCCAUGUUAUAGUUACGGAGGCAGUAUGUGGAUAUUAUCCGAUCACUUAAACAGUUAAAUGAUAACAAUGUGAGAGUGGAUCUUCCACGUAAAAUUUUAUCACCACUACACACCUACCAGAAUAAAACUUUUUUCUUUUUUUUUUUAAUUAAAAGAAGAAAUGUCAAUUUCAUUCCGCAUUAUUAUCAUGGAACAAGACAUUAUUUUGAAUACAUUGAAGAAGAAAAAAAAAUAUAUAUAAUAAGUUAGAGGGGACAUGAAGCCUAGCCCUAACAAGAAGUAGAAAACUAUUUGAAACAACAAUCAAUUAAGACAACUCCUAAGAGAAACAAGAAUUUGGAAACACCGAAAGAUUAUGAGCAAAAGUCAUAACUGCACAUGACGGAUAAGAAUCACACAAAUAAUGAAAACUAACAUGAUCAACAUAAUAGUUUGCUAAACAAUUUGUUACAUGAUUUCCUUCCCGAUUAACGUGAGAAAACUGAACAUGCAUGGAAGAGAGAAUGGUAUAGUAAUUUGUCAAAUCAACCGAUAAACUAUGGUGCAUUGCCAAACAAGAAUUACACUCAUUUCAAAGAGAAUGCUGCUAACCCCUUUCGAAAGCAAUAUAAAUAACAUGAAUAAUAGCUUUAAGUUUCACUUCCAAAGCAGUAACAAUGCCAAAAAAAUCUUGUAUUAAAGCAUCAAAGAGACCCAAGUGAUCACGAAAAAUACCACAAAAACCAGCAAACUUGAUGAGACAUUUCAACACGUAUAUAUAUAAGAGGAUCAAUGAUUGAUCAACUUUACCUCCAUAGCAUUAUUGGAGUGAAUGAUUGUACGAUAUUGAGGCGUUUGUUUGGAUUUGGCACGAGGAAAUGUGUGUAUAUAUUGUAUAUAUAGUGAUAAAACUAAUUUAGGUUUAUAUUACCUUAACUAGUGAUAAAAUUAAGGGUUCUUUAGAGCUAAUAGAAAUCAAUGGUUUAUAUUAUGUUGACAUAACCUAGAGAGAGAAAAAAAAGAGGUUGUAUUGUCAUCAAAAUAAAAUUAUGACACAAACAAAUAAUGUGGAGUUCAUGUUACUUAUUUGGAAUCAAUCAAAGCUGAAUCAUUGAUGCCUAAUUUCAGAAAAGUUUUUCUUUUCUGGAUGCAGCAUCUUUUCACAGGAUUUUUUUUUCGGUUGUUGUAUUGUGAAGGAACUUCUUGGAUAGUUUUUUUUCCCUUUUACACUAGCUUAGUGUCUUCCUGCCAAAAUAAUGACACAGAAAUUUUCAUCAAAAGGGUUGGCGAUGUCGGGCAGCAAAUGUAGUUUCCCGUGAAAUUGCAAAACUUGCUCACAAUCUGAUGAUUUUGUCUCUUGGGUUGGCUCUCCCUUCUCCUAACUGCUGAAGACUGAUGAAGCAGAAAUUUAAUCAUCAAUGAAUUUCCUUGACUAAUCCAUUAUCUUUCCGUUGCCCGUUCUCUUUGAUUUGUUCAUAAUCCGAUUAUUGUUCAUUCCAAUUCCAAGCGCGUAAACGUGCCCUCAUAGUUAUGGACUUGUUCGCAUCGUUUAAUUUUCCUUGAAUACCUGACUUUGUCGCCUAUGGUUUCACAAGAAAAUAAUCUCUUUGUUAAACCAGAAAAUUUAACGGUUCAUUAAUUAGCAACUAUUUCAUUUUUUAACAAUAUUUGGCUACUCAAAGGAUGAGUAAGAGUUCCUACUCAAACCUAUUUGUUGCCGAUCCAUAGAACUUCAUGUUUAUAAUAGAGCAGUUCAUAUUAGAAAUCACUUUAUAAAAAUUGUCUCUACAAAAAAUCAAUUAGACUAAGGUCGUUUAGUAGUCGAACUGUGAAAAAACAAAGGAAAGAAAUUGGUGAAAACAUUACAAACCAUUUAUGUAUUUACUAGAAUAAAUUGACUAAAUGACCUUAAUUUUAAUUCAAUUUUUGCAGAAAUGAUCUCCACAGUGUGAUUCAUAAUAUGAACAGUUCUGUUCAUAAGCACAAACUUCAGUGAUUCGAACAUGAAAAAUUUUGAGUGGGAGUUCUUACUCAUCUUUGAGUAGCCAAGCAUUGUUCUUCAUUUUUUUUUAUGUCAGUAAUAGUCUGACAAAGAACAAUAAUAAGUAAACUGUGAAAAAAAAAAUAUUUUACAAAUGGAAAAACAAACAAAAUGAAAAAGAAAAUAAAUUAAUAUUUUAAGUUGUUUUCACUUUGAAAAUUUUGUUUUAUUCAUUCCCUCUUUAUCUAAUUCUUAGCCUUCAUGUAUUGAAUUAUGCAUUGUAUUGUAGAAUCCAAAAAAAAAAAAAAAAAAAAACUUUUUUGGAAUCCAUAUGUGUAUAAGCAUGAAAUUAUAGCCCACCCAUAUGAAAAUUUUGACUCCGCGGUUGCAUGUAAGGAUAAACAUGCCAAUAGAUUAAACUUAUUCACACUAUAACAUAAAAAUGCUAUUACACUCAAUUAUAGAAGUUGCUCAAAAGACUAAAGACAGUCCAAGUCGGAACUAAACAACAAGGCUAUAGCUUGCUCUUCUUCCAGCCUUUAUUCUUGAAGAUAUAAGAUUAUCUCCCCUCUUAAUCUCUCUUUCCAUUCCUCCUCUCCUAUUUAAAUGUUUACCGCGUCAACAUCUUGUUUUAAAUUUAUUAUAUAGAGAAAAAGACAAAAAGAAAAGUGUAAGAUGAGGAGGGAGAAUGAAAUGGUAUUGGAAGGUAGAGAAUCCUACUCCAAGUGUUCGUUAGGGGAGAGGGGGACCCUGAGAGCAGAAGACUCUUCAUCUUCAGGUUUGAGAGUAAACGCUUUACUGUUGAAGAUAUAUAGUGAUUGACACAUCAUCAUAAGUGCUACAUCAGCUAUUGGAGUUAGUUAGUUUUUUAAGAAUCAGUUACACAAGUGGCUUAGCUGAUAAGCUACAUGUGCAGACUAUAUAAAGGAAUCAGGGGUCUUUUGUAUCUCUCUUCAUCCUUAUGAAAUAACAAAACUUUUACUCAUUUCUUUCUCUAGUUCUCUCUCUAUUCCUUUUGAUCUUUCUCUCUCUAUUCCUUUGAUAUUGCUUGCAUACAUUCAUCUGUUAGUUGUUAGAUGAAUGUUAUCAUGGUAUCUUCGCCGAGGGUUCGAUCUCGUGGUGUGUAUUUCCGCUGUGUUGUGCCAAAAGAUUGUCUUGAUUGCUGUGCUGUGCUUUAGUGGGUUAAUGAGCUUUUGGCGUUUGGGAAGUCAGACUUCGAGUUUAUCAGGUGUUAUUUUUCUUUUUGCACUCCAAGUGUGUGUGUAAUUGUCGCAAUGAUGAAUCUUUUGUGAAAGACUAAAAGUUGAAGGCCGAUAGCCAUUUCUUGAUGUUUGGAAUAUGAUAUUGAAUGUCAAUAGCCAUUUCUUGAUGUUUGGAGUAUGAUAUUGAAGGCCGAUAGCCAUUUUUCUGAUUGAAUAAUUGUUGAAGCGUUUUCUGUCAAAGCAUAAAGGCCGAUAGCCAUUGCUUUUGUUUGAGUGUUUGUUGGGUUUUUUCACAAGAACAAGGCCGAUAGCCAGUAAUGUGUGUUCUUGGAGUUAUUAUACUUCUUGAAGAUUGUUUGAGUACUUGAUUUCUUGAUUCAGUUUCUAUCAACAAUAUGGCGUUUAGUUCUAUCAAAAUUGAAAGUCUUUUGGGCAUGAUCACUGUUAAGUUGAAAGAAGAUAAUUUUGUCAAAUGGGAUUAUCAGUUUCAAUAGGUGCUUAAGGGGUAUGAUUACUUUGAUUUCUUUAGUGGGGAGUCUCAGUGUCCUCCAAAGUUUGUAAUUAAUACUGAGACUGGGGUCACUAAAGAAAUUACUACUGCAUAUAAAGACUGGGUUAAAACAGAUGUCUCUCUAUUGAGUUUGUUGAUUGCUACACUUUCGGAUGAAGCUAUAGACUAUGUCAUUGGGUGUAAAACUUCUCAAGAAGCUUGGAAAUCUUUUCAGGAACGAUAUGCAUCUGUAUCUGUUGUCCGGGUUAAUCAACUCAAGACUGAGUUUCAUACUGUACAUAAAGGUGCAGAUUAUGUUGACAAGUAUUUGCUUCGAUUGAAGGUUAUCAAGGAUCAACUGGUUGCUGCAAGGGAGAGAAUCACUGAGAAUGAUUUGGUCAUUGCUGCUUUGUCUGGUUUACCUCCAGAGUUUGAAAUGAUCAGGACAGUAAUCUUAGCAAGAGACACUCUGAUUUCAAUGAAAGAUUUUCGAGCUCAACUAAUUGGGGCUGAAGGCAGUAUUGAGUCUCGACUGACAACUUUAUCAAGUUCUAUGGCUGCCAUGUAUGUUCAGGGCAAUGGCUCGAAUACACAGGGAUCUCAGGGAAAUACUCCAAGUUAUGAACAAUGGGAGAGUUCAAAUGCACAAAGGUCUCAAGGGAGGAAUAAUUACAAUAGUGGUAAUAACAACAGGAGGUAUAAUGGGAAUAAUUUCAACAAUCGAAAAUUCUCUGGUGGUUAUAAUGGUGGGAAUAAUAAUUACAGGCCAUAUUCUACUUUUGGGAAUAAUGGGAAAGGUGUUCAAAAUGGAGGUUCUCAAAGUUAUUUUUCUGGUAAUGGAAGCAAACAAGGAAACACUUGGAAUGGUGAUACAAAUUACAGAAAUGCUAUAUCUCCUGAAUGUCAAAUCUGCUAUAGAAGAGGUCAUACAGCACCAAAUUGUUACUUUGGAGCUGAUAACAAUCAAUCAUCUGGAGGGAUCUUGGUAUGUCAGAUAUGUGGGAAAAUAGGUCAUCGGGAUUUGGAAUGCUUUCAUAGAAAUAACUUCUCAUAUCAAGGCAGUGCACCACCCACAUCUCUUGUUAGGAUGGCUGCUCAAGGCUCAAAUGUUGCAACUGAAGACUCAAAUAUCCAUGGUUUUUCAGCUGCUGAUACAUAGGUAGUUGACACAAGUGCAACUCAACCACAUGACAUCACAUGUCGAAGUUUUAAAUCAUAUCACUCCUUAUAAUGGUGAUGCCACGAUCACUGUUGGUAAUGGAGAAGGUUUGGUGGUUAAAAAUAUUGGUUCUUCUGUUCUUAACACUCAACAAAAGUCACUCAUUUUGCAAAAUGUGCUACAUGUUCCACACAUUACAAUGAAUUUGUUGUCUGUUAAGAAAUUAUGCAGAGAUAAUAAUUGCUGGUUUGUAUGUGAUGAUCUGAUCUUCUUGAUACAGGACAAAGCAACUCGAAGGAUUGUGUACCAAGGCCAGAGUGAUGAUGGGGAGCUCUUCAAGAUACCAAUAACAGUGCUGUCGAGAUCCAGAGUACCAAGUAUUGAAAGAUGUGCUGCUUUUGUUAGAAAGAAGCUAAAGACUGCAGUUUGGCAUAAAAGGUUGGGUCAUCCAUUUGAAGAAGUGCUUACUGCAAUGUUGAAUAAGUCUAAAGUAUUAGCUAGUAUAGAUUUGUCUCCAUCUAUAUGUACUGCUUGUAUUCAAGGCAAAAUGACUAAGUUGCCUUUCUCUGUAAGUCCCGAUAGGUCAAAAGUUGUAUUUGAAAGGAUACAUUCAAAUAUAUGGGGUCAUUCACCGCAUAGGUCAAUAGAGGGUUAUAGGUAUUACAUAAGCUUUGUAGAUGACUGCUCUCAAUUUGUAUGGAUUUUUCAGAUGGUUAAUAAAUCCGAUGCUUUUCCAAUCUUUACCAAGUUUCUUACAUUUCUUGAGAAUCAGUUUAAUGCUUUUGUUAAAGUUCUUCAAUCAGAUGGUGGAGGUGAGUAUAUGAGUAAUGUGUUUAGACAGUUGUUGGAGAUAAAAGGAAUUAUACACCAAGUUUCAUGUCAUCAUACACCACAACAAAAUGGUCUUGCUGAACGAAAACAUAGACAUUUGGUUGAGAUUGCUAUUAGUUUGCUAUCAGAUGCUCAAUUACCUUCAGCAUUCUGGUAUCAUGCUUGUUUUCAUGCUGCAUUCUUAAUCAAUAGGAUGCCAUCUAGAACUUUGAAGAUGUAGUCUCCCUAUCAAGUUGUGUUUGGUUGUGUUCCUGAAGUGCAGCAUCUUAAAGUCUUUGGUACUGCAGUUUAUCCUCUAUUGAGACCAUUUAAUAAAAAUAAAUUGGAGCCAUGGUUAGCUCAAUGUGUAUUUCUUGGUUUUGCUCAUGGAUAUAAAGGAGUUAUUUGUAAUGAUAUCAAGACUAGAAAGUUCAUUCUGUCAAGGCAUGUAGUACAUGAUGAAGAUGUAUAUUCGUUUAAACAAGUUUUGCCAUCUAAGGAUUCUACACCUACAAAUAGGUGUUCUCAGACACUUGUUUUGAUUCAGUUACAAGUUCCAAGUGAAAAAGUCCUGCCUCAUACACACAUACAACAUGAUUCACAAGCAGCUAGUUCUAUACAUAUAUCAGCAAGUGAUACUGGUUCACAUCACAGUAUUCCUGUAAAUGGUGACAGUAUAAAUAUGGUUGGUGAAUUGAAUGUUUCUAGUUCGGACAAUACACAGGUGAUUCAACCUAGUGAUCAGGAUACAAAUUCGACUGAUACCACUACUCUACAUGCAUCUCCAAGCUCUUCCCAUCAUCACUCUGGUACACAAUCCUUGUUGCAUGUCCACUCCGAGUCACAACUUGAGGUAAUCCUUCCUGAUUUAUCUCCAUUUGAUCUCAUUUUACAUACUGCACCAUCGACUUACUCAAUGGUCACUAGAUUGAAGAGUGGAACAAUUGAGAGACAAAAUUAUGCUGCUUUAAUAGCACAAUGUCCUGAGCUUUGUUCUCUCCAAAUCACUAAUGAAGAACCUUUCACGGGUGGCUAUUCCUUUCUUUCUGAGAUCACUGAUGCUUCAGAACCGAAGACAUUUCGGAAAGCGGCUACUAAUCCACAGUGGCAAAAGGCAAUGCAGGAGGAAUAUGAUUCACUUCGAGCACAAGGAACUUGGCUAUUGGUUCCUGCACCUGAAGAUAGAACAAUUGUAGGAAGCAGAUGGGUGAAGUGAAGAAAAACCCCGAUGGCAGUGUCUCUGAUGUGAAAAUUACUUGACACACAAAUUAAACCCUAUUGAUGACAAUUGUAGCAAAGAUGUUAGUAGGGAUCGUUCUAAACCGGGAAUUAACUAGGGCUGCUAAUCUACUCAAAUUAAACUCUAAAACACUAAACUAGACUUAAAAACACAAGAAUAGACUCUAUAGACUCUAAACUGACCUAAGACACUCAAAUCUGCAAAACUAAGUGAAAUUGACUCAAUUCUAAACCUAACAAGUGAAUUGGACGAAAUUAAAACUUACUUUGACUCAAAAGAUUAAAAGAAAACAGAUUGUAACUUAACUAACUUAGAAAACACUUAAAAGACUCAAAACAGCACAAUACUAACAAUUAGACUCAAAACAGAUUCUAGAGAUGAAAUUGGACGAAUUUAAGACUAAACUAAGACCCAAACAAUGGUUAUGGACUAAACCUAACCUAUAUUGACUCAAAACACUCUAAAGAACCUAAUUAGGACAGAUUCUGACCUAAUAACAUAAAACAGAAAAGGGUGUUUGAUUUCUGACGAAAUUGAAUUAAAACUAAACAAAUUGCAAAUCAAAGUAAACUAAAACGAAAUUAAGAUGAAUUCAAGGGUGAAAAGCUAGUUAGAGGAUCCUUCUCCACACAUGAACAUAUGCAACAUAAAUCGAUUUCCAGUAUUGUUUCUUUAAACCAUGAACGACAAUGCCCCAAAUUAAUCGUGAAUGCACAAAUUAACUCUCAGAUUUCCCUAAAUUCAUUGAAUUGGAUGAAUGCAUGCAACAACCCAAAUUAUUCUUCUCAAGUUCCCUAUAUGAACAUCAUGAUAGAGAUACAUUCAAAGAUCAUUAAAUUCCAUGGAAAUCAUAAGCAUUGACAAGGCAAUUAUAACUAUGAACUGCAUGAUACUUUUGCCAAGAAUCUACUUAACACGAUUGUGACUAACAAUCUCCACUACUUGUAAUUAUAAGUUUCUAACGAUUAGGUGAAAGUCCCUUAUAAUUUAGCAUCAGAUUCAAGCAUGCAAACUAAGUAGGCCUCCUUAAUCAACACACAAGAAUAAGUUAUCAAUCAAAUAGAUAAGUAAAUCGCAUUCAUGUUUUACGAAACAAUAACUGAAAGGAAUCAAUUCAUAUUAACAUAUGUCCAUGGCUUCAAAUUCACCACUAACUAAUAAGAGUUUAGUUCCACAUGUUCAUAACAAUUGAAACGCAAAUUAAAAUAAACAUCGAAACUGAAACGAGGGAAGAAAAAACUAUGAAAACUCCCAAGGAUGCAGAUGGCUUGCGCACAAGGCCCUCCUUCAUCAAUGGAAUGCACGACAAGGUUCUCCUUCUUCUCCAAAAGGUGCGGCAGAGAUGUAUAUGGAUGUAGGAUGGUGUUUUGUGAUGUAGAAUGGUGAUUAGGGUUGCGGCAAGGUGUUUCUGAAUGGUGAAGGGUGGUGACAAAUUUAGGCCUUAAAAACACAUAUAUAUAGGCAUGGCAAAGCUAGGGUUUUCACAAAAUUUGAUGGGAAAAGGUUAGGGUUUUGGAGAUAAAAGGCUUGGCCCAUUCAAAGGAGAAAAGAAUUAGGGUUUUAUGCAGAUUCCUAGGCUUCUAGAACACUAGGUGCGGCACAACCCUAGGGUGGAUGGACUAGGGUUUAAAUUUAGCAGAAAAUAAAGGAUUAGGGCCCUAGGGUGCGGCAUGGGCUUAGAACAAAGCUGAAAAAGGAUUAGGAAACUUCAAAUUCAAGAGUAGAAACUUUCAAGAAUGGAAACCUCCAAGAAUAGCAACUUCCAACUUUAGAAACUUUGGUUUCCAAUUCUGAACUCUUUGCUCUUCAUGUUCAUUUCUUCAUUUCUUCCCUCCUUUGAUCUUCAAUUUCGUUCAUCCCUUUGGCUCCAAGCAUGUGAUAUCCAUUUUAUGCUCAAAACUGCUUCAAAAGGCUCCAAAUUGCACUUUCUCGCCAACUUUGUCAUUUGGACCUAAAAACACACGAAAAUAGCUUAAAACACUAUAAUAACCACAAACUAACUAUAAAAGUGCAAGAAAACAAGCUAACUAAGUUGCAUAAAUAUGCUCCUAUCAGUCUCCCAGUAUAAAGCAAGGCUUGUAGCUCAAGGGUUCUCCCAAGAACAUGGUAUUGACUACUUGGACACAUUUAGUCCUGUUGUUCGACAUACUACUGUAAGGAUUAUUCUUUCUUUAGCUGCCAUGAAUCAUUGGACUCUUCGACAAUUAGAUAUCAAGAAUGUUUUUCUACAUGGAGAUUUACAAGAAGAAGUUUAUAUGCAGCAACCACAAGGGUUUAUUGAUCCAUCAUAUCCUUCUCAUGUUUGCAAAUUGGUCAAGUCAUUAUAUGGCUUGAAACAGGCUCCACGCGCGUGGAAUUCAAAGUUUACAAGUUAUUUGACAGUUAUGGAGUUUCAUGCCUCAGCUUCUGAUACAAGUUUGUUUGUCAAGAAGGAUGACUCUGAUAUCAUCAUCUUAUAACUUUAUGUUGAUGAUAUCAUCUUAACUGGUUCUAAUCCUUUGAAGAUCCAAAAAGUGAUUCAAGAAUUAUCUGAGGUAUUCGAGUUGAAGGAUAUGGGACAGCUUACAUAUUUUUUGGGUUUACAAGUUCAAUAUAAAGCGGAUGGCAGUGUUUUUGUUAAUCAGUCUAAGUAUAUCAAAGAUCUUGUCCAUAAAGCAGAUAUGGAAUCGUGUAAACCAGCAACCACUCCGUGUAAACCUCAUCAUCAAAUGUUACACUCUGAGGGACAAUUGUUGACAUAUCCAACUUCCUAUAGAAGCAUUGUGGGAUCUUUACAAUAUCUGACCUUUACUAGGCCUGAUAUUGCCUUUGCUGUAAACACAGUAUGUCAGUUUAUGUCCUCACCAACUGAUGUUCAUUUUGGCGUUGUUAAACGCAUCAUUCGUUAUCUUCAAGGAACCAUGAAUAUUGGUAUUACUUUUUCUGCAAACACAGUUUCAAAGCUUACUGUGUUUUCUGAUUCUGAUUGGGCUGCAGACUUGAAUACUUGUCGGUCUAUCACUGGUUAUGUUGUGUACUUAGGCAAUAAUCCAAUUUCUUGGCAAUCGAAGAAACAAAACUCGGUAUCCAGGAGUUCUACUGAGGCUGAAUAUAAAGCCUUAGCACAUACUGCUGCAGACAUAGCUUGGAUUCGCAAUAUAUUGAAGGAUUUGGAUGUACUUUUGGAUGCUCCACCAACAAUUCACUGUGACAAUAUGUCCGCUAUUGCCUUAAGUGCCAAUCCGGUGUUUCAUUCAAGAAUCAAACACCUUGAUACAGACUACCAUUUUGUACGCGAACGAGUGCAGCAAGGCGAUCUGGAGGUGUUGUAUAUCCCAACUGAGGAGCAAACUACCGAUGUUCUUACCAAAGGUCUUCACAGUCCUUCACUUGUCAAACAUUUUUACAAUCUCAAGCUGGAAAAUCCCGGUUGAGAUUGCGGGGGGAUGUUGAAGAUAUAUAGUGAUUGACACAUCAUCAUAAGUGCCACAUCAGCUAUUGGAGUUAGUUAGUUUGUUAAGAAUCAGUUACACAGGUGGCUUAGCUGAUAAGCUACAUGUGCAGACUAUAUAAAGGAAUCAGGGGUCUUUUGUAUCUCUCUUCAUCCUUAAUGAAAUAACAAAACUUUUACUCAUUUCUUUCUCUAGUUCUCUCUCUAUUCCUUUCGAUCUUUCUCUCUGUAUUUCUUUGAUAUUGCUUGCAUACAUUCAUCUGUUAAUUCUUAGAUGAAUGUUAUCAUUUACAUCCUACACCAUGCUAAUAAUAUCCACCAAUUCUCUAUUUUAUUUAAAAAUAAAUAAAAAAUAUAUAUGAGGUAACGCAAGCUCUAGCUAGGUUUCAAGUCUACCAUGUUUAUUUUGUAGCAAGCAAGUGGAAUUAAUUAAGAAAAAUUUCAGUUUGGGUUAGGAGGAUAGAGGAGGGUGAUUAAUAUUACCUUUGGUGUAUUUCCAGACUUCACAGAGCCCGAAGUUUCCCAGUCCCCUUCAUUUACUGCAACAUGGUGGUACAGUAUCAGAGGCUCGGGAAUGUACACGUGGUGCUGGUUGCUAAUGACUUUGUACAAACGAUUUAUCAGCGUUCGCUUUGAACCCCCCAGUCUCCAGCUUGUAAUCACCAGCUCCACUCACAGCCAUUUUUUAUAAAGGAAAUUAAUGAAAAUGAUUCGAAAAUUUUGAAUUUUAACUAUAAUAAUAAAUAAAUGGUAAAGUAAAUAGUACCAUGAUUGAUUUUUAGUGUAAAUAUAUUAUUUUUCCUUAAAAUAAACAAUAUCAGAAGUUUUUCGUUCAAAUUCUCUUUUUUUUAAUUAGUAAUUAAUAUUAAAGUUCAUCUAAGAUUAUUUUUUAAAGGAGAUAUAUAUUAAAAGUAUCAAAUAGAAAAACAAGACAGCAUCAUUUAAAAAAAGGAAAACUAAUGAAAAUUGCUUGAAAACUUUGAGUUUUAACGAUAAAGACAAAAUAAAAAGUAAAGUAAAUAGUACCAGGUUUGACUUUUUAAUGUAAAAAUGUGGUUUUUCGUUAAAGUGAACAAUAUCGCUGGUUUUUCGUUAAAACUCCCUUCAAAAAAAGGGAAAGGGAUCAUUUUCGGAUUUGUUCUACCUAAUCAUCCUCAUCAAAUAAUCCGAGCUUUUAAAAUUUGAUCUAACGGCUAAAGUUAUUAUAACUUUUAGAAUUAGCCCGUAUUUUUAACCGUUUAAUCAAAUUUUAAUGAUCUGAAUUAUUUGAUGAUGAGAAUUAGAUAAAAAAGAUUGAAUGAUCGCUUUUCCAAAAAAGGAAAAAGAAAAACAAGACAGCAAGUUUCUUUUAACAGAUGAAUUUUAUUAGAGGUGGAACUGGUGUCCAACAUCCCAGGUGUUUUCUGAUAGCAUAACCCAAUAACGUCAAAUCCAUUAAUUUGAUUAUUUAAUAAAUGGCUCCCACAAUAGGAUUUGGAUCCUCUCCGAGGCAAUUGGUCGGAUCCUUCUGAUCAAUGUUUGUGGACUGUUAGAUUUUUAUUCAACGACUAUAAAUAAGGGGACAUUCUAAAGUUAUAAUAAUUGUAGUCGUUGGAUAAAAAUUCAACGGUCCAUAUACAUCGAUCUGGAGGAUCCCGACUCGAAGAGGAUCCAAAUCCCCCACAAUACACCAAUCACGUACCCCACCCAACCAAUUUACACAAUUUUUAACAGUAGGUCCCACAAUAUAUAAGAAAAAAGAAAUUUGACUCAUCAUUUGAAAAAAUAAAAAAAAAUUAACAUUUAACUUCAAAUACUCAUUUUAGUCAUUAAAUAAAAUUUAACAAUUUAUAAAUGAGUAAUGUUAGAGAAGCUAAUUUUUUAGACUAAAUUUUAUAAAUUAUAUGUAUUUGUUAACGAUUAAAUUAUUAUUUAAGUGUUGCUUAAUGUUUAUAUAGAGCCACAACCCACAAAGUCCUAGACAAAUAGCAUGUUUUAGUUAUGGAGGCAGUUGUGGUGGAUAUGAUCUGAUCACUUGAAGAAAAUGACGAGUCUGCGGAUCCUUGUGCAUCUUCAUCUUUGACAUGGGAGGUUUUAUGACUAGACCUACCAAAUUUAAUCACAACAGCGAACUUGAUAAUGAGACAUCAAUAAUUCAACGAUUCAGAAAACUUCAAUUAAAUUGGGACCCAUAAAUAAAUAUGCUAUUACUUCUUUUGUAAUCAAAGCUGGAUCAUUGAUGCCUAAUUCAGAAAGAGAAGUGUUAUUGGCACUUCAAAAGUCUCAUUGUACACUCUUUACAAGUGUAUUUUUCUUUCUUAAUAUAGAAAAUUUGGAGUGUAGAAUAAGAUUUUUGAAAUGCUACUAACAAUUCCCUUAAAAAAAAAAAAGGUUUUUAUGUUUUGCAUGCAACAUUUGGACACAGGAAUAUUCUUUGGGAUUCUAAUUGCGCAUACGUAUUAUCUUUCAAAUAUAUAAAAUUUGAAGUGCAAUUAAAUUUUUAGAAUGUAAAUAAAAGGGGAAACUUGAUAUAACUUCAAUUUUUUGAGCCAAUAGUAAGAAUAGUCCAAUUUAUUAAAAUAAGUCCAAUUCUUUAAAUUUAAUUAUUUUAUUAUCAAUAAUUAUCUCUUAAAAGAAAAAACUUAUUGUAAAAAUCAAAUUUCUUCCUAAUUAUCUCUUUGAUUAUUUCUUUUUAUUUAUUUAUUUGUUAUUUCUUGUUCUUCCUCCUGCUUUAACCCAUUUAUAGAUUUUUUUAAAUUUUUAUAAUCAACCUAUAUCAUAGGUUAAUUGUAUUUAUCUACCUAUAUGACAUAUUCUCUUUCAUAGUCAACAUGUCACAUAUUAAUGUGUCUUGCUUGUAGGUAUAUUAUAUUUUUUUCUACUUUUUAGUUAGGUUUCAUAUCUCACUUAUAGGUAUAAUAUACAUUCAUAUAUUUGCUACUUGAGUUAGGGUUUACUGUUUUGCAGAUAGAUUUAUGUUAGUAUAUUAAUUUUUUUUUGUUUAUAAGAUAUUAGUUAGAUAUUUUGGAGUUGAAAAAUGCAUAAUAUUAAAAUAUUUUAAUUGAUUUUUAAUAUUUUUAGAAAAUAUAAAAGGAGUAUAAAAGAAAUAAAAACAUAUAAUUAGAUAACUGGAGUCACUUCUAAAAACACUCUAUGUUUUUUGACCUGGAUCUAAAAGCCCCUAAAUAAAAUUACCUUCUUUUAUUGGUUUUUUUUUAAGGCUCGCAAAAAUGGUUGUCUUUGUUGUUUGGCGAAGGAACUUCAUGGAUAUCAUCAUAUUGUGGUCUUCUUUUUCACUUGUAUUGCUAAAAAAUAACUAAUUACAAAUCAAUUUUCAUCAAAAGGGUUGUUAAAUAAGAUAUUAAUUAAUGCUAUUUUUUUUCUUGAUACUGUUUGGGUCUCUCAACCUCGAUCUAUUAUUUUGCAUUUUAUUUCUUCCAUGAUCAUAUGUGUCUCCAUUGUUUAACAACAACUAAAAAUACUAUUGUUUCUUUAAAAAAAGUACUAUGUAUUUGACUAAGGCGAUUUUAUAUGACGAUGAGCAACAAAGUGGAGAUGGUGCACUACACCUUUUAUUUUGCAUACCAUAGUUCAUACAUUACAAUCUCACAUAUGAUAUCCCUUCACGUACAUUUGUUACAAGGCAACUUACAAAGCAAAGCAUUUUAAUUACUUGUAAUCAAGCAAAAGGCACGCAUUAUUAACACAAAUAUUAUAUACUAACGAUGGACGUCACACUGUUUCACCAUUGCAUUCUUUUCCUUUCCUUAAUUUAUCAUGCCUUGAUAAAGUGAGCAUCAAGAUCCUUGACGAUGUUAACCAUCAAACCGACGUAUUUGUCCGGACUGCAACAUCCUCAGUCAGUUUCUCAUAUUCAGUCGACAAUUUUGCAAUGUUGUCUUCAUUCUUUUGAGUGAAUUGAUAGACUGGCUUGAAGCUCUUGUAAUACUGGAAGACAUCUCCUUUCAGUCCAUUCAGUGUUAUGGAUUUGUUCUCGUUGUUUGACUACACUUUUUCCUUGAAUACUCGAACUUCGUCCCCUAUGUAUUCACAAGAAAGUGGUCUCUAUAUUGACCAAGGAACAAUAUAAAGGGAGCGUUUGAUAAAUAAUUUGUUUUAAGUUUUCACAAAAAUGAAAAUUGAAGUUAUUUUUGUCAGUUUUCUAAAUUUAUAUUAGUAAUUUUUAUUUUUUGAAGACUGAAAUAACAUGAGAUGGUUGAAUUAUUGCGGCACACCUCGAUUCUUUACCAACAUAUUUUGUUCUAAUUAUCCAUUAUAUCAAUAUAUAUUUUUCACGUAUGGGUUAAAAGUUGUUCGCUUGUGAAUCAGGGUUUAGUUAUUGCGAUCCUUCUAGUAUUGCUGGAUUAUGAUUAACAUAUAAUUGUGUUCUGAUCUUAGAGAAAAAAGGUACAUACCAUGUUAAAUACAUGAAGGUAUUUAUAUAUAAAUAUAGAGCUCGUUUGGAUGUGCUUUUAAAAUGGUUAAAAACACUUUUAGAGAAAGAAAAAAAUUUGUUCCAAAAGCACUUAAAUUGCUUUCUGCAAGAAGCAACAGUUAUGUGCUUUUCCAGGAAGCACUUUAAAUGCUUUUCCAGAAUUAACUUACAUUUUUACCAAGGAUUGGUUUUAAAAACAUUUUCACAAAAAAUGUUUUCAAUCAUUUUAAAAACAUAUCUAAACAAACACAUAUAUUAUGCACGUAUACUGAAAUUCCAACUUUUGAUAGAUCGAGCCAUGAGUUUCCUCCUUCAUGCACGUGAACUCCCUGGAUACUUCCAGAAUAAAUUUUUGGGACGUGUGGCGAGCCUGGCUAUUGAAGAUAUUGUAGAACUUCUCAGCAGGUGCCUUAAUUUCAAUCUCUGUUCGUGCAGAGUCAUGUUUAUGAUCAGUUGGGAUGGUGCUCAACAAUGCGUCGCCAAGGCCUGUUCUAAAGAAAACUUAAGGUCACCCCUCUACUGCUACAGUUAAAUUAUGCAAUAUUAAUUUAUGCUAUAACUUUGAAAAAGUAGUGCUUCGAACGAUCGCAUGAAAAACAUUCGUUUAUUAAAAAAAAGGUAAAUCGUCAAAAUGGUCCUUGAGAUUUGUAUAACUUAUCACUUUGAUCUCUAAGAUUCCAAAUCGAUAAAAGUAGUCCCUGAGAUUGUCUACCAUCCAUCAUUUUGGUCAUUCGGUUAAAAAAUCCGUUAAGUGUCCCGGAGCUCUUAGCCGGAGGUUUGGACAAUUUUCAAAACUUCGUAACUCAAUCGUUUCUUAACCAAAUUUGACCCAUAAUAUAUCAAAAUGAAGAUAGGAAAGUGUAGAAUAAGAUUAUACCUAUUUCAAAGCCCAAUGGUUGCCGAAGAUUGUCAGAAAAUAGCCUCAAAGUUGACUGGUUCGAGUGAAAACUUGAAAACUCGCUGGAAACUGAGUAAACUUUAAACGUUCAUAACUUCUUCAAUACUCAACGAAAUCAAGUGAUUCAAAAACAAAAAUCAUACUUCUCGAUGAGAUGAAGAGAAUGAUACCUUUUUAGAUGGCUAAAUCGUCGUGGUUUGGCCGGAAAGCAGCUCGAAAGUGGCUAACUCGAGACCAAGAUAGCCACUUUCAAGCCGUUUUCCGGCCAAACCACGGCGAUUUAGUAGUUAAAAAAGGUACCAUUCUCUUUGUCUCAUCGAGAAGUAUGAUUUUCAUUUUUGAAUCACUUGAUUUUGUUGAGUAUUGAAGAAGUUAUAAAGGUUUUGAAGUUUACCCAGUUUCCGGUGAGUUUUCAAGUUUUCACUCUGACCAAUCAACUUUGAGGCUAUUUUCUGGCAAUCUCUGGCAACCAUUGGGCUUCGAAAUAGGUAUAAUCUUAUUCUACACUUUCCUAUCUUCAUUUUGAUAUAUUAUGGGUCGAAUUUGAUUAAGAAACGAUUGAGUUACGAAGCUUUGACAAUUGCCCAAACUUCCGGCCAACAGCUCCGGAACACUUAACAGAGUUUUUAAUGGAAUGACCAAAAUGAUGGAUGGUGGACAAUCGCAGGGACCACUUUUAUCGAUUUGGAAUCUCAGGGACCAAAGUGAUGAGUUAUGCAAAUCUCAUGGACUAUUUUGACGAUUUAUCCUUAAAAAAAAUUCAGAUAAAGAAAAUGAGAAAUUAAUUUCUCAUCCCUCUUUUUUCUAUUACAUUGAUUAAAAUCUUAUUUUUGAUCAAGGUCCUAACUUUCAAUGAACGUCAUUAUUUCUGUUAUAAAUUAUUUAUAUAUCAACAUAAUUAAAUUUUAUUUUUGAAAUAUAUUCAAUUAGUAUUAGAAACAUUACAUUUGGUACAUUUAUAUUUAUCAUUAAACUUUGUAUCAUAUAUUUCUAUUUUUAGUUUGUACCAUUUUUAAUUGGCAACCCUUUUUUAAUUUGUAUCAAUUUUCUUUUUAAUUUUAAUGUGUACCGAUAUAUUAAUUUCAUUUUGUGCCCAUAAUUUUUUUUAAAUUUUUUUAUACUCAUAAUUCAUUUAUAAUGUACCCAUAUUUCAUUAAAACUCUUUUUUUUUCUUUAUAAAUGUACCACUUUGUUAUAUGUAAGAUGUACCAAAUUGUUUUUUUUGUAAAUGUACCAUUUUUAUGUAAAAUGUUCCCAUAUUUAAUGUAAAAUCUAUUUAUUUUUUUAUUAAGAAUGUGUACAUAUUUAUAAUAAAACGUUCCCCUUUUCAAUUUUUUUGAACACUAUGGGUACAUUUGUUUGACAUUUAUUAUUUCAAAGGUAUAUUGUUACCUAUUUUUAUCUAUUUAUUCAAUCAAAAUUUUUGAGUAUUUUUUUUAUUGUAAUCGUUUUUAAUUUAUAUGCUAUAUAAUAUGGGAUUUUAAAUCUCAUAACAUGUCAAGUAAUUAAUAUCAAACAAUGAAAAUACAUAUUAAUAGCCAUAAUGAGGUGUACCUUUAAAGUCAAGGGACUUUGAUAAAAAAUUGAAUACUAUUAAAGGUUUAGUCAAAUAAUGUUAUUGACUAGGGACUGAAUCCAAAGUCUCUCUAAAAAAUAUAUAUAUAUAUAUAAGACAAACGUACGUAAUCACUUUCGGUUCGAUUAAGAACAUGAUUUGGAUCAAUAAUAUUAGGGUGCUAAUAUUGAUAUCAUUAGAUUUCAAUUACUAAUCACUGGUUUUUUUGCAAUAUUAUACUUUUACUCAACUACCACAUUUUUUCCCUUCUGGAUGUAUGAAAAUUUAGGUAUUGCGUUCGUUCUUUUUUGAGAAGUCAUCGCCAACUCCCUUGCCCUACUAUUUUUAUCAAGGAAAAACUCCCCAUGUUUAAAAGCUGUAUAAUUAACCAGGAUGAAUGCUGGACAACUGUCGAAAGCAAAACUCAAAGUUCAUUGUAUAAUUAUAACAGUGAGACUACAGCCUGACGAAGAACAUGAUUGUCAAAAGUUAUAUAAAAAAAAUGAUAUCAGAGUAAAUCUCCAAUGAAUCGGAAAGUGAGUCUUUAAAAUAUAGAGUCUUAAGUGGAUUAGUGUAGAAUAUCUUUUGUACUAAAAAAAAAGUUAUGUAUAUAAUGUUGAGAAUGAAUCCCACAUUGAUAGGAGGAGUGAUAAGGAUUUUUAUCACCUGCAAAUAUAAGGAUAAAAACACUUAAAAAUACUUGCAAAAGUACAAGGUUGUCGUAGUAUAGCAGUUCAAGCAAGGUCAUUUUUCACAGGAAUUGAAUGCAUAGUUUAUGUUUAUACUAAUUCUUAGCUAAUUAUUUAGAACAAAGAUUGGAAAAGGUUGAUUUUGAAUUUAAAAAUAAUAAAAACGAAUUUAAUUAAAAACAAUUAAAGGAAUUUACUAGAGAACAAUUUAAAGAAAGUCAAUUUGUAAAGAUUAGGGUUCCGCCGUUCCCUUAACAAUCCUACGCAAUUUUACCAAUUACUUAUGAAUUUCCACACACAUGCUUUGAAGGUUAGGUUUUCCUAAUGCAUAUUUUUCUCGUGAUGUUCAAGCGAAAACAUAAAUCUAACAUGCAACCCUUUUGUAAUGUUCAGAUCAAAUAUAAACAUGCAAGACUCAUUAAGCUUUGUGAAAACCCUUUGAAAAACCAUGGAACCCUUAAGAGCGUGAUGUUCGCCUUAAGUGAACUUACAAUUACUAAUCAUAAGAAGCCCUCCUCAAUUUCAGGGUGAUGUUCUGUCACAUCCCGGCAUCGUGCUAGGUAGAUAUGAGAAUAUACAUAUAAGGAUCACUCCCCUGGGCGAUGUGGGAUCUUACAAUCCACCCCCCUUAGGGGCCUGACGUCCUCGUCGGCACACCACAACCAGGGUUAGGCUCUGAUACCAAAUAGUCACAUCCCGACCUGGGCCCCCAUCACAUCCCGGGCUCGACUCCACCGUAGCACGAUAUUGUCCGCUUUGGGCCCCGACCACGCCCUCACGAUUUUGUUUCUGGGAACUCACACGAGAACUUCCCAGUGGGUCACCCAUCUUGAGAAUGCUCUCGCGCGAACUCGCUUAACUUCGGAGUUCUUAUGGAACCCGAAGCCAGUGAGCUCCCAAAAGGCCUCGUGCUAGGUAGAGAUGAGAAUAUACAUAUAAGGAUCACUCUCCUGGGCGAUGUGCGAUCUUACAUGUUCCAACCGAAAUUGCAUCAAAUUACUUGUCUAAAAAUCCUAAUGGUCGCAAAUUACUAAGACAAUUAGAUAGCUUUAAUCGCAAUGAUUAAUAAUUCAAAGCAAGCAUGCAUCCAUUCAUAAGGAAAUUAAUAAAAUCACAUAUUCAUGCUAAGGCUCAUGGCUUCGCCCUAGCAAACAGAAAUUAGUUACGAACUAUAAAAACUAAAGAAAAUAUAUUAACUAGAAAAAGGAUUGAAAACACCUUGUAGGUAAAAAGUCUGAAAUUCUCCAAAAUAAUGUGUGCCUUCUCCCCCUAACCUUAAUGGCUAAAAAGCCUUAUUUAUACUACUCCAAAUUAAAACCCUCAUAGAAAAGGUUUUCUAAAAACUAGGAAAUAAAAUAACAAAAGGAUAACUAAGAAUUGCAUUCCUAUUAUGACUAUGAAAUCUGCCCAUAAAAAAGAUAGCCAUGUUUCUGGAUCUUCAGGGUUCCAAAACAGACCCAAAAUGGCUAGAAUUAAAGAUUAGGACCUCCUCUUCAAGUUAGAAGAAGAACCCAAGUCCAAAAUCCAUCAUCUUCCAACCCAAAAGUCACAAAUAAGCUCUGCAGCCCAAUCUGCCAGCACUGCACGCUGGGCAUAAAUUAAUUCACCACGAUCUGAUGCUUUGAGAUAAAAUUAUGAAAUUCUGAUACAAUCUUCUUGACAGACUCACGAACCCACUCCAAUUGGAAUCACUAAAAAAUUCCACCGUUUGAGUACUUUAUGAUCAAAACAAGUUCGCAUGUCCUACAAUAAAAACAUAGAGCAAAGCCUCAAAAUCUCACUAAAAUAAUAACCAAAAUAUACCAAGAAUAGGGAAUAAUAUAUAGUAUAAAAUUGACUCAUUAGGACAUUGCAUGAACUUAUAAGUAAGUUGGGCUACUUUCUAUAUUGCCAAUUGGUUUUAUGGUGUAACCUUAACUUUCUUCAUACCCAUGUGUGAAGCCAAAAGACCACGCACGCUCCAUGUCACCCAUUUGUGUUGUUCACGUAUUAGACUUGAAAAUUCGCCACACGUGAGGGCGCGUAUUAAGAAUGAAUCUCACAUUAAUGGGAGGAUAAAUCUUGCAUGCACCUAUAAGUAGGUUGAAAAACAAUAUUGGACAAAUAUUGUAGAGUACACCACAUUUUAUUUUAUAGAUGCGAUCGACAACCAUAAUCUAUUACAUCACAAUGUCAUAUAUGACAUCCUUCGUACAUCUUUUACAAUACACACAAACCUAAUUAAGAAAAGCAUUUUAUUUAAGUAGGUACGCAUUGAUGAACAUAUGCAUGCAUGAUUACAUAUAAUUGAACCCUUUUUAACAAGACCAGCAAAAGCUCUUUCCAACCGUUGCAUAUGACGUAUGGUUUUUAUUCAUUAAUUAAUUAAUUUAUGCUCCCAGAAGGUGAGCGUCAAGAUCCUGGACGAGUUUAACCAUCAAACCGACAUAUCUAUCUGGAGCUUUAACAUUCUCAUGCAGUUUCUCGUAUUCGAUCCACAGGUUGGCAAUGCAGGUGCCUUCAUCUUUUUGAGUGAAUUUAUAGACACCCUUGAAGCUCUUAUAAUACUUGAACACUUCUCCUUCCAAUCCUUUCAGAGUUGCGGCUUGUUCCCAUCGUCUAGCUCCACCUGUUCCUUGAAUAUCCCGACAUGAUCCCCUAUAUAUAUGCAUGCAUGCAUUCAUGGUUAAUUUCAUAACAACAAAAUAUAUAAACUUUCUCACCCUCUCUUAUUAGGAUCUUGUUUCCACUGUAGCAAAAAGGGGGCAAUAUGACUUAUUUAGGAAACAUGUAUUUACUGUAUAUGACUCUCAUUGUCUAGAACAAAAAUUGAAGGAAGCAUUGAAAUAUAUAUAAGAGGUCAUAUAUGGUAAAUACAUGAUUUCUACGAUUGUUCUAUCUCGACCUUGUUUUUGCUACAAUAAAUCAGAAUUUCUGCGAAAAAGCUGUAAACAUUGAAACUCGUGCUAUGAACGUAUGAUGAUUUGAGCGCAUCUGUUAAGGUAUACAUACAUAUAAAGUGAAUAAUUAAACAGGAAAAUUGAAUUAAGUAGCGGUACCUAGUUCAUAUUUCCAAAUCUUAACAGAGCCGUGUGUUUCCCAAUCUCCUUCAUGCACAUCAACUCCUUUGAUAUGGGUAUUAGAGAUGUUUGGGAUGAGGUGGGCGCUCUUGAACAUGUUGUACAACUUGUCAGCUGGUGCCUUAAUUUCUAUUUCAGUCCCAAUUUUACCAUGCAAAACCAUGUUUAUGAGCAGUUUUGAUGGGUGCUACUCAGAAAUUAUAAGAGAAGAAUGUUAAAGGAUAUGUAUAAUUUGGGCUCCUACCCUCCUUAAAUAGAAGCGACUAGAGUUAAAUUGCGAGAUAAAACUUAAUAUAUCCGGAACACGAUACAGUACGCCAUAUAUAUAUAAUAUGUAAUAUAAAUAUGGAGGGAAAGUUUUUUUUUUUUUUUUUUUUUUUUUUUGCAAGUGUUUCUCUACUUGUGUAGACGUAUGUACCCGUGUUCUAGAUAUUAAAAAUUCUCCCGUAAUAUUUUAAUAGUGGGUAAUCCAAUUUAAAAACCAAAUCAUGCAACACGUGAUAAAGAUUAAGUCAUAUAUUUUUUAAAUCAUACUUCUCGGAUAAUUGGAAUCCUAUGAAGUAAUGAUCACAAGUUCACAAUAUGCAUGGAUAGAUGAAGGGUUUGCUCAUGAUUAAUGUUAGGGAGACCAAAUUUCUAAAUCAAAAUUUGUAAACAAAAUAAUGUGGAGGUAAAUGAUUGAAUUAUUAUUUAAGUGUUAAUUAAUAUGCUUGUUUCUUAUUAAUAACAUAUCAUUUGAUUUGCAUUCACGCAUGCGAUAAAGAUUAGAUUAGUACGAUCACACUAAAAAUUUAUAUGUAAAUGUUUUAAAAUAAAAUGUAAUUUAUCUGCAAAAUGUUUUUUUUUUAAAAGGUACGAUAUUCUUUAAUAACAAAUUUAUACGUACAUCAAUGAGGAUAGGGUGUAAACAAAUGGCCUCGAUAAAAACCUUGCCGGGGUUUUUAACCCGAUCGAAGAGAGAUUUUUCAAUGUGACCGUCACACAAGGAGGUACACCACGUGUCUCUAUGUAAAUGGUUAGAUAUGUGUGUUAAAAGAUUAAUAACUUAAAAAUUAAAAUUUUCCACCACUUACAUAAAAAUACGUGGUGUACCAUCCGUGUUCCUGUCACAACUAAAAAUUUUCCCCGGUUGAAGGGAAAAAGAGUGUCCCACACCAACAUAAUUAAUUAAGAAUUGCUAUCCUAAAAAAGAAGAUCAAGAAUUACAUUAGGAAGUUCCUCAGACCAAACCACACAUUGUUACCAUAACUCAAGCUCAUACGUGCUAGCCUGUGUGCCACCUUGUUCGUCUCCUUUUGACUAAAUUCAACCUUCCACUUGGACAAUGAAUGAAUAAUUGCGUGUGUCGUUUAGAAUGUUUCCAAAGUGUGAGGUGUCAAUACUUCCUUCUGCAAAAUGUUUUAGAAUAAAAAGUUUUAUAUCUUGUAGGAUCACAUCUAUUUAUUUAUUAUCAUUAUUAUAUUUUUGGAAAGAUCGAUACGUAUGGGCCAUGGCGUCUGGUUCUUUUGUUAAAAAGCCAUCAAAUGGGGAGGCAUGGAUGAGGUAUUAGGUAUCCACAAAUGUCAGUUCACAAAAUAUUAUACUAAAAGUAAUUGAAAAGAAUCAAACAAAUAUUAAUUCUUUUCCCAAGAUAAUCCACUAAAAUGAGGGUCCACAACAUAGUUUUUCGGGAACUUUAACGAAAAACACCCGGUACUGUUCACUUUAACGAAAAACCACAUUUUUACACUAAAAAAUCAAUCCUGGUACUAUUCACUUUACCCUUUAUUUUGUCCUUAUCAUUAAAGCUCAAAGUUUUCAAGCCCUUUUCAUUAAUUUUCCUUAGUUUUUUCCACUAGAGUUUAUUGAUCCUUGAAGACUAUCAUUGACGAUUGAUCAUCCAACAGGUGCAUUAUUUAUUUUUUAACAAACGGUAAUAGUUACUAUUUCUUGAAUUGGAUAGGGGUAUCGAUACUAUUUCUUAAAUAAAACAUUAAUACUAUUAUUAUUCUUAAACUGAAUACUGGCACUAUUACUAUUUUUUAAACUGAACAUUCAUUAUUUCUUAAACCGAGCGCUGGUACUAUAACUAUUUCUUAAACUGAACAUUCAGUAUUUCUUAAACUGGACAUUCACUAUUUCGUAAACUGAACACAAAUAUUAUUACUAUUUCUUAAACUGAAUAUUCAUUAUUUUGUAUACUGAACACGGAUAUUAUCAUUAUUUCUUAAACGUAACACUAAUAUUAUUACUAUUUCUUAAGCUGAAUACUGACUAUUUCUUAAAUUGAACAAUAACUAUUUUUAUAAUUGAAUACAAGCACUGUCCCUAUUUCUUAAACCAAAAAUAGUGAAUUAGGGUUUAGUUAUUACGAUAUAUUACUGGAUUAUGAUUAACAUAUAAUUGUGUUCUGGCCUUAGAGAAAAAAGGUACACACCAUGUUAAAUACAUGUAGGCAUUUAUAUAUAAAUAUAUAUUACAUACGUAUAUAAUUCCAACUUUUGAUAGAUCAAGCCAUGAGUUUCCCAGUCUCCUUCUUGCACCUGAACUCCCUGGAUACUGCCAGAACAAAUUUUUGGGACGUGUGGCGAGCCUGGCUCUUGAAGAUGUUGUAGAACUUCUCAGCAGGUGCCUUAAUUUCGAUCUCAGUCUCAACCUUACCGUGCAGAGUCGUGUUUAUGAUCAGUUGGGAUGGCACUCAACAAUGCGUACAAGGCCUGUUCUAAAGAAACUUAAGGGCAGCCCUUUUCUGCUACAGUUAAAUUAUACAAUAUUAAUUUGAGGUAUUCAUCAAUUUACCUCCUAACUUAUAAGAAUUGGUCAAUUUUCCUUAUCAACUUUCAUAAUUAAUCAAUUUGCACCAUACUAUUAAUUUUUUAAAAUUUUUCAUCCUUUCUUCUGUUAAGUAUGUCAAGUGUUAUCCGCAUGACUGCCUUUAAAGGGUAAAAAGGUCAUUUUACCUACACCUUCCGUCUUCUUUCUCUUCUCCGAACUUUCUUUUCUUCUUCUUUUUCACCAAGCCGAGCCCGUACUGUUCCACCGUGCUCCACAGGCACGAUUUUCCCGGCGAACACCAAAAGAAACAGUGGGAGGGAUCUGAGCUCGUAGAUCCGCGUUCACUACAUCCCCUUCUUGCACUCCUCGCAAACCCUACCCUCCGAUUCUAAUGGGACACCUCCCCCGUCGCCACUGAGUUCCUGAAGAAGAACCGCGCAUACGACUUGGCCACCACCGCCGCCACUCCAACCACUCCCAGAGCCACAGGCGCGUGCUCCCCCGAAGACCCGCACCUGAAGUUGGCGCCCCCAAUUAUGAUCGAGUACUUGGACUUUCUCUUUCCCGGAUCCACGAAGCGCGUGGAGUAGGAGGCGGGGAGGUUGCAUAGCGUGUAAGACCCUAGCUUGGCGAUGUGGGGAGAAGAUGAGAUGGAUUUGAUCAAAGACUUGCCGAAGAAUCUGGGGAGAAGAUGCGGGGACUUUCUCUCCCGUAUUACUUAUCCUAUCAUUUUCCUUGUACGGGCUGCCAAACGAGGCCUUAGUAUGCUAUUGCCUUGUAUUUGAAAUUAGACAAUCGUUUUAUUUAAAAAAAAACAAACUUACUAAGUUCACACUUAAACAUAUUUAAACAAACUUACUAAGGUCAACACACUUGCAGAUAACACAAUUAAAACUAAACAUACCAACAAACAUGGAUCACACUUACAAGGCCAAACAAAGCAUAUAUAUAUAUAUAUGUAUGUAUGUAUGUAUAAUGUAUGUAUGUAUAUAUAUGUAUAUUAUAUUUAUGAACAGUAUUGCCCUUGCUCUUGUCUUUGCCCAACUGGUAGUAGAGUUGCACAGAGACAAAGUUGUUGGUAUAUGGUCCAGCCCAUGAUCAAUGUUCUAGAUUAUUCUAGUAAGCAAGAGAUGAGGCUGAAGCUUGCUAGACAAUUCUAGAAUGUUAUUAAGUUGAUGGAAGAAGCUAGAGAGUACUAGCUUCCUUGGUUGCAAAUGGAAAGAUCUAGAAGCUACAAGUAUAUGGCUAGUCUAGAUUUUUCUAUACUAGAGGUUUGAAGAAGGAACUAGAAACUAGUAGAAUGCCAAACCCUCACCUAUAAAUAUGGGUGUGAUGUAACCAAUUGAGAACCAAGAGUGAGUAGCAAAGGAUCAAGUCCAAAGCUAGAGUUCCACUCCAAGAGUGAGAGUGAGAGUGUUCCACUACACAUUGUGUGAGUGAAGUUUAGAGUGAUAGAAAGUGUGUGUUAUACUUUCUUGUAUCCAUCAAGCCUUGUCUUUGGCUUGGUAAGACUACUCUUGUUGUAUUCAUCUUUUUCAUAUAGUGAAGAUUGAUCCUUGUUUGGUGGACGUAGGCAUAAAUUGCCGAACCACAUAAACUUUUCUUGGCGUCCAUUUUCUACUUUACCUUGUGCAUUCUCUAUCUUGUAGUACCGACAUUCCUAACAAGUGGUAUCAGAGCCCGGUUGGCUCGUACUACGAGAUGGAAGGAAGUGGCACUAUGAUCAAACUCACCAACUCCAAUUGGGUAACAUGGAAGCCAAGGAUGGAGGACAUUCUCUAUUGCAAGGAUUUGCAUGAGCCAAUUGAAGGAGAUGCCGCUAAGCCCGAGAGCAUGUCCGAUGCCGAGUGGAAGAAGAUGAAUCGCAAGGCUAUUGGCACAAUUAGACAAUGGGUGGACGAUAGUGUUUUUCACCAUGUGUCUAAUGAAACCAAUGCUCGCGAGUUUUGGACAAAGCUUGAGUCCUUGUUCGAGAAGAAAACUCCAGCUAAGAAAGCCUUCUUGAUCAAAGAGCUCAUCAAUGUGAAGUACAAGGAUGGUUUAAGUGUAGCAGAACACUUGAACAAUUUCCAGAAUAUCAUCAACCAGUUGGCUACUAUGAAAAUGAUGAUCGAGGACGAGCUACAAGCGCUCUUGUUACUUGGAUCCUUGCCAGACAGUUGGGAGACCUUUGUGGUGAGUAUAAGUAACUCUGCUUCUAAUGGUGUUCUUACUCUUGAUAAUGUUAAAAAUAGCAUGCUCAAUGAAGAAACAAGGAGAAAGACUUCUGGCACAGAUAGCAGCCAAGUAUUUGUCACAGAGAACCGCGGAAGAAGCAAGAGUAGAGGGCCUAGAGGUCAUGGCAGGAGUCCUAGCCGAUCCAAGUCAAAGUUCAGGGGUGCAUGCCACCACUGUGGCAAAGAAGGCCAUAUGAAGAAAAAUUGUCGAGUUUGGAAGAGAGAGCAAAGGGAAGGAAACAAUCAGAAGAAAGAUGAUACUGGCAAUACCACCGCUGUCAUCUGUGGUGAUGUACCAGAAAUAUUGUCUGUUGGUGAAUGUCUGCAUAUGGGCAACUCUGACAGAGACAUUGAAUGGAUCUUUGAUAAUGGAGCUUCCUUCCAUGCUACGUCCAAACGGGAGUUCUUCAGUACAUACAAAGAAGGUGACUUUGGCAUAGUGAAGAUGGGGAAUGAAAGCUAUUCCAAAAUUCUUGGAAUUGGUGAUAUCUGCUUAAGAACUAAUCUCGGCUGCCAAUUGAUGUUGAAAGAUGUGAGACAUAUUCCUGAUAUACGUCUCAAUCUGAUAUCCAUCGGUACCCUUGAUCGACAAGGAUAUUAUCACCAUAUUGGCGAAGGAAAAUUGAAGCUUACUAAAGGCUUAAUGGUGGUAGCAAAAGCACGACUUUGUUGUACGUUGUACCGGUCAAAUGCACAGGUUUUUGAAAGGUGAGUUGAAUGCUGUGGAGGACUCAUCUCUAGACUUAUGGCAUAAGAGGCUGGGCCACAUAAGCGAGAAAGGCCUACAAGUUUUGGCAAAGAAGUCUCACAUUCCCUUUACCGAAGGUACGUCGUUAAACUCUUGUGAGCAUUGUUUAUUCGGAAAACAAAGAAGAGUUAGUUUUUCUGUUCCAUCUACAAAGAAAGGAAACUUGUUAGAUCUUGUUUAUUCAGAUGUGUGUGGUCCCAUGGAAGUCGAGUCACUUGGAAGAAAUAAAUAUUUUGUUACUUAUAUUGAUGAUGAUGCUUCACGAAGGGUGUGGGUGUAUUUGUUGAAAUCCAAAGACCAGGUGUUUCAGACAUUCCAGGAGUUCUAUGCCAUGGUGGAGAGGGAAACUGGGAAACCUCUCAAGUGCCUUCGUAGCGACAACGGCGGCGAGUACACAUCUCACCAGUUUAGAGAGUAUUGUGUAAAACAUGGCAUACGUCAUGAGAAGACAGUUCCUGGAACUCCACAACAUAACGGUGUUGCUGAAAGAAUGAACCGAACCAUCAUGGAGAAAGUCAGGUGUAUGUUGAGGACUGCAAAGUUAUCUAAGCAGUUCUGGGGUGAAGCUGUAAGGACAGCCUGCUAUUUGAUCAACCGAUCUCCAUCAGUACCAUUAGGUCUUGAUGUUCCAGAGAGAGUAUGGACUGGUAAUGAUGUGUCUUACUCUCAUCUGAAGGUGUUUGGUUGCAAAGCUUUUGUGCAUGUGCCCAAAGAGCAGAGAUCGAAGUUAGACUACAAAGCUACACCGUGCAUCUUUCUUGGUUAUGGCGGUGAAGAUUUUGGUUACAGAUUAUGGGACCCAUACCAGAAGAAGUUUAUCCGAAGUAGAGACGUGGUCUUUUAUGAAGAACAAACAAUUGGGGAUUCGGAUAAAGAGGCACAACCAGAUGGCGCAGUCAGAGGAGUUGAUCCAUUAGCUUCAGAUGAAGAAAGUCACGAUGACAUCCCUGAAGCAACUGCCAAUGAAGUGCCUGCAGAAUCAGAUAAUGCUAAUCAAGAGGAGCCUGAUCAAGAUGUGCCAAACCAUGAGAUUGCUCAUCAGGGGAGCCUAGUCAAGAAGAGCAUAUUCAAGGAGAACCCAAUCAGGGGGAGCCUCCAGCCCUACAAGAGAAUGAAGAUCAGGUCAGAAGAUCCAUCAGAAGUCGAAGACCGUCUACCAAGUAUUCUUCAUCAGAGUAUAUCAUGUUGACUAAUUAUGGAGAGCCCGAAACAUAUGAGGAGGCCAGAGCUCAUAACGACAGUGACAAAUGGAUGAAGGCAAUGGAGUCGGAGAUGGAUUCCUUAUCAAAGAAUGAUACCUAUGAGCUGGUGGAGCUUCCAAAGGGCAGGAAAGCAUUGAAAAACAAGUGGGUGUUCAAAUUGAAAAGAGACGACAACAUGACAAGGUACAAGGCUCGUUUGGUUGUCAAAGGUUUUGGUCAAAAGAAAGGAGUUGACUUUGAUGAGAUUUUCUCACCGGUGGUGAAGAUGACUUCCAUUCGAGUUAUCCUUGGUAUGGCAGCAAGCAUGGAUCUUGAGCUCGAGCAGUUAGAUGUUAAAACUGCAUUUCUCCACGGCAAUUUAGAAGAGGAGAUAUACAUGGAGCAACCCAAAGGCUUUGAAGUCAAAGGUAAAGAAAAUUUGGUGUGCAAGCUCAAGAAAAGUUUAUAUGGUCUUAAGCAGGCUCCGAGACAGUGGAAUAAGAAGUUCAACUCACUCAUGGUGAGUAAUGGGUACAAGAGAACUCAUGCUGACUCUUGUGUCUAUAUCAAACAAUUUUCUGGAGGUAAAUUCAUCAUCUUAUUGCUUUAUGUUGAUGACAUGUUGAUUGUCGGACAAGAUACCUCUAUGAUUAAAAAGCUCAAAGAAGAGUUAUCUAAGUCCUUUGACAUGAAGGACUUAGGGCCAGCCAAGCAGAUUUUGGGCAUGGAUAUAAUUCGUGACAGAAAAUCCAAAAAGUUGUGGCUGUCACAAGAAAAGUAUGUUGAACGGGUGCUUGAAAGGUUCAACAUGAAAGCAGCCAAAUCGGUAAGCUCACCUUUAGCCAAUCAUAUCAAGUUGAGCAAAGAGUCAUGUCCAAAAACAUAUUGAAGAAAAGGAGAAAAUGGCAGUUGUUCCCUACUCUUCAGCAGUAGGAAGUAUCAUGUAUGCAAUGGUGUGCACACGGCCAGAUAUUGCUCAUGCAGUAGGUGUGGUGAGCAGGUUUCUCUCUAAUCCAGGGAAGGACCACUGGGAAGCUGUUAAGUGGAUUCUCAGAUAUUUGAAAGGGACUUCUAAGAUGUGCUUGUGCUUUGGCGGUUCCAAACCAAUCUUGGAAGGAUUUACAGAUGCUGACAUGGGAGGUGACCUGGAUGGUAGAAAAUCUACGUCUGGGUACUUGUUUACUUUUACAGGGGGAGCCGUGUCUUGGCAAUCCAAGUUACAAAAGUGCAUUGCUUUGUCCACAACCGAGGCUGAAUACAUAGCCGCUACAGAAGCAUGCAAGGAGUUGUUGUGGCUGAAGCGGUUUCUCCAAGAGUUGGGUUUGAAGCAAAGUGAUUAUGGCGUUUAUUGUGAUAGUCAGAGUGCUCUGGACUUGAGCAAGAACACUACAUAUCAUUCACGCACUAAGCACAUUGAUAUUCGUUAUCAUUGGAUUAGAGACGCUAUCGAGAACAAGUUGCUGCAGCUGAAGAAGAUUCAUACCGAUAAUAAUUCUUCAGACAUGUUGACAAAGGUAGUCACAAAAUCAAAGUUGGAAUUCUGCAUUAAGGCUGCUGGGAUGAACUCCAGGUAACUUGGAGUCAUGAUCGGAAUUCCUCCCUCAUGGACUGGAGGGGGAGAUUGUUGGUAUAUGGUCCAGCCCAUGAUCAAUGUUCUAGAUUAUUCUAGUAAGCAAGAGAUGAGGCUGAAGCUUGCUAGACAAUUCUAGAAUGUUAUUAAGUUGAUGGAAGAAGCUAGAGAGUACUAGCUUCCUUGGUUGCAAAUGGAAAGAUCUAGAAGCUACAAGUAUAUGGCUAGUCUAGAUUUUUCUAUACUAGAGGUUUGAAGAAGGAACUAGAAACUAGUAGAAUGCCAAACCCUCACCUAUAAAUAUGGGUGUGAUGUAACCAAUUGAGAACCAAGAGUGAGUAGCAAAGGAUCAAGUCCAAAGCUAGAGUUCCACUCCAAGAGUGAGAGUGAGAGUGUUCCACUACACAUUGUGUGAGUGAAGUUUAGAGUGAUAGAAAGUGUGUGUUAUACUUUCUUGUAUCCAUCAAGCCUUGUCUUUGGCUUGGUAAGACUACUCUUGUUGUAUUCAUCUUUUUCAUAUAGUGAAGAUUGAUCCUUGUUUGGUGGACGUAGGCAUAAAUUGCCGAACCACAUAAAUUCUUGGCGUCCAUUUUCUACUUUACCUUGUGCAUUCUCUAUCUUGUAGUACCGACAUUCCUAACAAAAGUAUUGUUCAUAGUAAAAAGUACGGGCAAGCCAACUGCCUUGUUCUUACACUUGCGUUCUCCAAACGGGUGAAACUGCUAUUAUGAUCGGUCUGAAGUAGACGCGCUUAUUCUUGCGUGAGGAAAUUAUCAGUCUCCUUAACAAGAUAACAGCUAACUGGAGCUGAAGUUGGGGAUCCGGAACCCAUCAUGUAGCUUUUCAUAUUGUAGAACCAAAUUCACCACGCUGCCCUCAUCAUGAACGCCUAAUUUUGGAGUAACUUGUAAAGUGAUCUUAAAGCUCUUGUAUCGAUCUAGAGGGUUUCCUUCAAGCACUGUGAAAGUCACCGAAUGAUUUACAUCGUCUAUGGCUUCAGUUAACUCCUUGGAAAAAGUUGGUUUCCCAUCUGCUAACAUUUCAUCACAAAUCAAUUACUUGCUUCAUCCACAAAAAAACAUGUCGACAUAUAUAGUAAGAGAACAAUCUUUCAGCCACACUUACCUUCAAUAUAAUCCCACAAGAAGACACAACCCACUUUACCCCAUUCACCUUCAAGUAAUUUAUGACUCGGAACUUUGUCGGGGCUGAUGUUGCAUAUUUCGUACGGUGUUCGUGCAAAGAAUUCAUGGAACCUGUUUGCUUCAGACUUGAUUUCAACACUCGUCUCCACCUUGCUAGAAUUUGACAUUUUCCACAAGUACCAGAGUUGAAGGAAAAACGACUUUGGUGGUUCCCAACGUGAAAAUGGCGGGGUUUAGUGCAGCAACAAAGAAAAUGGCGGUGGCUGCUGCAAAUGGAUGUGGUGAUUCCCUCUCCCGCAGAAAAGAAGAUAAGUUUUUCUUACAAUAUUCUAAUUAUUCUCCAUGAUGAUGUCUGCCAUCUGCAAUAAAAAAAUAAUAAAAAGAAAAAAGACAGCCACUGAUGAUUGGUGAAGUGACGAGAUAAUCAUCAACUAGCUCAGCUCCACCCUCAGCACAACUGUGACGAAACCCACUUUUCUGAGAAAAUCACGAGAAAAGCAGAAAGCAAAAGAUAAAGCAAAAGGAAGACACAUGGGGACACUGCAAAAGUAAGGAAUAAACAUCCCACCAGAAUGAUGUAAUUUAUUUUUAUUAUCUUUCGGAGACAUCUGUAUAAACCCCAUCAGAGGGUAAUUAAAAAAAAAAAGCCCAAAAUAAUGGGCUGCAAACCCAAAAUAAGGGGCUACAAUGUCAUGGGCGAAGGCCCAUAUGCCCAAAAGACCCAUACCCUCUAUUACCACCAACCAGGUGAUCAAAAGUACGCCCAGUACUCCACAAUUAUUCGACAACCUGCCGCUAUUACCACCAACCAGGUGAUGAAAUGUACAACCCGUACUCUAAAAUCAUUUGGCAACUAGUCAUUCAUGCCACCAACCAGGUGAUGAAAUGUACAACCCGUACUCUCCUUCAUGCCACCAACCAGGUGAUCAAAAGUAUGCCCAGUACUUCAUAUUAUACAUGAACAUUACUCAUGUCAAUCAUACACAAACAUUCAUGAGUAUCACUCAUAUCAAUCAUACAUAUACAUUCAUGAGUAUCACUCAUGUCAACAUUCAUGAGCAUCACUCAUGUCAACAUCCAUGAGCAUCACUCAUAUCAAUCAAACAUUCAUGAGCAUCACUCAUGUCAAACAGCUUCAAAAGCUUCAUUUACAAAAGCUCUAGCUUCAAAAGCUUCAUUUACAGAGCUUCAGCUUCAAAGCUUCACUUAUAAAGCUUCAGUGCAGGGUAUACAAAUACCGCCUCCGAACAACCGCCACUUCGGCCCAUACAUGGAUUCAAUUUGAAGUCUCCAGCUAACAGACUCUAUUGACCGAAAAGACUUGGGGGACUACAUUAUAUACCAUAUAUUGGGCCUCAACUGGGCCUCAUAAAAAAUACUUGGGGGACUUAGCCCAUUAUCUAUGUACUGAGGAGCGAACCCUUAUUCUAUAAAAGGGACUUCCUCACUUUCAUUAGAGAGCAUCGCCGCCAGCUGAGCAACCGCCUCGCCGCGAGCAUCACUCCUAACCCAUCACUUAUGUAUUGAGGAGUGGGCCCUUAUUCUAUAAAAGGGACUCCAUCACCAUCAUUAGAGAGCAUCAACUCUAGCCCAUUAUCUAUGUACUGAGGAGCGAGCCCUUAUUCUAUAAAAGGGACUCCAUCACUUUCAUUAGAGAGCAUCGCAGCCAGCUGAGCAACCGCCUCGCCGCGAGCAUCACUCCUAACCCAUCACUUAUGUAUUGAGGAGCGGGCUCUUAUUCUAUAAAAGAGACUCCCUUACCAUCAUUAGAGAGCAUCAACUCUAGCCCAUCAUUCAUGUAUUGAAGAGCGAGCCCUUAUUCUAUAAAAAUGACUCUCUCACCUUCAACGCCACAAGCCGAGCCAACCAAGGCAACAUAAGCCACGAGCCGAGCAGCCUCGCAGCAUGUGCUACUUCUAGUUGAGCAUCAUCUCAGAUUGAGCACCGCCUCAUAUCGAACAUCAGUUCAAGACAACGUCUAGUUACUUCGGCCCACACAUGGACUGAAUUUCAAGUCUCCAGCCAAAAGACUCUCUUGACUGAAGACUUGGGAGACUACUGUUUAUACCAUAUUUAGGGCCUCGUAUUUAGAUCUUGUACAAAUACUCAGGGGACUUAAAUGUAAUUAUGUGAUAAAAGAAGGGGCAAAUAUGUAAUAAGUGAGGAGUCCUUAUUCUAUAAAAGGACCCCUCACCCUCACAAUUAGAGGAGGCCAAUUCCUAGGCCCUCUCACCCCCUCUCAACGCUCUCACUAUCAGUGCUCCCUCUCCCUCAGAUAAAUACAUAAUCAAAGUGGACGUAGCCCAAACCUUGGGGUGAACCACGAUACAUCUUGUGUCAUUUACAUUACUUGCAGAUUCACGGUCGGAUUUACGUUGUUCCAAAACCUCCGGUUUUGUGCAUCAACAGCCCUUACAUUUAUAUAGAAGAAAAGAGGGAAACAAAAACUUUACAAGAACCUAACAAUUUGCCCAUGCCAUCAGACAUGGAUGUAUUUAUUCACUAAAAAAAAUGCGUUAGUUGUAUUAUUUUACUAGAACCGAACAAUUUGCCCAGUAGACAUGGAUGGUGGAAUAUCUUGAUCAAUAUUAUUCCUCGUUUGCUCUCGUCGUUUCUAAGAAAACAAUGUUUUGUGGUUUUAUUAAAUAGCUGGAGACAAAAUGUUUCGAUCUUGUUCGUUUCUCUGUUUGUAUGCUUUUAUACAUGUUAUUUCUAAACAAUUUGUUUGUUUUAUGGUGGGCAUCUUUAAAAGUAAGAUACCCAUUUGUUUUUAAAGAAAUGUUAUUGUCACCUAAAAAUUUAAGUGUGUAUUUAUAAUUAUUUAUAUUUAAAAAAAAAUAUUCUUACAAUGAAUGUACAAUUAGAUUUUUGUAGUGUAAAUUUUCUGUCUUCAAUUUCGACUACUCGAAAUAUAUGAUCCGAUUGACCCCCAAACAUUGAGGUUUAAAUAUUUAUGGCUGGGGAAGACGAAUUCACCCAAACCUCGAACUCCUUUUCUUAGGAAAUAAAUUGAAAGUUAUAAUCUAAGGCCAAAUUCAAACCGAAACAACAACAUUCUAUUCUAUAAUUUCUCCUAGUCCUGAUCGGUUAGGGAUUCUAGUUAGUUCGUUUACAAACUACGUUGGCUAAUAUAUUUCAGUUACAACUUCAUAUAUAAAUGCAUUCUUCGUCGAAUUAACAAAUAAUCAGUUUGUAUCUAUAUAUAUAAAGUGAGAGCCCUAGUUUGGUGAAGCAUUUGAUAAACCAAAAAUGCCCUCACUUCAUACACUAUACCAACGUUAAUUGUCCAAUAAAAUUAGGGUCAAAAUUGUAAUAUAAUACAACGAAAUUCUACUGUGCGAAUAAUACAUGCACUCAUCUGAACAAUGACAAUUUUCAACCACUAGAUAAAAAUAUACACACUUAAAAUUCAUUGUGACCCUUAGAUCAAUCCUCCCACAAAUACUGCAUCACAUUCUAUCUUUCCACCAAAACCAAAAUAACAAAUAAAUUGAUAAAAACUGACAAACACUCCCUCCAAAUUAGAGUAGAACUGUCAAACACGUUGUCGCACAAAACAGAACACCGGUUGCAGCAGUUGCAAAGAUCGGAGAUAGAACCACCAAUCUACCACACGUUCUAGAGGGGAUAGCGAUCAUUCCAACCCCAAAUGCACAGAAAAGAGGAAGAACUCAUUUUCGUCUUCUGCACAAACCUCUCAUCCACGUGUUUUUCCAGAGUUUCUUCUGCAUCCACACUCAAUUUACACAAAUUCAGGUGAUUUUUUUUUCAUAAUUUCUACCCUCCAAUUAAGUAAUAUUACCCACAUGAAUCUGCUUUUCCGCUUGUUUUGUUUAUUAUUCUAUAUAAUUUAAUAAGGAAAUUCGAAUCAUUGAUGGCGUAGGAUGGGAUUGCUGGGCGUUCAAAAUUGCUCAGUGAUUAGUACUUAAUCGACCACACUGCUUAUAUUAUUUAAACUUAAUUGUUGUCAUAUGGGUUUUUCUGGAUUCCAUUUCUCUUAUUUAUGUGAUUUGAGUCAGUGGUAGUCAGGUGCAUGCAAUGAGAGACAUUUGAGGCUAUAGCUGGGAAUUUGGUUUCUAUAAAAUUACUUCUGCAAUUGGUCAGAAUUUAUAGGAGUUACUAAAAUUACCCCAUUACCAGUUUUUGUUUUACUAUAGUUGGUAAUGAUUUGUAAGCAGAUUGUACAUUGAGGUAAUGUGUGAAUUGAAUUCUGAUGGUUAAACUAAUACGACAAACUGGUAAAAAACCAUCACUGAAAAAAGAUAAAGCAUCACAACUGUAGAGUUUUGCCUAAUGAAGAAUUAGAACCGCGACGUGGGAUUCAACCACCCUCCACGUUCUGCAAACUACAAACCAGAUUGACAAAGACUCUUCCUCUACAGAAAACGAGGGGAGGGAGAAAUAGAGAUACAUAUUGACAAAGACUCUUCCUCUACAUCGACUGAUUCUUAUCGCAGGUAACUUUCAAACUUGAUUCUCAAUUUUCUAUGUAUUCCUUCCAGCGUUUGUUCAAACUUUCAAACUUGACUCUACUCGCCGUGAUCAACAACUGCAGCUUCUUGAAACAGCCUUUCACUCGUCAUAAACGACAAGUGUGGCUUCUUUACCAGUAUGUUUAUUAGUCUCUUUUCUAAUCAAAUUCAUUGCCAUUAAUUAACUGUUUCUCAUCGAUCAUUCAUUUCUGAUCAUAUUUUCAAUUUCCGUUCUAUUCCCAUUUAUACAUCUUUUUCAAUUGUGUAUGAAUUAUUUGCUUUGAUGAAGCAGAAUUAGAUUUGCGUUCAUAUUCAAUUCUAAUUAAUUGACGAUGUCCUUUGAGAGCGAGCCCAAACUAUCUAGCGAUUCGAUAUAAUCGGAGAAAGAUUUUCCAGGGUGAACCAUAUCCUUUACCUGACUAUUGAGCCGUAAAGUUUCCGGUUUCUUAAGGUUUCGGAUAUCCACUCAAUCUAUUGGGACCUGUCUGGAAAUCCCCACAGCCAUGUGACUUGCGAUUCUUCUUCUUAAUAAACGACUUAGUUUUUGCAUUUUUUGUUCGAAUUCAAAGUUUUUUUUAUACAAAUUUGAAGCUUUUCUUCAAGCUUAUUCAUUAUAUAGAUUCCAAAAUUUUUAAAUCCUCUCAAAGUAGUAGGGAUUUGGAAAUGAACUCUGCUAGAGAAGGUGGCUUGCGUUGAAAUUACCAUAAUAACAGUGUUGGGUUGGGAAUUUUUUACUGGUUUUUUAUUUAAUAUGUUUUGAAUCUUAUCUUGCAACCUGUUGUUUUUCUUCAUGGGGUUCAGGAGGAGGAACUUCACCAAGUAUUCAAAGUAAUCAAAGAUUCUUCAAUCCCGAGUUUUACCGAUCAUUCUGUUUGAUCAGGUUGCUACUUCACCCUUUAUGAUAAGUUAUUAGAUGCAUUUCAGUGUGUCCUGCAUUUGAUAACUGAGUUAUUUCGUUAUUGCUAGAAAGGUAAAUUUUACGCUAGAUUGCAAUGCAAGGUAUGUAACUCGAUAGUUUGAUGAGUUUGAAUUAUUUUUUUUAUUAGGGCUGUUGCUACUUAUUUAAUUAUGCUUGGCAAUUAGCCUGCUUGAUCGGGGGUAUGAUCGUUGUGAAUGCCGUAUGAUUGCAAUGGCAAAAUUUUAUUGAUUCAAGUGUGAAAUAGAUAAACAAAUAAGAAAAAACCAUGUUCAUGCGUAAACCAUGUCAUUGUCAUUGAAAAAACUAUAGGUAACCCUCUAAAAAUUAAUAGAUGAAGUCAAUGGAAUUGAGAGCUAUGUAAUCCAAGUCCCAGUUGCAUAUGUUAUUGGUGCAUUCAAGAGCUAGCUAAUUGAGGAAGAAAUUCAGAGGUUGAUGUAAGUUGUCUGCAAAGCAUCAUAACCUAGGGUUGAAGCACUUAGCUUUUCUCUACCCUCUUCCAUAUAAUUAGGAUUACAAGUUGUUUUAGAUAUUCAGUUAAUUUUGAAGCCAUUGGCAAUGUUUCAGUUGCAGAGUUUGAUUUAUCAAUUAUCUGCUAAAUGCAUGGAAUUUCAUCUUUUUUACUUUCAAUUUUGGGUCAAAUGUUGGGAAAUUUUUACUGGUUUUUUUAUAUAAUAUGGUUUAAAUCUUAUCUUGCAGCCUGUAGUUUUUCUUCAUGGGGUUCAGGUGGAGGAACUUCACCAAGUAUUCAAAGUAAUUAAAGAUUCUUCAAUCCCGAGUUUUACCGAUCAUUCAAUUUGAUCAGGUUGCUACUUCAUCCUUUAUGAUAAGUUAUUAGAUGCAUUUUAGUUUGUGAAACUAGGAAGGGCAUUCUUUUUGCUUAGUUGUAAGAUACUUGAGAAGCCGAAUAUUACACUUAAUCAAAGAACCGAAAUGGCAAUGUGCUAUUUCACUUUGUUUCUUUGAUGACUCAAAAUUGUAAUAUGAUUGAACUGAAUGAUUACCUGUUUUCAUCUGCAUCUCCAGAUUCAUUUCUUUCAUUUUUAGAAUCAUCAACUCCAUGAUUACCUGUUUUCUUUCAUAUAUGUUUUUCUUUUACUAAUUUAUGUUUUAACUUUUCGUUCUCUUUCAAUUUUCGUAAAUCUGAGUUUUAGAAAACACAUACAAUUCAUGUUACUAACAAAACUUUUGAUGCUUUUACACACUCAUUGGGAUUGUGUAAUGGUACAAGAUUAUUGUGUCGUGGUAAUUACCAAAAUCUUAUUGAUGCUGAAAUUCUAACUGGACAAUUUGUCGGAUCCAAAGUUUUCUUACCAAGAAUCCCUCUCAAAAGUACUAAUACUGCUGGGCUUCCAUUUAAACUUACAAGAAAGUAGUUUCCAGUGAAACUAAGUUUCUCUAUCACUAUAAACAAAUCUCAAGGUCAGACAAUACCACAUGUAGGCAUUUACCUUCCAGAUCACAUCUUCAGUCAUGAACAAUGAUAUGUGGCUUUAUCGAGGGGGGUCUCAAAGUCAACCACAACCGUGUUAGUAAAAAAUGGCUCCAUAAUCAGCCAACAAGGUGUAUUUACACGGAAUGUAGUAUACAAAGAAGUCUUGCUUCAUUCCAGCUAAUUAUGGUGAUUUCUAAUAGGUAACAAUUUUAUUAUCGAUAACCUUUCAGUAUGCAUUUCUCACUUAUCAAUUAACUCUUUUUAUUUGAUUUUUAAUUUUCUCACUAUCAUUUGUAGAUUGGCAAUGAAAAUUUGAAGCAUCAAUCAUGAACAAAUGGGUGGAAAUUGCAGCAUUGAUAUCAAAAUGAAAACUUUUUUUUCAAAAGAAACGGUGACAUAUAGACUCUAUGGGUAUUGUGAAUAAUGUACAUAUUGUUAUGCAAGAUUUAUAUUUUGACAUUUAAGUUGUUUUGUAUUUUUCUACGAGUAAUGUUUUCAUCUACUCUUUUUUUUACAUCUACUUACUAUUGUCCAUGGACUUUAGGUAGGAACUUGCGUCUAAAAUCCCAUGUUGUUUGACAAGUGCAUGAAUAACAUUUAAAUCAUUACUUUACGCAAAGUAAAAACGAAAAACAUGAUAACUUUUUAGGAUAUGCAUGAUAAAAAAAGAGUUCCUCUUUGCACAAUACAUUUAAAAUAUAUCUUGACAAUUACGAUGGGAAAAACUAACACAAUACACAUUUAGGGGCGCGUAGCACCCGUGAUGUAAAAAUGCCUCUCGCACGCACAUUAGUGGGUGCGGAGAGGCUAGUAAUUAAUUAAGAACAAGAGGACUCGAAACAGAAGCAGCAAAACAUGACCAUGACCAACAACGACAACGUUUUGGAGCCGCCCAUCAAUUUCUCGAUGGUGGAUGAGGGCGUAUUCCGAUCAGGCUUCCCGCAGCCGUCAAACUUCCCAUUCCUCCAAUCCCUUCAACUCCGUUCCAUUAUCUAUCUCUGCCCCGAGCCCUACCCGGAGGAGAGUUUGGAGUUUCUUCGGUCGCAAGGCAUUCGGCUCUUCCAGUUCGGAAUCGAGGGCAAGAAGGAGCGGUCUACGUCUCCGCUGAUUCCAGCAGAGACCAUCUCCGAGGCACUGAAAGUUUUGGUUGAAAUUGAGAAUCAUCCGGUGUUGAUCCACUGCAAACGCGGCAAGCAUCGGACUGGUUGUCUGGUGGGUUGCCUGAGGAAAUUUCAGAAUUGGUGUUUGUCUUCGGCGUUAGAGGAGUACCAGCGGUUUGCCGGCGAAAAAUCUAGGGGGACGGAUUUGAGAUUUAUCGAGACGUUUGACGUAUUGGGCCUCAGGGGGGAUGCCUUCACGGCAUUGUCCGCCAUUAUUAUUAAGUUUAUGCUUCCGGAAAGAGGCGGUUGUUGUACAAACAAGAGUUGCAAACCCAUAAACCCUAGGUGAUGUUUUAGUUUUUACGUGUUGAAAUUUUAUGCCCUUUUAGUUGUACCAUAAUGAAAAUUCAUUCAUUCGCUUAGUGACGGGUCCCACGUAUGGGAGUGAUUUUUUUGUUGUUGUUGAUUUAGCAUAAUCACGAAAUUUAGACAUGCUUAUAAAUUUAGUCCUCAAUUUAGGAGUAGGAAAUUUUUAAGAAUAUAUGGACAUGCAUGUUUACUUAAAAAAUUAGAAUGAAAAAUUAUGAAUGGAGAAAGUCAAAAAUACAAUGAAAGAAAUUCAUAUAAAAUUAACUACCCCUGAUAAAUUUGAUACCUGGAAUGAGAAUAAAAAGUCAUGAAUUGAGAAGUUGGAAAUAAGAUAGAAUAAAUCCGUACGAAAUCAACUACUCCCUGAUAAAUUUGAUUCUUGGCAUGAGAAGUCAUGAAUUGAUACGAAGUCUAAUUCUAAUUCUUUUGACAUAUUUUUUUCUAUUUUUAUUUUAUUUUUUAGUUGUUAAAUUAUCAAUGUAAAGUAGAACUCAAAUACUUUUUGACUCCACAUAACCACAUAAAAAUCAAGAAUUGAAACAGAGUAAUUCUAAUACUAAUUCGUACUCUAUCCUAGUGCAAAAAGUUAGAAUUGUAAAAAUUUAGAGCUGAUCUUGGUGAAAUAUAGAACGUCAUAGGACCAUGAUUCUGGAACUCCUUUCCCUCCUUCGACUGUGGUCGGCCUGGGUCAGAUUUCUUCGUUCAGGGAUUUACCUGUUCUGAAUAGUCUGCCCUUGAUGGGUCAACUCUAGUUAGUUAAUCCAAGCAUAGGAAGAUGAGACAAAAUACACACAAAGUUGUUAGGAUAUCUUUUCUUUUUAUAUUUGAGCGAUAUUCUAGUCUAAUCCAAAUUCAUGGAAGGAGGAUUCAAAUUUGGCUACAAUCGGAUUCACAUAUUAGGAUUGAUUUUAAAUUAAAUCCAGGUUGAUAAAAAUAUUUCAAAAUUUUUAAUGGAAACUUUUUUGUGAAGGUAUUGAAGUUGGGAUUGAAACAGAAGAUAGAGCGUAAUAUAAAGUUACAAUAACAUGUUCUAUUAAAUGAAAGUGACUAAAUAUUGAAAAAAAUGCUACACUGCGUGAUCAACUCCGGCAACGAGCAUUAGCACUGCAUCCACGGUUGUAGGGAUUACUCUGAUUCUGAGCACCCGGCUUGCAGUUGUUGGAGGAAGCACCUCUCUGAGAGCAAGGCACAGUGUUUCUCUGCAGAGCUUCAUAGCUUAUGUUUCGUGAGGUGGCCAAGAUGCGCCUGCUAAUCUCCGAGUCCAUGCCAAAUUCAUCAUCACGAUCAUCCAUACACUCUGCUACAGAACCCUCGCGGCGAGGUCUCACUGGAACCCAGCUCACCCCAUGAUCGCCGCCUGCAUCAACGGAGAUGAUCAGAGCGGCCACGAAGGCCAAGGAAAAGAUAAUCGCUGAGGAAUUGGCCAUAGGUUUUGGUAUGGUCUGUGUUUUUAGCUGCCAACUUGUAUUUUGUUGUACGCCUGUUUAAUUACUGAGGGAGACAGAUGGGGCGGCAAGAGAGAGAAGAGUUGGUGAAUUCUGAUGUAUAUAUUAUUGCACUCUAUUGUGUUAUUUAUAGUAGUAAAAAGUAUAAAAAAGGGAAAGUCCUAAGGGAAAAUCCUUAUCUUUCAGGCAAUCCAUCUUAAAUAACACACAAUCUACAAGAUAUUCUGCAGUCCCAUAAGGAUUUUUUACACAAAAAUUCCUAGUAAGUUUGGACUUUGAUACAUUUAAAUUUGAUUAAAUGGAAAAUUGGAUGCUGAUUUCUUCAAGGAGGUGAUUGUGGAUGCAAAUUUCUUCCUCCUUGAUCUUGGACAAAAUUGGACCUACAAAACAAUUAACACCUUAGGGUCAAGGCCAAGAGCCUCACGUGUCCACGAUGAACGCGGGGGGGGGGGCUUUGGCCGUUUGGCCGAAGAACCUCUGAUGCCAAAGUUAGAAUUUAGAGAGAAAAGUGUUUAGAGAGUAUUGGGAAUUUUGCGUGUUGGACCUAGGUUUUGGUGAAAAUGGGAGCCAAUACAUAGGGCAUAGGGUGUAACUUAUGGUUUAAUGUGUGAUUUAAUGGAUUAAUUAGGCAAUUAAUCGAUUAAUUGGUUAAUCAACACAUUUUUGGCAUAAAUAUUUUGGGGGUUAUGUAAUUUAUACCUUGUGGAAAAUAUAGGAUGAGGAUGGAUGAAAUAACUUUGAAUUUGUUACUUAUUUUGGGCAUGCUUGAUUUGGUUGAAGGAUGAUUGCCCGCUACUCGCGCGUAGGAAUCCCGUUGUACCUCAAGGGUAUUUUUGUCUUCUUUUGUCCAAAAAUCCACGUGUCGCCUUGUGAUUAUUUUUGGCUCCAUAGUGAUUACUUAAAUGACUUGCACUAAUUAGCCUUAGGGCUAGUUUGGUAUUACUGUGCUUUGAAAAAAACUGCUUCUGCUGUGCUGCGAAAAUAAACAACUGUGAAAUAAAGCGGUAGAGUGUUUGGUAAACUUUUUUGUAAAAAUGCUUUUAGCAAAAAAAUCAGUGUUAAAGUGUUUGGUAAAUUUUUAUAUAAAACUGCUGUGAUUAGGUUAAAUGACUAAAAAUGAUAUAAUGUUAAAUUUAAUAUAUAAUUUUUUAUUUUUUAAUCUCUAUAAUUGUUGAGUCAUCCAAACUCUUCCAUUUUCCAAAUCCCAUUUAUAAUUCUAGAGUCAUCCUUUUCGCCUAAUUUUUUUUUUCAUCUGACGUUCAGAUCCGAUACGUUAGCGUUCCGUUGGUUAUCAGACAGGAUCAAACUAAGCGUAGGCUGUUUCCGGAUCAGAUCUAGUCGAAGAGCUCUCCCCUAUCGUACUUAACUUGAAUAAGGCAGUUUCCCACUAGCCGCUUAAAGGAGUACUCAAGGAUUACCCUAUUACCGAUCUCGAACUGGCCUCCUACUGUCCUCGCUAAGAAAGAGUCUGCCCGCUUAAUUCAAUGAAGUAGUUGAUAUUUAUCUAUUAAAGUAAUUUAUCAAUUACGGCAUUCAAGGUCGGAUGAUAACAGUUCUCUUUACCCAAGAAGCUCGGGGAAAGGAAACAGAAGCCAUGCAGACUGAAAUUGACGAACUCCCCACCCACACUAAAAAGCAAAUAAAGACCCAUGUUUAGCGUCCUCCACUCUAAGGACCACAUCAUCCAGAAGUUCAAUCUCAUUUACCUCAAGAUCAUCGACAAGAUCGAUCUUCCAAUUUCUGAGACUGAUAUUUCUACCAUUUUUUCCCCUAGUUAUAUAACUUCCACUACCACUAGUUUCCCAGUUUCAUCUCCCCUACCAUCCAUGGCGUCUGCAAGCUCUCACAAACACCCAUCUCUUCUGUCAUCCAUUACUUUCCCCAUCACUUUCCCACCUUCCUCUUGGAGUUGCAGAAGGAGCUUGCUAUGAAGAUCUGUUGUGUGAAAUUGUGCAUCUUGGAUCGAGCACUUUUUUGACAACUGGGUUUUGGAUUUGUUUCCUGGUCUACAAUGCCACGAUGAGUUGAAAAAUACUCUGAUCAGAUUUCGAUUUCGAAAAUUGAAAUCCGACAAAACAAAAAUAUCAAUGAUGAAGAUUCAAUCUCAACCCAGCGAGAAGGAGAAACGGAGGAGAGUAUUUUUGAGAUUGUGAAAGUUUCAUUAAAAUAUACUGUUCACCCGCCUCCUUGAAAAAAUAAGUUGGUUUUGAGAAAUAACAAAAUGUAGCUUCUGUUUUUUGCCACUUUUCAGCUUUUAAUGAUCUGUGACUUUUAAAAUAAGCAGUGUUACCAAGCACAAAUUGUACUCCAAUUUUUUUUCAUCCCAGCUUUUAAAAUAAUUUAAGCAGUACCAAACCUUACCUUAUUCUAAUUGCAACAAAGAAAGCUGAAAUUGGAAUAAUUCGUGAUUUGUUCAAACCAAGAAUACAAAAGCAACAACCUACUAGAAAAUAUGCUCGUAGAGAUUUACGGGUUGUUUCUGCAAGUAAUUUUGCUAAAAGCGCUUUUAUUAGAACAACAUUGAGAAAUCAAUUUUAUAAUGAUAUGAGCAUGCCAAGAGAUUAAACUAGUUUACAACAUCAAUAUUAUAAUGAUAGUACUCUCAGUUCAUUCUUGCUCAUAGAAUUAAAGAGAGAAACCGAACUAAACAACAAUGCGGACUAGCUUGGUCAACUCUCAGGCCUUUAUUCUUGAAGAUAGCAAAAUUACUCAAAGUUCCAUAUCAUAUGUAUGCAUAAAUCUUGUGCUUGGCACUUAUUCCUUGAGAAGAUGUGCAUCAAUAUCUUUAAUGACAUUGACCAUAAAGCUGAGGUACUUCUGUGGAGGCGGAUCGUUCUCGUUGAGUUUUUCAUAUUCUAAAGUAAUUUUCACAAAACCUCCUUCACUCUUUGGAGUGACCUGGAAAAUGAUCUUGUAGCUUUUGUAAUUGUCCAGCACAUGUGAUCCUUCCAGAGCUGUAAGACUCACCCACUUGUUUACUUCAUCUAUUUCCACCUUUUCCUUGAAUGUCUCGACAUUUCCAUCUACACGUCACAUGGAAAAUUACAAUGAUACAUCUAUUCAUGGAGAGAUUUUUCAAUGCUCAGAACACUGGGUGGUACAACACAUGUUAUUAUACAAACGAAUGAAAAUUAUUUUCAAAUGUCUCUUCACUUAUAUAAUGAAAUAUAAUUUAUAUAUCCAUGUUCUGAGCACACUAAAAAUUCUCUCCUGUCCAUGAUCCGAUUCUUUAUAUAUUCAUCGUCAGGUAAUGCAAACCUAAUGGCGCAUGGAUGGCCUGGUCAAUAUAUUUCAGUUUUAAUUCUAGAAGAAUCUUAUACGUACAUAUACAUAUCACGUUAGCAUGUUUAUUUCAUAGCAGGUUAGUUUGUGUUAUUCAAUAAUAAUAAUAAUAAUAAUAAUAAUGUUACAGUAUUAACUAUAAACGUAACAUUAUUAUUAUACAACUUUUUUUAACAAACAAUAUUAUCUACAUUAAGGGAAAGAGGUGAGCUUAGCCUCACAAUGUUUGAAUGAUGGAAAUAAAUUUGGACUUUUGACAAAAUUUAGAAUUUAUAAAUUAACAUGCACCAAUUCUCUUGUCUAGAUUCAUAAACAUAGAAAUUUAGAAUUUCCGCGUGAAAAAAAGGGAGAAUUUGAGACCUCCAAUUCCCAAGUUUAAAUUUCAUGUAAAUAAGUCACUCAGUACUACGGUCUUGUAGUAUUUCUCUUCACUUGAAAGUGAGAGGUUAUAAGUUCGAAUCUUGUUGAUGACGAAUUUGAUACCAAAUUAGGCUACCCAUUGUGUGGCUUUGCCGAACUCCUUAGUGUAAAAAUAUCGAUGUACUAAAAAAAAUCAUGUAAAUAGGUGUUAUUCCAAAUUUUUAUGAGUGAGAGUUUAAAGAUAACAAAAUCUAUAUUGAAUUUAUAUUAUUCUUUUAAGUUAGUCAAACAAGAAAAUUUACAAAUUCUAGAAAUAAAAUUUCUUAGUAAUUUUAAAUUUUCUCAUCCAAACAGAAUGUUAGAGUCAUGAUGUAACACCCGUCGCUUUUUAUUUAACAAAAUUAAUUAUUAGUUUAACUAGGUUAGGAGGAGAGAGGAGGGUGAUUAAUUUCAUAUUACCUAGGGUGUAUUUCCAGAGCUUGACAGAGCCAGAAGUUUCCCAGUCACCUUCAUGUACUGCAACAUCGUGUAUUUUAUCAGAGGCUGCUUUGGGGACGUCGUGGUGCUGGUUGCUGAUGACUUUGUACAACUUAUCAGCGUUGGCUUUGAUCUCUACCUCAGCCUCCACAGUCAGCUUGCAAGCACCAGCUCCACUCACUGCCAUUUUCUUUUAUUUGUUAUUAGUAAUAUGUGAUUAGUCUGGGGAAAUUGUAGGAGACGUAUACUAACCUACAGGUUUCAACUUCUUAUAUAGAGUCGCAAAGUUGUAAAUUAACAUGUUAUAAACUGAUAGUUAUGGAGGCAGCGUGUGGAUAUGAUCCGAUCACUUAAUUAAAUAGUUAUAUAAUAAUAUUGUGUCUGUGGAUCUUCCAGGCAGAGUUUUAUUAAUUAUUACAUCUAGGGGUGGAAUUUUUUCCCGAAAAUCCCGAACCGUCCCGAUCCCGUCCCGAAAUUUGACUGAAAAAUUCCCGAACCGAAUUUUCCGAAACAUUCGGUACCCGAAACCGAACCCGUCCCGAAAGUUUUGGGUUGGGAUUUGGCCACAGCUUUGAAAGCUUUCGGUAAUCCCGAACCGAACCGAUUAUUAUAUAUAUUUAUUUUUAAUUUUUAAUUAGAAAUUACUUGAACCGUUGGAUUUGUUAAAAUCUAAUCCAACCGUCCAUUAGUUAGGUCAUUUUAUUAGGUUGUGAUCAGAUCUCUCGGACUCACUCACUCUCGGUCUCUCCGCUCCACUCUCGCUCACUCUCUGCGCUCCGCUGUCACUCACUCUCUCCGCUCUCUCUUGCUCACAGUCUCAGUCUCCCUCACACGCACUCUCACAAACAGUCUCGCCGCCCGUGCUCCCGCCGCUCUACUCCUCCGUCGAAUCCACGCUGCUCCUCAUCCUCCACAACUCACGCAAACACAGGAAGGAACCAAUUGAGUCCCAAAAUCCAGGAUAGGGUUUUUAAUUUUCACUGGGGUUUUGUCCUUUCUCUCUCUUUAACUCUUCAGACAGCAUUUCACAGAAACCCAAUUAAACAUAUGAAAAUAUACAAGCAACAACCUGUAAAAUUUAACAUAAAUAAACAAUGGUAAACUACAAUUAACAUAAAAAUUGCUCACAGAGAGAGAGAGAGAGAGUUCUUACAUGAGGUGCUGCAAUUGCUUGAGAGAGUUCUUACAUGUGGCUUUGUAGCUAGUGUGGAUUGUGACCUACUUAUUUGUGUGUUUAGAUACGCAAGCUAAGUAUAGCUGAUUGGUUUCGUAUCUGUUUGAGAUUUUUAUUUUAUUUUAUUUUGCUGUCAUAAUGUGCAGGACAAUCCCAAUUUCGAGGGUGAAACAUGUAGGAUCACUACUAGAAAUUUCCACUUUGCCGACAAAAAUAGUUUGUAGGCAAAAGUCAAAAUUCGUCGGCAAAGAGCCUUUCCCAACGAAAAAUUUUGUCGGCAAUUUUGUCGCUAAAAGCAUGUCGCGCAAGAUCUUUCUCGACAAAUCUUGAUAUUUCGUCGGCUCAUUUUUAAGGCGACAAAUCUCAGCCGUCAAACUGUGCCCAUCACCAAAACAACAUUGCGACAAAAUAUUUUGUCAGCAUAGGUUGUUUCUUCGCGAUGAAAUUAUUUGUCGGCUUAGUGAUCUUGUCGCGACAAAAUAUUUGUCGGCUGAGUAAUCUUGUUGCGACAAAACAUUUUGACGGCUAAGUAAUCUUGUCGUGACAAAAUGGUUUUUCGGCUAUGUAGUCCUAUGACAACAAAUUGGUUUGUCAGCUCAAAUGACUUGUGUAGACAAAAUAAUUAGUUGGUUGAAUCUUUUGUGAACAAAAACAUUUGUCGGCUAAUUAAUUUUGUGCCGACAAAACAUGUCAAGUCCAAUAUUUUCUAAUUUUUAAUAAUAUUUUUAACCAUCACAAACAAGCAAGCUUAAGAGAUCGAGAAGGGGCGUGAAUGAAGAAUUAAUGUAGGAACAACACAAAAUUCAUGUAAUAUAAACUAAUGUAAGGUUCACAAUUCGGUGUAGCUACAAAAUACAAAAAUAUCUAUGUUUUCAUUUCGAGAUUACUAUAAUAUAGAUAAAAUAUCCUUAAGUAUCACCAUUCUCACUAUAGUCCUCAUCAAGUUGAUAUGCAGCAUCAUGAAAUCGGGAAACGAUAAGGAUCAUCAUGAAACACUCCAGUAUCAAACAACUGUAGAAGAAAAACAAAUUAAAAAACUUGAUUAGCAAACGUUAAGGGUGCUAAAUAUCAUUGACAUUAAGGAACGCAAGGCCACACUAGUGGUAUUUCUAAACAAAUAACUUAUGAAACCAUAAAUGUGUAAACAACAAGAUAAAGAUAUCUACUAAUCAAGUUAACUUACCAACGCCAUGCAGCAUCACAACCUAGCAAAAUUACAUGUUUAAUAGAUACCAGGUAAUAACCAAGUUAACAUCAACUACUUAUAUGUCAUUCAUCAUUGUAAACAACAAGAUAAACAUUAUAAACAGCAAGGCAACAUGAUUAUCACUCUGUAAACAAGGCAGCAUGAUAAGUAGAUCAUAUAAAUCCUUGAAAGGUAUAUAAUUUAUAUAAACAUAACAAUACCAAUCACCUAUCUAAGUAGGUUAUAACUCUAGAACAUAAGCAUAUGCACCUGGAAACAUAAAUAAACUAUACUAAAGCAUCCUAAUUCAUCAUUGUUUAUAAUCUUUAUCAGUGUAAACAAGAAGAUAUAGACAUCUACUAAUCAAGUUAAUCCUCAAAUAUCAAAAUUACCUGGUGUGAAUGAUCCUCACAUUGGUCUCCAUGCCGUGCUGAUACCAGUUGUAAGCUAUCUAGCCCAGAAUUCCACUGAGCCAUAGACAACCUGCAAGUGUUAUAGAAAGGAAAAACAAAUAUGUCAAACCUAGACCACAAUAUCGAAAAAUUACAGUGGAAAUCUGGAAUUAAAGUCAAAGGACAUUGUUUUCACCAAUAUUAUACAAAUGGAUUGCCAAAUCAACCAAAAAUUGGAAACCUAGAUCAUAAAACUCGAACCCAAAUGAAAUAGUUCAAUUAAGAACAUGUUUUUCAUCCAUAUAUGCGAUUCAAUCAAAGCAAAUACAAUUAUUUCAUUUUCCAAUAAAAACAUGGAAAACGAAUACAAAAACAAACAAACAAGUUAGCAAAUUAAUGUGGUAAGGAAAAUGCAUAUACAAAAUCAUGAUAAAACCUGCAAUCAUGAUAAAAAAAUAUAAUAUUACAAAGAUAGAAAAAAAUUCCAGCCUUGAAUAUUUAUAACACAAAGAGAAUGAAAACUUCAUUUUAUAUCCAAUUCUACUCUCUCACUGACUGAUUAAUUAUGUGUGUUCCCCAUUUCCCAUAUACCAUUCCAUUCCAUUAGUUUUAAUAGGAAAGAUCAUCCAAAUCAUCUAAAACAAUGAAAACUUCAUUUUAUAUCCAUGAACAAAAGCUCCAAACUCUGAAAAACAAAACCAAUUUUAAUUCAUUCCAGAGCAACUGAAUAAAACAGAACUAAACACAACUGAGAAGAAAAACUGUUUAAGCCAAUCACACAGACUAUAUUAAAUCUUUACAAACCAACCGAAUGAUGCAGAAAUGCUUAAUAACAAAAUAGUUAAGCAACAAAUCAUGUAAAAUAAUCAUAAGUCAACUCAACAAAACCAAACAAAACACCGACACCACUGAAUAAACCCUGCCCAUUGGAAAAAAAUAAUACCUAACAAAGAACCCAACCACUGCAAGUGUAAAUUCAAAAGACAUAAGCGUUCAAACACUGCAAAAAUAAGUGGAAGAAAAACACAAAGUCACCAAAGACAAAAGCUUCCUAAAACGAAAAAUCAAACCAGAUGGAACAACCAUAGACAAAUGAUCACAAAAUAGAAGAAAACAUUUGAAAGAAAGAGCUAACAGACCUUUAUUCGAAAGGGCUUGCAACGCUGUUCACAAAACCCCCAAACUCUGGAGACCAAUAUUUUCUGCAACACAAAAGCCAAUCAGAUUAGGGAACCACACCGAAAUCACUAAAAAAAUAACCAAACAAUGAAUGAAAAACGCUAAAAGUUCAAUUUCACACCGAUCAAGCAAUAAUGUAUAGGAAAACCCUAAACCCGAAAGACCCAAAUUUCCCAAAACGAAAAAUCGAAUUAGAUCGAACAGCCACACCAAAAUAAGCAGAAAAAAAGAAGAAAACAUUCGAAACAAAAAACUUACAGACCUUAAUCACAUAUGCUCUGCAAGACUAUUCCCAAAAACCCUAAAAUUCACACACCAACUUUUGCUGAAACCAAAAACCCAAUCGGAUUAAACAAACACGCUAAAAACAAAGAAAAAAUUAGGAAACAACCAAUAUAACACAAACACUCUAAUUUUACAGGCAUCAAUCUGCAAAUUUUCUUCCCAAUCAAAGAAAACACACACACACACACACAAAAAAAAAAAAAAAAAAGAGAAACGACCUCAAACAGCGCAAUGAAUCAGAAAAAGAAACUCUUCAGACAACAGAGGAUCGAUGCAGAGAGAUAAGCAGAGACACGAAAGAUCAAGGCAGGCGGAAGAACACAUAAACAAAGAGGAAGAAAAAAGGGAAAGCUACGGAAGAAAAUAAGCGAUCCCUCGCUUCCGCACCAAAAACGACGGAGACCACGUGGUAGAUGCAGCAAUUGAAAUUAAACAGACCAAGCAGGGGCAAUUGCGUCACAACACUGUUACUUUCACUGUUCAUCAACAGUGUUCCACCCGUUUGGGUUUUAGUAUAUAUAGAAUUUAUACUUUCAUUAAGUAUAACAUAAGAAUCUGUGGUAUCCACAAGUGUAAAUAUUUUAAAUUGAAGAUCGAGCUCAUUCAUUGUAUUCAUAUAGGAUCAAGGAGUGUAGCUGUACAAAAUCAUCAAAAUCGAAGUUAAAAUAACCGUUAAAUCAUGAUUUUUCGUUUAUAACCGUCAGAACGUUUUGUCUCCUUACAUGAUCUCUGAAGGUUUUUUUUUUGCAAUUUUUGGCGUAUACGAUCUCGAAACAUAUAUAAACAAGUUUGACGGUUGGAUCGUUGAAACUAGUUUCGUAUAAUGCGUAUCCUAUGAAAAUGAUAGAUUCACUAACACUUAGAGUUUAUUUAUACUUUCAUUAAGUAUAACAUAAGAAUUUGUGGUAUCCACAAGUGUAAAUAUUUUAAAUUGAAGAUCGAGCUCAUUCAUUGUAUUGAUAUAGGAUCAAGGAGUGUAGCUGUAAAAAAUCAUCAAAAUUGGAGUUAAAAUAACCGUUAAAUCGUGAUUUUUCGUUUAUAGCCAUCAAAAAAUUUUGUCUCCUUACAUGAUCUCUGAAUGUUUGUUUUUUGCAAUUUUUGGCGUAUGCGAUCUCGAAACAUAUAUAAACAAGUUUGACGGUUGGAUCGUUGAAAUUAGUUUCGUAGAAUGUGUAUCCCAUGAAAAUGAUAGAUUCACUAACACUUAGAGUUUAUUUAUACUUUCAUUAAGUAUAACAUAAGAAUUUGUGGUAUCCACAAGUGUAAAUAUUUUAAAUUGAAGAUCGAGCUCAUUCAUUGUAUUCAUAUAGGAUCAAGGAGUGUAGUUGUAAAAAAUCAUCAAAAUUGGAGUUAAAAUAACCAUUAAAUCGUGAUUUUUCGUUUAUAGCCGUCAAAAAGUUUUGUCUCCUUACAUGAUCUCUGAAUGUUUGUUUUUUGCAAUUUUUGGCAUAUGCGAUCUCGAAACAUAUAUAAACAAGUUUGACGGUUAGAUCGUUGAAAUUAGUUUCGUAGAAUGUGUAUCCCAUGAAAAUGAUAGAUUCACUAACACUUAGAGUUUAUUUAUACUUUCAUUAAGUAUAACAUAAGAAUUUGUGGUAUCCACAAGUGUAAAUAUUUUAAAUUGAAGAUCGAGCUCAUUCAUUGUAUUCAUAUAGGAUCAAGGAGUGUAGCUGUAAAAAAUCAUCAAAAUUGGAGUUAAAAUAACCGUUAAAUCGUGAUUUUUCGUUUAUAGCCGUCAAAAGGUUUUGUCUCCUUACAUGAUCUCUGAAUAUUUGUUUUUUGUAAUUUUUGGUGUAUGCGAUCUCGAAACAUAUAUAAACAAGUUUGACGGUUGGAUUGUUGAAAUUAGUUUCGUAGAAUGUGUAUCCCAUGAAAAUGAUAAAUUCACUAACACUUAGUUUAUUUAUACUUUCAUUAAGUAUAACAUAAGAAUUUGUGGUAUCCACAAGUGUAAAUAUUUUAAAUUGAAGAUCGAGCUCAUUCAUUGUAAAUAUUUUAAACUGAAGCCCUUUUGUGACGCCAGCAUUAGUGUCGCUAUUCCAAUCCGACAUUACAUUGUUUUAUGUCAGAUUUUUUUCUAAAUUUCCGAUAGAAAUUGGGUUUCUUGUCGGUUUUUGCUUCGCCACUGAUAAGGUAUAUUGCAGUAGUGGGUGUUGGUACCAAGUAACAGAUUCAUGAUAAAUCGUUCAUUUAUUUGAUUCACAUACAUUAUCUCUGAGCGGGAAGAUCCCCGCCAAAAUAUUACAUGAUAUUUUAAAUGAUUUUUCGUUAGUUUUCAUUUUUUAUUAAAGUGUAACAAGGUAUGUUUAUAUCUUUCGCCAAAAAAGUAACCAAAAAUUGUUAGAGAAGGGAGACAGAUAAUAGGGGCGUGGAUGAUAAUCAGUUAAGAGUGCAAGAAUCGUAAACCUAGGGAUAGAAAUCGUCAAAAUUGUUUCUGAGCGGGAAAGACCCCGCCAAAUUGUUAGAAGAUAAAUAAGAAUUCUUAUCAAACUGAAAUCGGAUGGCGUGAGCGAAGAAUGUGGGAGGGAAGUCAUGAGCAAUUGGGAUUAGCAUGCAAUUGGGAGGGAGAUCAUGAGGCGACAAAAUAGGAAUAGCAUGCAAUGGGAGGGAGAUCAGGCAAUUGGGGGAUGUGAACCGACAAUUGAGGGAUGUGAACUGACAAUUGGAAUAAUAGAAAUAUUAUGGGAGGGAGAUCAUGAGGCGGCAAAAUAGGAUUAGACAAAAUAUGGGAGGGAGAUCAUGCAAUUGGCAGAUGUGAACCGACAAAUUAGGUUUGGAUUGCCACGGGAAAUUUAUAAGUUUGUUCUUAUAAUCAUAUGUUAUGUUUUUAGAAAACUUGGCAUGCUUGUCGAAUUAGAAUGGAUGAUUACAUACAACUGUAUUCAAAUUUACAAUUGUAAUUGCUAAUAAUUGAUCAUAGCCUAAACCAAGUUAUAUGUUGCUAGAAAGUAGUUUGGAGUUAGAAUUGAUAGGAAGAACUUUUUCAAACACUCACAUAUUAUGAAAUCAAAUUGUCAAUAUAGAUUAUUGAUGGCAUAAAACUACAAUCCAGAAAUAUGAAAUGCUAGAUAUCUCUUUAUCUAUGCUCCCGUUCAUAUAGAGAAACAAGAGAGAAUGACAGCAUAAAUAGUUGCCAAGAGCUUUGAUUGUGUUCCCCGGAAAAAAAUGGAUAGGUGCACUGGUGAAAACCUCUCACGUAGAGUUAUUAAUACCUUACCAAUGACAUACUUUAUUGCCUCUCUAAUCAAUUUGCCGAUGAAAUACUUUGUUGCCUCACAUCAUCGGCUAAUAUUUCAAUAUAGUGGGAAAAGUUCCCGCCAAAGUUUACCCGUCAAAACAAAAUUUGUCAGGGUAUCGAAUUUACGCCUACAAAAUGAUCGUCGGCUAACGUUUCAAUUUUCUCGGCUAAGAUUGGCAUUGUAAAUUGGUUCUAGUGUGAGUAUUCAGCCGACAAAUUAAAAAUUUCGUCGAGAAAGGACUCUUGUGCCGACAAAAUUUUGCUUUGUCGGUUUAAUUUGUCGGCAAAAUUAUAAUUUCUAGUAGUGGAUAUGCAUGAAUGCAAUAAUCGACAGGGGUGUUCUCGAUUGCUGCCAGCAUUGGUAUGUGCUUUAGUGUGGUUUUGUGUGUGUGAGAGAGAGAGAGAGAGAGAGGAAUUUUAUUUUAUGACAUGGGUUCAUCUUGGGGUUUUCAGGUUCUGUUUCUCAUGCAUUGACAAUUGGGCUACCAUUACAAACCUCUGCCCGCUUUGCCAGAAUGAAUUUCAAAUGAUCACAUGUGUUUCGGAGAGUGAUGCAAAUAAACAGUUAUCGCUUUAGUAUUAUUUCUGUUAUGAUUGCUAUGGAUUAUAGAAUGGUAUUAAUGUACAACCAGUUUAAAGCACAGUUGUUACUUUGAUUUCUUAACUAUCUGUUUUCAAUAGUUUUCUUUUUGUUGCAAACAGAAUUUUUAUUUUGAAGUUUUCUCAAAAUAACGAUUUGAUGCUGGUUUGAAGUGGCACUAAAUCAUAAGAGUUUGAUUUGUAUGUGAAGGUAUACGAUACUAUUGGGAGCAUCAAAGCGGACGAGGACUCAACUUAUAGGUACUUUCAUAAUUAUGGAUAAUGUGUUUAAGUCUAUUGGUGAGGGUUCUUUGUUCACAUUUAUGCGGCACAUGUUCCCAAUUUGGAAGCUUGGUUUGUAAAACUUAACUUAUUUCAUUUUGGUUGCAUGCACUUUUAAUUAAAUAGUUUGGUAGACAAAUACAAUUGUGAACUUAAGCUUAACUUGUUAGUUGCUUCCUUUGUAUGAAAAUUGAAACAUGUGGUAUUGUGAUAUUCAUAUUGUGGUGAAAUUGAAACAGGUGGGCUGGGCAGUGGCUGUGUAACCUUAAUUUUUUUUUUUUUUGGGGGCAGUGGCUGGCUGCAAUCUUAAAAGCCCAACAUUUUGGGCUUCAAGGCCCAAUCCCGAAGUAUCCCGAAAAUCCCGAAACACUUUCGGGAAUCCCGAAUUUCGGGAAAUGCACAUAUUCGGUUCGGUUUCGGGAUAUAAAAGCCCAUCCUGAAAUGUUUUGGUUUGGGAUUCGGGAAAGGAGUUUCGGUUCGGGAUCCCGACCCGAACCACCCCUAAUUACACCUACCAAACUUAAGAGCACGCGCAAACUUGAUGAGACAUAUAUCAACACGUGAGAACAAUGAUUGAUCAACAUUACCUCCAUAGUAUUAUUAGAGUGAAUGAUUGUAUGAUAUUAAUUUACUAGAGUGAAUGAUUGUAUGAUAUUAAUUAUGCGUUAAGAUCUUGGGAAUUUUAAUGAAAAAUUACUGGUAUUAUUCAUUUUAAUAAAAAAUUACAUUUUUACAUUAAAAAGUCAAUCUUAGUACUAUUCACUUUAUUCUUUAUUUUGUCCUUAUUGUUAAAACUCAAAGUUUUCAAGUCAUUUUCAUUAAUUUUCCUUAAGAUCUUUUGAUUUGGCAUGCGGAAGUGUGUGUGUUUGUAUAUUAUAUAGGGAUAAUACUAAGUUAGGUUCAUAUUAUCUUAACUAGUGAUAAAUUAAGGGUUCUUUCGAGUUAUUCGAAACAGUGGUUUAUAUUAUCUUGACUUACGUGCAACCUAAACACAAAAAAGAGAGGCUGUACUGGCUUCCAAAAUAAAACUAGAUGCAAACAAUAAUGUGGAGUUCCGGUUACUCUUUUGGAAUCAACCAAAGCUGAAUCAUUGAUGCCUAAUUUCAGAAAGUUUUCCUUUUCUGCAUGCAGAUCUUUUCAAUGGAUGUAGCUCAGUUUUGGGAGGUAACCACUUACUUCAUCGAGUUCAUUAAUUUUAAUCAAUCUAAAGUAAUUUAACUAAGUUUAUUAACCUUACAAUGUUGAGCGUUAAUACCCAAUUUUGGAGGAAUUGCAUCACGUUUAUGUAAAGGUAAUCGAAAUAAUAGAGCGGAAUUAAAUUCCAAUUACGGAAUACUCCAGUAUUUACCAAAUAUUGGAGAAUAAAAAAUUUGAUAGCACCCACUCAAUUUUUUAAUCCAAUACUAAUUCAUAUUCAAAUUUUGGAAUAAAAAAUCUAAUACUAAUUCGUACUCAUCAAAUGAAAGUAAAAUCUAAUUCUUCAUUUUUUAAGUAAUUAUUGUAAUGUGAGUAAACGCAUGAAAAUCAUGAUUUAGAAUAUUUUCUAAUGCAGACUCUAAGUCUGAAAUUGAAAUAUAAAGAUAGCCGUUGACGGGUCGAUUCUGGUUAAUCUAGGCAUGAGAAUACGAAAAAAAUACACACAAAGUUAUUAAGAUAGCUUUCCUUUUUUAUAUUUUAGCGAUAGUCUAGUCUAAUCCAACAUUAGACCACAUUCAGUGAUUCAAACUAAGAGAAGGGGGAUUCAAACUUGGCUACACUCGGAUUCUCAUAUGAGGAUUGAUUCUGAAGUAAAAGAAUAUAACCAAGUUGAUCAAGAAAUUUCAAAAUUUCUAAUGGAAACUUAUUAGAAAUUUUUUGUGAAGGUGUUGAAGUUGGGAUUUUUUUGUUUGUUUUCGUAUUGAAGUUGGGAUUGAAACAGAAGAUAAAGCAUAAUAUAAAGUUUCAUUACAAUUAACAACAUGUUCUAUUAAAUGAAAGUGACUAAAUAUUGAAAAACAUGCUACGCCGCGUUGAUCAACUCCGGCAACGAGCAUUGGCACUGCAUCCGUGGUUGUAGGGGUUGCUCUGAUUCUGAGCACCCGGCUUGCAGUUGUUGGAGGAAGCACCUCUCUGAGAGCAAGGAACAGUGUUUCUCUGCAGCGCUUCAUAGCUUAUGUUUCGUGAGGUGGCCAAGAUGCGUCUGCUAAUCUCCGAGUCCAUGCCAAACUCAUCAUCACGAUCAUCCAUGCACUCUGCUACAGAACCCUCGCAGCGAGGUCUCACUGGAACCCAGCUCACCCCAUGAUCGCCGCCUGCAUCAACGGAGAUGACCAGAGCGGCCACGAAAAUCAACGAAAAGAUAAUCGCAGAGGAAUUAGCCAUAGGUUUUGGUACGGUCUGUGUUUUUAGCUGCCAACUUGUAUUUUGUUGUACGCCUGUUAAUUACAGAGGGAGAGAGAGGGGGCGGCAAGAAAGAGAGAGAUAAUCGGUGAAAUUUUGAUGUGUAUAUUAUUUCACCCUAUUGUGCUAUUUAUAGUAGUAAAAAGGGAAAAUUUUUGUCUUUCAAGUAAUUCAUAGGAGUUAGGGAAAAUCCUUGUCUUUCAAGUAAUCCAUCUAAAAUAGGACACUACGUAAAAGAUAUUAUACAAUUCCAUAAGGAUUUACACAAUCACAUUCCUAAUUAAAUUAAGACUCUGACAUUUUUAAGUUUGGUUAAAUAAAAAUUGGAUGUUGAUUUCUUCAAGGAGAUAAUUACUUAAUUGACAUGCUUUAAUUCAACCUUAUUCCAAUUGCAACAAAGAAAGCUGAAAUUGGAAUAAUUCGUGAUUUAUUCAAAACCUACCAAGAAAACAAAAUCAACAACUACUACAAAAUAUGCUCGUAGAGAUUUCCGGGAUGUUUCUGCUCUUAAGUGUUUUUGCUAAAAGCUCUUUUAUCAGCACAAGGUUGAGACUUUAAUUAAAAAACUAAGUUUUUCUCGAAAAAAUAUAAGCAUGCCAAUAGAUUGAACUUGUUUACAACAUCAGCAUUAUAAUAAUAUUGUUGGAAAAUAUUAGGUUUACUUUAAUGUUUGGUUUUCUGGGCUUAGCCCGUUAGUAUUAGGGUUUCGUUUUCUUGCUUAUUAGGGUUAUGUUAGUUCUCUAUAUAUAUGGUGUUUUGUAGCUUGUAUGAUUAACAAGUUAGUCACAAUGUAGUCUCUAGGGUUUUUGUAGCCGUCUCGGCAUUCUAUGUUUGAUAUCAAUAAUAUUUCUAGUUUUGUAAUCCGUUUGUUUGUUCAUUGUGGUAUGUGCACUCUGAUAUUCAACUUGGUAUCAGAGCGGGUUUGAUUCCUCGGAAUUUAAUCUGUUUUGGAUGGAUAUCAAUUUGUUCAUCUGUUUGUCCACUGCGUAUCAGUUCGUCAUGGUAUGUUUUGUUGGUUUGUCUGUCUAGUAGUAGUUAGGGUUUUGUUAUAUGUUUAAAAAAAAAAAAAAAUUGAAUCAGUUUGCUGCGUCAUGUCAUCGUCCUCUGCUAAACUUGGAAUCGCCGCCACGAACCCCACAUCACCAGCGUGCUCCUACCAUCAGGACAUCACCGCGCCAACCCGCCAUGCCUGCACCCAGUGCCACCAUGUCCCGCCUACAACCCCGUUGUCUUACCACCACCUGCUGUAAACCCACAUCGCUCGCCUGCUUGCGCGCCGUGCAGACGGGAUUUGAUAAAGCCACACCAACUUGCUGCAAAUACAUGCAGUUGAUCCGUACCCAUGAGCCUGCUUGAAUCUCCGCACCCGACCCGCUUGUCGCCUGCACCCACUGCUUGCUUGCCGUUCCCAUUGUUCGUUGACCAGAACUCGCGCUUGGUUUACGCGUUCUGGAGAAAACCAUUGGAAAAAAGGAAGCAGAAUAAAAAGUAAGAAAAAGAAAAAAAAAGUGAUGUUUGAGGAAAAGGAAAAAAGAAAAAAAAGAAAAAGAAAUGCAAAAGUAUUAGAAGUUGGGCUUGCCGUUGGUCUUGUUGAUUGUUUUGGAGAAUGACUAUGGUCGUCUGCUAUUGUACCCACAACGAUUGUUCGAGUGCUUGGAUUGUUGAUUACUCGAGUGAUUAUUGUUGAGGUUUUCGUCUGCUUGUUUGUUGCCGUUGGGCUAUUGGAAUCUCGUCCGUUUAGUGACAAGGUCCAUGCUCAAACGAAAUAUGUCUGCCCUCUGCCAUGUGAAUCUAUAUCCACCUGCCUGUCUGUCUGUCCGCGUUGCGGAGCCUGCCUGCCUGUCUGUCUGUCCGCGUUGCGGAGCCUGCCUGUCUGUCCGCGUUGCGGAGCCUGUCUGCCUGUCUGCCUGUCUGUCUGUCCCCCUAACGGAGCCAGUCCACAUCUGCUUGUUUGCAAACCCAUGUCGUAUACCGCCAUGAGUUUGACUGGGGGUGUUGGAAAAUAUUAGGCACACUCAAUUCAUUCUUGCUCAUAGAAUUAAAGACAAACCAAAUCGGAAACCGAAAUAAGCAACAGUGCUAACUAGCUUGCUCAGCUCUCAGGCCUUUAUUCUUGAAGAUAGUUAUAUUACUCAAUGUUCCAUAUCGUAUGUAUGCAUAAAUCUUGUGCUUGGCGCUUAUUCCUUGAUAAGAUGUGCAUCAACAUCUUUAAUGACAUUGAAUAGAAAGCUGAGGUACUUCUGUGGAGGCGGAUCGUUCUCGUUGAGUUUUUUAUAUUCUAAAGUAAUUUUCACAGAACCUCCUUCACUAUUUGGAGUGACCUGGAAAAUGAUCUUGUAGCUUUUGUAAUUGUCCAGCACAUGUGAUCCUUCCAAACCUGUAAGACUCACCCGCUUGUUUGCUUCAUCUAUUUCCACCUUUUCCUUGUAA